UGGGGAGGAAGUCGCCCGACUCUUGGCCGCUGGAUUCAUUGUUGAGGUUUUUCAUCCCGAGUGGUUGGCCAAUCCGGUUCUGGUACUGAAGAAGAACAGUACCUUCCGCAUGUGCAUUGACUACACCGACCUCAACAGGGCCAGCCCAAAGGAUCCUUUCGCCCUCCCUCAUAUUGAUCAAAUAAUUGACUCUACGGCGGGUUGCGAGCGACUAUGUUUCUUUUAUGCUUACUCAGGAUAUCACCAGAUCAAGAUGGCUUUGGAGGAUCAGGUGAAGACGUCGUUUAUAACUCCCUUUGGAAGCUUUUGCUAUGUGUCUAUGCCGUUUGGGCUCAAGAGCGUNNNNNNNNNNNNNNNNNNNNNNNNNNNNNNNNNNNNNNNNNNNNNNNNNNNNNNNNNNNNNNNNNNNNNNNNNNNNNNNNNNNNNNNNNNNNNNNNNNNNUCCGGAACCCAUUCGUCAUUCCCGAUACAUUCCUAGUAAUUCCGAAAACCUUCCGGUAAUCAAAUGAGGUCAUCCUAUAUAUUAAUAUUUGUCUCCAGACCAUUCCAGAAACCCUCGUGACGUCCGUGAUCUCAUCCGGGACUCCGAACAACAUUCGGUAACCAACCAUAUAGCUCAAAUACGCAUAAAACAACGUCGAACCUUAAGUGUGCAGACCCUGCGGGUUCGAGAACUAUGUAGACAUGACCCGAGAGACUCCUCGGUCAAUAUCCAAUAGCGGGACCUGGAUGCCCAUAUUGGAUCCUACAUAUUCUACGAAGAUCUUAUCGUUUGAACCUCAGUGCCAAGGAUUCAUAUAAUCCCGUAUGUCAUUCCCUUUGUCCUUCGGUAUGUUACUUGCCCGAGAUUCGAUCGUCAGUAUCCGCAUACCUAUUUCAAUCUCGUUUACCGGCAAGUCUCUUUACUCGUUCUGUAAUACAAGAUCCCGUGAGUUACACUAAGUCACAUUGCUUGCAAGGCUUGUGUGUGAUGUUGUAGUACCGAGUGGGCCCCGAGAUACCUCUCCGUCACACGGAGUGACAAAUCCCUGUCUUGAUCCAUACUAACUCAACGAACACCUUCGGAGAUACCUGUAGAGCAUCUUUACAGUCACCCAGUUACGGUGCAACGUUUGAUACACACAAAGCAUUCCUCCGGUGUCAGUGAGUUAUAUGAUCUCAUGGUCAUAGGAAUAAAUACUUGACACGCAGAAAACAGUAGCAACAAAAUGACACGAUCAACAUGCUACGUCUAUUAGUUUGGGUCUAGUCCAUCACAUGAUUCUCCAAUGACGUGAUCCAGUUAUCAAGCAACAACACCUUGUACAUAGUCAGAAGACCCUGACUAUCCUUGAUCAACUGGCCAGCCCCCCCCCCCCCCCCUAGGGACAGUGUUUUGUCUAUGUAUCCACACAUGUAUCUAAGUCUUCAUUCAAUACAAUUAUAGCAUGGAUAAUAAACGAUUAUCUUGAUACACGAAUUAUAAUAAUAACUUAUUUAUCAUUGCCUCUAGGGCAUAAUUCCAAUAGUCUCCCACUUGCACUAGAGUCAAUAAUCUAGCCCUCACAUCACCAUGCGAAUUACAUUGUAAUAAAUCUAACACCCGUACAGUUCUGGUGUUGAUCAUGCUUUGCCCGUGGAACAGGUUUAGUCAGCGGGUCUGCUACAUUCAGAUCUGUGUGCACUUUGCAUAUAUUUACGUCCUCCCCUUCGACAUAGUCGCGGAUGAGGUUGAAGCGUCGUUUGAUGUGGCUGGUCUUCUUGUGAAACUGUGGUUCCUUUGCUAAGGCAAUGGCACCCGUGUUGUCACAAAACAAGGUUAUUGGAUUUAAUGCGCUUGGCAGCACUCCAAGAUCCGUCAUGAACUACUUCAUCGAGACACCCUCCUUAUCCGCCUCCGAGGCAGCCAUGUACUCCGCUUCACAUGUAGAAUCAGCUACGACGCUUUGCUUGGAAUUGCACCAGCUUACUGCACCCCCAUUAAGAAUAAAUACGUAUCCGGUUUGCGACUUAGAGUCGUCUGGAUCUGUGUCAAAGCUUGCAUCGACGUAACCUUUUACGAUGAGCUCUUCGUCACCUCCAUACACGAGAAACAUCUCCUUAGUACUUUUCAGGUACUUCAGGGUAUUCUUGACCGCCAUCUAGUGAUCCACUCCUGGAUUACUCUGGAACCUGCCUGCCAUACUUAUGGGCAGGCUAACAUCCGGUCUAGUGCACAACAUUGCAUACAUGAUAGAACCUAUGGCUAAAGCAUGGGGAACGGUGCUCAUAUGCUCUCUAUCUUUAUUAGUUGCUGGUCACUGAGUCUUACUCAAUCUCGUACCUUGUAAAACUGGCAAGAACCCCUUCUUGGACUGUUCCAUUUUGAACCUCUUCAAAACUUUAUCAAGGUAUGUACUUUGUGAAAGUCCUAUCAGGCGUUUCGAUCUAUCCCUAUAGAUCUUAAUGCCUAGAAUGUAAGCAGCUUCUCCUAGGUCCUUCAUAGAGAAACUUUUAUUCAAGUAAUCCUUUAUGCUCUCCAAAAACUCCACGUUGUUUCCAAUCAGCAAUAUGUCAUCCACAUAUAAUAUUAGAAACGCCACUGAGUUCCCACUCACUUUCUUGUAAAUACAAGAUUCUCCAACCACUUGUAUAAACCCAAAUGCUUUGAUCACCUCAUCAAAGCGUUUAUUCCAACUCCGAGAUGCUUGCACGAGUCCAUAAAUGGACCGCUGGAGCUUGCACACUUUGUUAGCAUUUUUAGGAUCGACAAAACCUUCGGGUUGCGUCAUAUACAACUCUUCCUUAAGGAAACCGUUAAGGAACGCCGUUUUGACAUCCAUCUGCCAGAUUUCAUAAUCGAAAAAUGCAGCUAUUGCUAACAUGAUUCUGACGAACUUAAGCAUCGCUACGGGUGAGAAUGUCUCAUCGUAGUCAACUCCUUGAACUUGUGAAAAACCCUUUGCCACAAGUUGAGCUUUAUAAACGGUCACAUUACCGUCAGCGUCCGUCUUCUUCUUAAAGAUCCAUUUGUUCUGAAUAGCCUUGCGGCCUUCAGGUAGUACUUCCAAAGUCCAUACUUUGUUUUCAUGCAUAGAUCCUAUCUCGUACUUCAUGGCCUCCAGCCAUUUGUUGGACUCCGGGCCCACCAUUGCUUCUUCAUAAUUCACAGGCUCAUUGUUGUCUAACAACAUAAUUGAUAAGACGGGAUUACCGUACCACUCUGGAGUAGUACGUGGUCUCGUCGACCUGCGAGGUUCGACAGGAACUUGAUCCGGAGUUUCAUGAUCAUCAUCAUUAACUUCCUCCUCAACUGGCGUCGCAACGACAGGGGUUUCCCCUUGCCCCGCGCCACCAUCCAGAGGGAUGAGAGGUUCGACAACCUCAUCAAGUUCUAUCUUCCUCCCACUCAAUUCUCUCGAGAGAAACUCCUUCUCGAGAAAAGCUCCGUUCUUAGCAACAAACACUUUGCCCUCGGUUUUGAGAUAGAAGGUAUACCCAACUGUCUCUUUUGGAUAACCUAUGAAGAUGCACUUUUCCGCUUUGGGUUCCAGCUUUUCAGGAUGGAGCUUUUUGACAUAAGCAUCACAUCCCCAAACUUUAAGAAACGACAACUUUGGUCUUUUGCCAUACCACAGUUUGUAUGGUGUUGUCUCAACGGAUUUUGAUGGUGCCCUAUUUAAAGUGAAUGCAGUUGUUUCUAAUGCAUAACCCCAAAACGAUAAUGGCAAAUCGGUAAGAGACAUCAUAGAUCGCACCAUCUCUAAUAAAGUACGAUUAUGACGUUCAGAUACACCAUUACGCUGUGGUGUUCCAGGCGGUGUCAACUGUGAAACAAUUCCACAUUGUCUUAAGUGAGCACCAAACUCGAAACUCAGAUAUUCACCCCCACGAUCAGACCGUAGGAACCUCAUCUUCUUGUUACGAUGAUUUUCAACUUCACUCUGAAAUUGCUUGAACUUUUCAAAUGUUUCAGACUUGUGUUUCAUCAAGUAGACAUAACCAUAUCUACUCAAAUGGUAAGUGAAGGUGAGAAAAUAACGAUAUUCGCCGCGUGCCUCCACGCUCAUCGGACCACACACAUCGGUAUGUAUGAUUUCCAACAAGUCACUUGCACGCUCCAUUGUUCCGGAGAACGGAGUUUUAGUCAUCUUGCCCAUGAGGCAUGGUUCGCACGUGUCAAGUGAAUCAAAGUCAAGUGACUCCAAAAGUCCAUCGGAAUGGAGUUUCUUCAUGCGCUUUACACCAAUAUGACCUAAGCGGCAGUGCCACAAAAACAUGGCACUAUCAUUGUUAACUUUAACUCUUUUGGUCUCAAUGUUAUGUAUAUGUGUAUUAUCAUUAUCAAGAUUCAAUAUGAACAAUCCCCUCACAUUGGGUGCAUGACCAUAAAAUAUAUUACUCAUAGAAAUAGAACAACCUUUAUUCUCUGACUUAAACGAGUAACCGUCUCGCAAUAAACAAGAUCCAGAUAUAAUGUUCAUGCUUAACGCAUGCACUAAAUAACAAUUAUUUAAGUUCAUAACUAAUCCUGAUGGUAACUGAAGUGAAACUGUGCCGACGGCGAUUGCAUCAACCUUGGAACCAUUUCCCACGUGCAUCGACACUUCAUCUUUCGCCAGCCUUCGCCUAUUCCACAGUUCCUAUUUUGAGUUGCAAAUAUGAGCAACAGAACCGGUAUCGAAUACCGAGGCACUACUACGAGAGCUGGUUAAGUACACAUCAAUAACAUGUAUAUCAAAUAUACCUGAUUUUUUUUGGCCGCCUUCUUAUCAGCCAGAUACUUGGGGCAGUUGCACUUCCAGUGACCCAUACCCUUGCAAUAAUAGCACUCCGUUUCAGGCUUAGGUCCAGCUUUGGGUUUCUUCGUCGGAUUGGCAACAGUUUUGCCGCUCUUCUUUGAAUUACCCUUCUUUCCUUUGCAGUUUCUCUUGAAACAAGUGGUCUUAUUCACCAUCAACACUUAAUGCUCUUUACGGAGUUCUGACUCUGCGACUUUCAGCAUCGCGAACAACUCGCCGGGUGACUUGUUCAUCCCUUGCAUGUUGUAGUUCAACACAAAGCCCUUAUAGCUUGGUGGCAGUGAUUGAAGAAUUCUAUCAGUAAUAGCCUCUUGCGGGAGUUCAAUCCCCAGCUCAGCUAGACGGUUUGAGUACCAAGACAUUUUGAGGACAUGUUCACUCACAGACGAAUUCUCCUCCAUCUUGCAAGCAUAUAAUUUAUUGGAGGUCUCAUACCUCUCGAUCCGGGCGUUCUUCUGAAAGAUAAACUUCAACUCCUCGAACAUCUCAUAUGCUCCAUGACGCUCAAAGCGACGUUGAAGUCUCGGCUCUAAGCCAUACAAGACUGCACAUUGAACUACUGAGUAGUCCUCCUUACGUGUUAACCAAGCGUUCUUAACAUCUUGAUCAGCCGUAGUGGGUGGUUCAUCUCCUAGCGCAACAUUAAGGACAUAAUCCUUCUUCCCAGCUUGCAGGAGCAACUUAAGAUUACGAGCCCAGUCUACAAAGUUGCAUCCAUCAUAUUUCAACUUAGCUUUCUCUAGGAACGUAUUAAAAUUCAGGGUGACUGUCGCGUGAGCCAUGAUCUACAACACAGAUAUAUUCAAAGUGGACUUAGACUAUGUUCAAGAUAAUUAGAGUUUAACUUAAUCAAAUUACUUGCUGAACUCCCACUCAAAAAGUACAUCUCUCUAGUCAUUUGAGUGGUUCAUGAUCCAAUUCCACUAGCUCAAGUCCGAUCAUCACGUGAGUUGAGGAUAGUUUCAGUGGUAAGCAUCCCUAUGCUAAUCAUAUCAACUAUAUGAUUCAUGAUCGACCUUUUGGUCUCAUGUGUUCCGAGGCCAUGUCUGCACAUGCUAGGCUCGUCAAGCUUAACCCGAGUGUUCCGCGUGUGCAACUGUUUUGCACCCGUUGUAUGUGAACGUUGAGUCUAUCACACCCGAUCAUCACGUGGUGUAUCGAAACGACGAACUGUAGCAACGGUGCACGGUCGGGGAGAACACAAUUUCGUCUUGAAAUUUUAGUGAAAGAUCACCUCAUAAUGCUACCGUCGUUCUAAGCAAAAUAAGGUGCAUAAAAGGAUUAACUUCACAUGCAAUUCAUAAGUGACAUGAUAUGGCCAUCAUCACGUGCUUCUUGAUCUCCAUCACCAAAGCACCGACACGAUCUUGUGUCACCGGCACCACACCAUGACCUCCAUCAACGUGUCGCCAUCGGGGUUGUCGUGCUACUCAUGCUAUUACUACUAAAGCUACAUCCUAGCAAAAUAGUAAACGCAUCUGCAAGCACAAACGUUAGUUUAAAGACAACCCUAUGGCUCCUGCCGGUUGCCGUACCAUCGACGUGCAAGUCGAUAUUAACUAUUACAACAUGAUCAUCUCAUACAUCCAAUAUAUCACAUCACAUCGUUGGCCAUAUCACAUCACAAGCAUACCCUGCAAAAACAAGUUAGACGUCCUCUAAUUGUUGUUGCAUGUUUUACGUGGUGACCAUGGGUAUCUAGUAGGAUUGCAUCUUACUUACGCAAACACCACAACGAAGAUAUAUGAAUUGCUAUUUAACCUCAUCCAAGGACCUCCUCGGUCAAAUCCGAUUCAACUAAAGUUGGAGAAACCGACACUCGCCAGUCAUCUUUGAGCAACGGAGUUGCUCGUAGCGAUGAAACCAGUCUCUCGUAAGCGUACAAGUAAUGUCGGUCCGAGCCGCUUCGCUCCAACAAUACCGCGGAAUCAAGAAAAGACUAAGGAGGGCAGCAAAUCGCACAUCACCGCCCACAAAAAUUUUGUGUUCUACUCGAGAUUACAUCUACGCAUGAACCUAGCUCAUGAUGCCACUGAUGGGGAACGUCGCAUGGGAAACAAAAAAUUUCCUACGCGCACGAAGACCUAUCAUGGUGAUGUCCAUCUACGAGGGGGAUUUCAGAUCUACGUACCCUUGUAGAUCGCACAGAAGAAGCGUUAAUAAACGCGGUUGAUGUAGUGGAACGUCCUCACGUCCCUCGAUCCGCCCUGCGAACCUUCCCACGAACCGUCCCGCUAUUCGUCCCACAAUCCGCUCCGAUCUAGUGCCGAACGGACGGCGCCUCCGCGUUCAACACACGUACAGCUCGACGAUGAUCUCGGCCUUCUUGAUCCAGCAAGAGAGACGGAGAGGUAGAUGAGUUCUCCGGCAGCGUGAUGGCGCUCCGGAGGUUGGUGGUGAUCUAAUCUCAGCAGGGCUCCGCCCGAGCUCUCCAGAAACCUUCGUAUAUAUAGGUGGGAGGGGAGGGGCCUUGCCUUGGGGCUCAAGGAGCCCCAAGGGGUUCGGCCGAAGGGGGGGAGGAGGAGUCCUCCUCCAAUCCUAGUCCAACUAGGAUUGGAAGGUGGAGUCCUUCCCUUCCUUCCCACUUCCCCUUUUUUCAUCUUUGAUUUUCUUAUCUCCGUGCGCAGGGGCCUCUUUGGGCUUGCCCACCAGCCCACUAAGGGCUGGUGCGGCACCCCUAAGGCCUAUGGGCUUCCCCGGGGUGGCUGCCCCCCCCCCCGGUGAACAUUCGGAACUCAUUCGUCAUUCCCGGUACAUUCCCGGUAAUUCCAAAAACCUUCCGGUAAUCAAAUGAGGUCAUCCUAUAUAUCAAUCUUUGUCUCUGGACCAUUCCGGAAACCCUCGUGACGUCCGUGAUCUCAUCCGGGACUCCGAACAACAUUCGGUAACUGUUGGGGAUAUACCCCACGGUGUGACCCGGCUUGAAGUAUGACCCGCCAAGACUUGGUGACUCACCGGCGAAUCAGCAGUGACCUGGCGGGCGGGCCAUACAUGACCCGGCAGGCAACUCACACAAACGAUAAAGGCCCAAGGCCCAGCGCGCACCCUGGCAUAAGGCGACUGAUAGAGAGGCCAGGAGGGCCGACUCACACAGAAGGCCCAGGAAGAAAGACUCCCACAAGAAGGAAACAAGACCCGGAUCAGGAUUCAAGAGAGACUAGUCCUAUUCCUACUCCUAGUAGGACUCUACAUGUAAACCUACCCCUUCCACCUAUAUAAGGAGGGGUAAGGCGCCCGAAGAGGGACAAGAUACACAACUUAGGUCUAGACAAGACAAAUCAUGAGAUAGACAGAUUAGACACCCACGAGAUUAGAGGUGGCGAGUCUGCACCCUUGUAAUCGAGAUCAUUGUCUUCAUCAAUGAAACACAACCAGGACAUAGGUUUUUACCUCCAUCGGAGGGGCCGAACCUGGGUAAACUCGCGUCUCUCGAUUCCAACCAACCUCUUCAAGCCGCCACAUGGUUGCGAUGGCCUCACACCUAAGUUCUCUCACGAGGACAUCUGCCGUGACAAAACCACGACAGUUGGCGCCCAUCGUGGGGCCGAUCGCAUGGUGGUAUUGUGUUCUUGGAGGGAAACUCUGUGGGGAUCGAGAAGCUCGCGAAACUAUUGCGCACGAUAACCUGGCAUGGAACAAUCGUGGGGCUUGGUGUGCACAAAUCAACAAGUUCAGUCGGAUUGAUUCGGUCCAAGGAAUUAGGUGCCAUGGUGUCUCAAUCAAUCUGCAUCGACAUUAGCAGAAGCUCACGAGAUGAAGUUUAGAAGAAAUUAAGGUUUUAUGCUAUACAUCGUCGAACGCGUAUCUAGCGAUAUGUCAAUCCGAGGGCGGGUCGGCGCGUGUUACUGACAAGAUGAACAGAUUUCUGCUUAUGCCCUACACAUCAUCUGUUAGUUGUGAAUUGAUGCUGCUACCACAAACGCACACAUAGACGGAGACAUGAUCGAGACCUUUGCCCGUUCGGUGCAUGUGCGUGCAGGAGCAAUCUGACCGAAAUCAAAAGCUGGUGAUUCUUUUUUACUCCUGUUCCGAUCAGCGGUUGUAUGAGUUGUGCCACAGGUGAUCAAAGAUAAGGCAUCAGGGACCAACGUUUUGAUUUUUCCUGUUGAAGUGAUCAAACUACUAUUUCUUAUUGGGUUAUCGCGUCACAUCAAUCAAGAUUUCCCGUGAUGGACUCCGGAUUGUGUGCAAUCAGUCAUCUGCUACUACCAAAAUACUCCCUCCGUCCAGAAAUACUUGUCCUAGAGAUGAAUGUAUCUAGACUUAUUUUAGUUAUAGAUACAUCCAUUAUAUCCAUUUCUAGGACAAGUAUUUCCGGACGGAGGAAGUAAAAGAGAAAGACCACAGUCAGGGGCGGACUCGGAAUCGUCGCGCCCGCAGCUGGCUUCACCGAAGCCGGCCGCGACCCGAACUCGGGACCUCUCGUCAACAUAUAUUAUGGACCGGACGGCUUGAAUCGGGAGAGAUGGCUCGCCACCGUUGCUUCGCCUCGCUUUGCUCCGCCCUGCCGAGCCGGCCGACCUCGCCUCGCGUCCGAGCCGCCAUGGCCCCCGACAAGCCAGCUUCGCAUCACCUGCCCACCUUGCCAUCGCAUACUCACAUCGAGCCGGCCGCCUCAUAUCACCGUAACCACCAACCACAGUCGCGCCUCGCGCUCCAUGUGCCGGCGCCUCACCUGAGCCAGCGCCUCCACGCACAGUCCCACCUUGAGCUGGUCACCUUCCCUGCGCCGCUUCACCAACGCGUCAGCCUUGUUGGCUUUUGAACGUGCGUAUGCAGCUGUACAGGUGUGCCUACGCGGUUCUUGCUUCGGCCAGCUACUUGACGGAACUUGCGUAACUAGCGACACGAAUAAAACUGAUCGAUGGAUUUGAUGGCUAAAGGCUCGUGUCGUGCCUUUGCUUUGUAUUGCUUUUCGUUUUUCUGGUGUUACAAUCAACACCCCUAGGGUGUCUUUUAUACACGUCCACAAGGGACUAUGGAAAUAGACUAGGACUAGGAAUCCUAAUACUACUAGGACUCGGUUUGGCUUUCUUUCCUAAUCCUAAAGAAACAACAUGAUUAACUUCUACAUUCACCUCCUUAAUCUUGUUGCUUGACUUCACUUCUUGCACUCCGACUUUGCUCCUCAUCUCGAUGAACUUCUGUCGACCGAGGGACUUGGUGAAAAUAUUUGGCAAGUUGGUCUUUCGUGUUCACAUGUUGAACCUCGAUCAACCCUUCUUCAAUGCACUCCCGGAUAUGGUGGAACCGGGUAUCUAUGUGCUUGCUCCUUUCGUGAUGAACCGGAUUUUUGCACAACGAGAUUGCAGCUUGGUUAUCGAUCUUCAGUGACACCUUCUGCACCUCCCGCUUUGCAAGAAUAGCUAGGAGUCUUCUCAGCCACACUGCUUGACAAGCCGCCGUGCUUGCCGCUAUGUAUUCUGCCUCGCAUGAAGACAGUGCCACCACCUUUUGCUUCUGAGAAUUCCAGCUAAUCGGAUUCGGGCCAAGGUAGAAAACCAUGCCCGUUGUGCUCUUUCGGUCAUCAACAUCACCUGCCAUGUCGCUAUCUGAAUAUCCAUGAAGGAUGAAUCCUUCCUUUCCCUUUCUAUACGUGCAGCCAAGAUUAAUUGUGCCUUUCACAUAGCGUAGAAUUUGAUUGACCGCGCUCAUGUGUUCGGUUGUCGGAUUCUCCAUGAAACGACUCACGAUCCCGACUGAAUACGCCAAGUCAGGUCGGGUAUGCACCAAAUAUCUUAGGCUGCCCACAACGCUUCGAUACAUUGUGGUGUCCACCGGCGGAUUUGAGCUACGCUUGCUCAACUUGUGACGUUGGUCCAUUGGAACUUGUGUCUCGUAGCAAUCUGACAUGCCACACUUUUCCAAUAACUUGACUGCGUAGGCCGAUUGACAUAGGGAAAUCUCUCCGGAGCUUUGCUUCACUUCGAUGCCCAAGUAAUAGCUGAGUAAUCCUAGAUCACUCAUGCUAAACUUGUUCUUCAUUUGCGCCUUGAAACGUUCAAUUUCUUGUACGCUAUCUCCGGUGAUAAUCAGAUCGUCGACAUAAACUCCAACUAGCAGGUUUGAGCCUUUGGAGUUCUUUGUAUAGACUGCGUGCUCGAGGGGACAUCUCUUGAACCCGAGCGAGACCAGACUUUGGUCUAACUUUGAGUUCCAAGCUCUUGGCGCUUGCUUCAACCCGUAAAGUGCCUUCUUGAGCUUGUAAACUUUCCCUUCUUCGCCUUUCUUCUCGUAGCCGAGGGGUUGUUCCACGUACACUUCUUCUGUGAGAUCGCCAUUGAGGAAAGCGGAUUUAACAUCCAUAUGAUGAACCUUCCAAUCCUCUUGUGCUGCCAAAGCUAGGAGCACUCUCACCGUCUCGAUUUGAGCAACCGGUGCAAACACCUCAUCAUAGUCAACUCCUUGACGUUGAACGUAGGCCUUUGCAACGAGUCUUGCCUUGUACUUCACAAUGGCACCCUCCGUGUCCUUCUUUAACUUGUAAACCCACUUCAAACCUAUCGUCUUUUGGUUUGGAGGUCGGGUUACCAAAGUCCACGUGCCAUUGCUCUCAAUUGCCUUCAUCUCCUCAUGCAUGGUGUGCGUCCAACUACGACUUUUGCUCGCCUCUACGAAGUUCGCCGGCUCCUCAACUCCGAACAGACAUAGUCCGGAGUACUCGAGCGUAACUGGCUUUGUGUACUUGUAGACUUUCUUGAGGGUCUUGUAGCGACGAGGCCCUGAGGAGUCCGUUGUGGCUUGCGAAGGAGGCGACACAAAUUGUGUCGGUGUUGAUGCACUUGAGGAAGACGGCUGAGACCCUGGUGUGUCAUCUACAUCCGUGUCGUCGGCGUAGUCGUCGUGACCGUGACCAUCAUCUUGAUUGUCGUCGUCACUAUGCGCCUCAUUGUCGAUGUUGUCGUCGAGAUCUCCGCCUGUGUCGUGCGCGGCGUUGUCGCUAUCUCCUUGCGACCUAUGCGCAUCGUCGUCGGUGUCGGCACCAUGAUGAUCACUACCAUUGUGGUCACCUUGGUUGGGCGUCUUAUCAACCACUUGGACAUCCUCCCCUGCAUCAUCAUCAGUUGGAAAUUCAACCAUGAAUAUGUUACUGUUUGGAGCAUUGUCGGCUGCGGCGCUCCAAUUCCACGCUUGGUUUUCUUCAAACACGACGUCGCGUGAAAUCCGUAGACGCUUGGUUUGUGGAUCGUAGAAGCGGUAUGCUUUGGUGCCGGAACUCCUCUCGUAUCCGAUGAACACCAUCUUGGUGCUACGAUCGACAAGCUUUGAGAGAUGUGGCUCCGCCAUCUUCACAUGUGCCACACACCCGAACAUCCGUAGAUGAGACACAUUCGGCUUACGUCCGUGAAUUGCUUCAUACGGAGUCUUGUCGAUCACCGCCUUCGUUGGAGCCCGGUUGAGAAGAUAGACCGCCGUCGAGACAGCUUCUCCCCAAAAAGUCCCCGGCAGGUUCUUGCUCUUGAGUAAACUCCUUGCCAUGUCAACGAUGGUUCGAUUGCGCCUUUCAACGACCCCAUUCUGCUGCGGCGUGUAAGGUGCCGUGAGGAACCUCUUUAUGCCAAUCUUCUCGCAGUAGUCGUUGAACUCAUUCGACGUAAAUUCUCCGCCGCGAUCUGUCUCUAGAGCGCGAACCUUCAACUUGUGUUCCAUCUCCGUUGCAGCCUUCAGCUUCUUGAACGCUUCAAACGCCUCAUCUUUAGAUCGUAGGAGAACGACCCACAUAUAUCUCGAGUAGUCGUCUACCACGAGGAAGAAAUACUUCUUUCCCGCGUGAGUUGCUGGGGUGAUAGGGCCACAUAGAUCACCAUGAAGCAGCUUGAGUGCAUCACUUGCACGAUAGGUAGACUGAGCAGGGAACGGCCUGCGGUGCUGUUUUCCAACCAAGCACCCGUCACAUACUUGAUCAACAUGGUCGAUAAAUGGCAUCCCGGAUACCAUCUCCAUCUUUGACAUCUUCUUCAAGGCGUAGAAGUUAACGUGUCCAAAUCUAGCAUGCCAUAACCACGAAUCAUCAUCACUCUUGGCGAGCCAACACUCCGGUUGAGAUUGAUCAAGGUUGAGGAAAUAUAGCCUAUUCCGUGUGCGAUUAACAUGAGCUAGCACGUUUCGGAGGUUGUCGAAGAUCGUCAUCACUCCGCUCUCGAUAUUCACCUUGCAUCCAUUCUCGUCAAGCUUCCCAAUAGAGAUGAUGUUGUUGCACAGCCGUGGGAUGUAGUACACUCCGGUGAGUAUGCGAUGUUCGCCUGUGAGACCCUCAAAGAGGACAGAUCCUUGCCCGCAAAUCUCCACAGCUGAACCAUCACCGAACUUGACCGAGCCUUCAACAUCGUAUUCCAGCUCGAGGAAUUUCUCCUUGCACCCCGUCAUGUGGUUACUGGCACCCGUGUCGAGAUACCACGACACGUUCUGAUCACCGGAUAACUUUGGUGUCACUUUUUCCUCAUGAAGUAGCACCUUCCGGCUUGGUUUCACAACCACCGUUUCAGCGAGAUCACAAACUUCGGCCAUCAGAAGACCUGGACCUUCGUCUUCGUGCUUUGCCAAAUUUGCCUUGAUCUCCCGCUUGUUAGGCUUUGGACAAUCCUUUGCAAAGUGACCCAUAUCGUUGCAGUUAUAGCACUUAACCUCGGAUAAAUCCAAGUUUCGUGGCUUCCGCCCUUUAGAUUGGUCCGCCUUACCACGACCUUGUGGCUUGCCUUUUCCUUUGCCUUUUCCGGUUUGUCCGUCGCGCUUCACGUUGCUUGAGCCUUCGCCACCAUCACGCCUUCCUUUGCUACUUGGGGCCUCCCAAUCUGCGCGCGAGUACAUGAGUUGGUCGCUACCUCCUCCUUUGCCUUUCCGACAGCCACGAGCAUUCUCUUCCCAUGUUCGCAAGCGUCCGAUUGCCUCCGUUAUGGUCAUGUCGUCGAUGUCGUAAAGCUGCUCGAGCGUGCCGAUGAUGUACGUGAAUUUAUCAGUCACCGAACUGAAAAAUUUCUCCACAAUCUCGGUCUCAUCGAGCUUUGCACCAAGCGCGCGGAUCUCUCCCACCAAAGUAGUAAGACGCCUGGCAUAGUCGUUCACCGAUUCAGUUUCCUCCAUCUGCAACUUGUGAAAUUGGCGCUUCAGUACUUGUGCCCGAGCCUUGGUGACGCGAUCUUCUCCGAUCCUCAUCUCCUUGAGUGCGUUCCACGCCUCUCUUGCCAUCUCGAACUCCGCCAAUGUCAUCAGCAUGGAAUCCGGCACAGACUGGGCUAUGGCGGCCAUGGCACCUUCGUCGGACUCGUCAACGACGUCGUCGUCCGUGAUUGCCUGCCACACUCGAAGGGUUCGGAGAAUAAUCUUCAUCUUCACCGCCCACACGCCAUAGUUGGCGUCGGUGAGCAUCGGGUACUCGAUGAGGAUGUUGCGAUGCGCCUGGACGUUGGCGCCCCUCGUUCCUCCACCACUGGUUGCUGACUUGAUGACCUUCUUCACCUUGUCGCCGUUCUUGUUCGCCUUGGCACGGCCGCUGCCGGACUUGACCGACUCAGCGUCGCUGUCCGUCAUCGUAGAUCGUAGAUCGUCGAGGCUCUGAUACCAAUUGUUGGCUUUUGAACAUGCGUAUGCAGCUGUACAGGCGUGCCUACGCGGUUCUUGCUUCGGCCGGCUACUUGACGGAACUUGCGUAACUAGCGACGCGAAUAAAACUGAUCGAUGGAUUUGAUGGCUAAAGGCUCGUGUUGUGCCUUUGCUUUGUAUUGCUUUUCGUUUUUUCUGGUGUUACAAUCAACACCCCUAGGGUGUCUUUUAUACACGUCCACAAGGGACUCUGGAAAUAGACUAGGACUAGGAAUCCUAAUACUACUAGGACUCGGUUUGGCUUUCUUUCCUAAUCCUAAANNNNNNNNNNNNNNNNNNNNNNNNNNNNNNNNNNNNNNNNNNNNNNNNNNNNNNNNNNNNNNNNNNNNNNNNNNNNNNNNNNNNNNNNNNNNNNNNNNNNCUCGGGGCCCACUCGGUAAUACAACAUCACACACAAGCCUUGCAAGCAAUGUGACUUAGUGUAAGUCACGUGAUCUUGUAUUACGUGACGAGUAAAGAGACUUGCCGGUAAACGAGAUUGAAAUAGGUAUGCGGAUACUGACGAUCGAAUCUCGGGCAAGUAACAUAGCGAAGGACAAAGGGAAUGACAUACGGGAUUAUAUGAAUCCUUGGCACUGAGGUUCAAACGAUAAGAUCUUCGUAGAAUAUGUAGGAUCCAAUAUGGGCAUCCAGGUCCCGCUAUUGGAUAUUGAUCGAGGAGUCCCUCGGGUCAUGUCUACAUAGUUCUCGAACCCGCAGGGUCUGCACACUUAAGGUUCGACGUUGUUUUAUGCGUAUUUGAGUUAUAUGGUUUGUUACCGAAUGUUGUUCGGAGUCUCGGAUGAGAUCACAGACGUCACGAGGGUUUCCGGAAUGGUCCGGAGACAAAUAUUGAUAUAUAGGAUGACCUCAUUUGAUUACCGGAAGGUUUUCGGAAUUACCGGGAAUGUACCGGGAAUGACGAAUGGGUUCCGGAUGUUCACCGAGGGGGGCAGCCCACCCCGGGGAAGCCCAUAGGCCUUAGGGGUGCCGCACCAGCCCUUAGUGGGCUGGUGGGAAAGCCCAAAGAGCCCCCUGCACAGGGAGAUAAGAAAAUCAAAGAGAAAAAAGGGGAAGUGGUAAGGAAGGGAAGGACUCCACCUUCCAAUCCUAGUUGGACUAGGAUUGGAGGAGGACUCCUCCUCCCCCCCNNNNNNNNNNNNNNNNNNNNNNNNNNNNNNNNNNNNNNNNNNNNNNNNNNNNNNNNNNNNNNNNNNNNNNNNNNNNNNNNNNNNNNNNNNNNNNNNNNNNGUGCUUAGGAGUUAGACCGGAGGGCUGGCCUCUGUGUUGAGUCUUAGGUGGGGCUGCGAUGUGUCGUUAUUCCGAGGCCGGGCAUGACCGAGAAAAGUGUGUCCGGCCAGAGUGUUAUCGAGCAUGACGGGAAAUGUUGUGCACCCCUACAGUGAUGAAAAUUAACUAUUCGAAUAGCCGUGUCCAUGGUUACAGGACGACUUGGAGUUGUGCCCUGAUCUUAUAAAACUACAAUUGUUACUUAACUGGAAUUAGUUGCCUCGGGAUUGCUUCCUCGCACGGAGUCGAGGGAGGAUCUCUGGGCGUGACCUCACUUUAAUAUUGCUGCAACAAUAUGACUAUUAGUUAUGUUAGACCUGUUCUACUCUCGUCUAUUGCCGCAAGACCCUGAAGAUGCUAGUAUUUGAUAGGACUAGGCCUUCUCUCUCUAUUUCUCGCAUUGCUGCAGUCAGCCCACAUAUAAACACCCCCUUUUUUUAUACUGAUGCAUACUUAGAAUAGUUCUGAUGUAAGAUUUGCGAGUACUUUGGAUGAGUACUCAUCGUUGCUUUGCUCCCCCUUUGUCUCCUUGAUCCGUUGCUGCGACCAGAUGAUGGAGCACAGGAGAUGGAGGUUCUCGCCAACGACGAUUGCUACCCUCGACGGUGCCUACUACUACGUGGAGGCCGCUGAAGACCAGGAGUAGUUAGGAGAUUCCAAGGCAGGAGGCCUCGCCUUGUUCGAUCGUUGUAUCUUUUGUGCUAGACUUCUCUAAGGCACCCCAUGUUUUAUGUUUGUACUCAGAUAUUGUUGCUUCCGCUGACUCAUGUGUUUAUCGAGCUUCCGUAUUCUAGCCCUCAAGGCCCCUGGCUUGUAAUAUGAAGCUGAUAUUGUUUUAUUUGUGUCUAGAGUUGUGUUUUGAUAUCUUCCCGUGAGUCCUUGAGUUUGAUCGUACGCAUUUGCGUGUAUGAUUAGCGUACGAUUAAAUCGAGGGUGUAACAGGCCUCCAAGGUGCCGUCGGGGACAGCCCACCAUUGGUCCCGCCCCUCGGAGUUGUGGCGGCCGCGGGGCUCGACCCCGUUGGUGGAGGCGAGCUGGUCGGCGUGACGGCGUUCGAAGUACGCCGUCCACAACGUGUUGCUGCCGGAGGCGUAUCGCAGGAGGUUGCGUGAGUUCUCUCGCAGGCCGGACCAGAUGUGCACGAUCUCCGCCCGUCGCUCACCUCCGGUGGGUGGUGGUGGCACCGGGACGCUGCCGGCGCUCAACCUCCAAUACGCUGGCACCCGCAUGUCCGGCGGCACUGGGUAGUCUGCCUCGUCGAGGAGGCGGGCCUCGUCCUCGCGGAGGUGCCGGGGGCCGAAGCCAUUGGCGGCCACUCCAUCGCCGGGGUAGCGUUCGGCCAUCGUUCUUGGGGAGGAGAGGGAGAGUGUGGCCACCAGCGGGGGGGGGGNGGGGGGGGGGGUCGCCUUAUAUAGCCGCGGGCGUGCGAGCAUGCGGAGCGGCGGCGUGUGAACGCGUGGCAGGAACCGAUGGGACGUGCGUUGCCGCGCCUUCAGUGCGCCGGCCAUGAAUCAAUGGAAGGUUGACCGCCGGCGCAACCUUCACAUUGAAUCUUGCGGGAAAUGAGGCGAUGAGGACGACGACAACGCGGUCAGUCGCUGACUCGGCGGACCCAUUAUUUUUUUGCACCAAAAACGUUUCCGCCGGCGCCCCCGGGCAACCCCCACCGUGCUGGGUUUGGCGUGGGACCGGCGGGGGCCNNNNNNNNNNNNNNNNNNNNNNNNNNNNNNNNNNNNNNNNNNNNNNNNNNNNNNNNNNNNNNNNNNNNNNNNNNNNNNNNNNNNNNNNNNNNNNNNNNNNNNNAAUCGAAUGAAUUUCUUCAAUGUUUUAUUUAUUCAAAUUAAUUUUUCAUCACAAUGGUUGCCACAAUAACAUGUGAGGUUUUUAUAACAUUUGAUCUAAACUGAAAUUUAUAACAAUUUAAAUGGAAUAUCUGUUUGGCAAACACCCUUCUCAGUAGAUAGAUGUUUUCACGUUGCCAUCUUGUUGCCUCGGAAGUGUCCCUCCCACCACGGAUCAUUUCCCGUGUGGCACUCCUCUUUAUGCCCCUUGCACCGCCUUGGAUUUUUGAACGUGUUGGUUUCUUUCUCCAGUGCCAUGCAUAGCUCGACAUCCCGCGCCGCACCAACAACAAACUGGGUGUCGCCAAGAGAUUUUCUCCACCUCAAUAAAGCACAUGGAGAGGCAAGCUUGAAUCGCCGGUUUGAACACCACCUUGCCAACCGAGCUAGGUUUGCUCUUGUGCAAGAAGACCAUACCAAAUCUGCUCUUUUUAUCAACAAUGGUUAAACGUUCAAACAAUGUCAUCAUAAUCAACAUGACAAAACAUUGCAGAAACUAAGGACAUACUCUCUGGAACUAAAAGGUUCUACCCGAGGCAAUGCUCAGCUUCAUCAGUUGCUUUCCUAUCAUCUCUCCUAAAGAUUUAAAGCAUCAUUGUUCCAACAUAUAAAGUAUUCAAGAAAUCACAAGUACAAUGACAUAUUAAAAAACAGUGAGCAGUGUGGGCACUGCCACCCUCGACUCAUUCGUCGUCACUUCAGCUACAUGAAAGAAGUGUAAAACAUCAAGAAAGCGAUAGUUCUGUGCCUUCACAUCAUGCGAAAUUGCUAUUUUUGGUAGAAUUCGAUGCUAUCUAAGGACGUAUCCUCUAGUUUCCCUUGCCGCAAAAAGAAAAGGAGUUUUUAUUUCAAAAUACCAAGUAAUCCUAGCACACAAAGUUAAAGCAAUCAACUAACAAAAAUAUACUGAUACAUUGUGAUUCACCUUGCUAUUGUUGCUAUCUCAGUCAAAGAGUUUUUGCACGUGAUAGUAACCAUGCUACUUAGGUUUCUUCUAGGUGCGGUAUCAACCGUGUAAACAUAUAUCCAUCCUUGUUGCUCUAAUGUUGAAGCUCCUCUUAUACUCUGCAAGCCCUAUGAAUCUUCAUAUGUUGGACAUAUACUACAAGCCAAAAUGGGUACUCACUCAAGUCAUAUAACAAUGAAAUUCAUUAUCCAAGAUCGUUUACUGAGCUGUUCUGUAACGACCAAGAUGCGGUCCUUUCCGAUCCGGGGAUCGAAGCCCCGAUUUGGAAAGGAGCGCAUCUAAGCGUCUCACAAACAAGGUAACAUCGCACAUACAUAACAAUAAAGAAUGACAAUCAGGGGUUCAAUUGCCAUUACAUAAUAUAUAUAUCAGAGUACAUCACGCAUACAACCAAAGUAGUUCUGCUACGGACUACAAACAUGAGAAAAUGCUAUGCUACCCUGCCUGCUGGCCCAUGAUCACGAACACGCCUCAAUCGUCUGGAUAGCUCACGUACAGGCGGUCUGUCUCCUCAUCGUACUGCCACGCCAAUUGCGUGCCGUCGGGAUCACCUGUCUCUGGGGUACCUGAACCUGUGGGGUUGUGAAGGAAUCUGUGAGCCACGGGGACUCAGCAAUCUAUGACCUCAGUGCCAGAACUAGUCAAGUUAUUAGGUAGGAAAAGGUGAAGUGUUUGAGGUUGCAGCAUCCUAAGCUUGAUUUGGUGGCUAUCUUACGUAGAAAAUAUAUGAAGGUGGACUAUACUAGCGGCCGUGAAAACUUGAUCACUAAGUGGUCCUGAACACCUACCUACGUCAAUCAUAACCCCACCGUGUUCCCGAUUGAAGAGAGAUCUUCGAGGGGACAGUCACGGUUACGCUCACAGUUGGCAAUUUUAUUAGAUUAUGUUUAAGUUAUCUAAUACUGGAUGUUAACAAAAUAUUCCAAGUUGCCACAUAACCGCGGGCACGGCUUUCCGAAAGAUUAAACCCUGCAGGGGUGCCCCAACUAGUCCAUCACAAACGUACACGGGCUGCAAUGUAAUCCUGUAUCACGAAUCUCGUGAUCUCGUCGGAUUCCUUAGAGGAAAACCUCAACUCUGGGGGAAACCAAAGCUUCACCGGGAUUCCUAUACGGAAGAUAUAUCGCUAAGGUAAGACAAGGCUAGUAGGACCUCCCGACGUGUGGACGACCCUGAUAAGAGCCGCGUAUCUCAGUCUCAGGACAUGCCGAAUAAGCGAAGCAUACAGUGGCCAGAGAAAUCUCCCGAGUUGCCCCGGGAUGGCCCCGCACGGUGCUCUAGUUUGGACCAACACUCAUGAGGAGCACUGGCCCGGGUUGUUGAUUAAAGAUCCUCGGGGUGAUCAUUCCCUAUGCAGAUUAUUAAGUGAUUAGCAAAUUAACACCAAUGUUGGGUCCCGCCGAACAAGUCUUAUCACUAAGCGAUUUAUCGAGGGGGUAUGAAAAGACCUCGAUGACGCCUAGAGGGGGGGGGGGUGAAUAGGCUAUUUAAAAACUUCUUCGGAUUUGGCUUAAACCUAAUGCGGAAAUAAACUAAGAGGGUACUUGUCAAGCACAAAUCCUAAAUGCACUAGGCACUGGAACGUGUAACAACAACACGAUCUACCAAGAUGGACACAAUACAGUUACUAACAAGCACAAGUAAGUUACACAAACUUACUUGAGCUAUAUCAUACGACAAGUAGGUGAACGACACAAGAUACUAGAUCACACUAUAGCACACGAUAUAUCAAAAGCUGCAAGUGUGAACGUGUGAAUAUAGAGGGUAUGCUUGAAUGAUUAAUCUUGUACAAGAAAUAUCCAACACAAUAUAAUGAGCACAACCAAUAUGCAAUGUGUGUAUGCUCAAAUAACACAAGUAAACCACAAGUAAGGAGUUAGGGUUAAGGAUAACCAAGGUCACUGAGACGAAGAUGUAUCCCGAUGUUCACUUCCUUGGAGGGAAGCUAGUCACCGUUAGAGAGGUGGAUGUUACCACGAAGGCACACCAACGCCACGAAGGCUCACCCUAUUCUCCCUUUGAGAUAACACCACGAAGGCGUUUCUCAACCACUAGUGAUAAGCCUUUGAGGUGGCUUCCAAACACUCACAAACUUUUCGGGGGGUAAUCACACGGAUUGAUUCCUCUCCGAAGAACUCCUACCGCCUAGGAGUCUCCAACCUCCAAGAGUAACAAGAUCACGAGGAAUGCUCAGAACUUGCUCAAAUCUCAAAUAGCUUGGGUUGAGAGAAGGAGAGGGAGAUGAUCUAUCUUUUGAUUGGAACAACUCUCAAAGGGGCUCACAAAUGCUCUUGGGAUCUAAGAUUUGGUGUGAGAAAAUGUGUGUGAGGUAGAAAUGUGUUCUUAUGAGGAUAUGGCUGUGUUGGACACCCUCUCACGAAGUGGGAGGGGGUAUAUAUAUAGUGGGGAGCGUAAAACAGCCGUUGGGGACACUUUAAGUCACACAGGGGUCGGACAUCCGGCAGUUCACGGAUGUCCGGACGUUCACAAGGGGUCGGACAUCCGACAGGGGUCGGUCGCCCGAGGGCUGUAAGUAUAUCUGGAACCACUGUGGAGUUGAACAGGGACCGGACGUCCGGAGAUGGCCGGAAGUCCGAGUUAUUCGACUCAAACCUCUCUGGUGCAACUUUCCAGAUUUCCAAAAGGGGACGGACGUCCGGCCCUCGGACGUCCGGAGGGAGCCGGAAGUCUGAGUUAUAUGGUUCAAGUUCUUCUCGUGCAAAGCUCCGGAUUUCUGAAGCUGGUCGAACGACCGACCCUCAGAUGUCUGGAGGGAGCCGGAAGUCCGAGUUAUAUGGCUCAAGUUCUUCUGGUGCAAAGCUCCGGAUUUUCGAAGCUGGUCGGACGACCAGCCCUCGGACGUCCGGAGGGAGCCGGAAGUCCGAGUUAUAUGACUCUGAUUUCUCUGGUGAAGGAUUCCGGAUUUCCGAAGCAGGUCGGACGUCCGGCCCUCGGACGUCCGGAGGAGGCCGGAUGUCCGAGGCACUGGUCCUGUUUUCUGAUAACAACAGAGAAGUGGAGAUGUGGUAUGAGCAGAACAGUGGAAAUCUAGUUUGAGCAAGUUCAUCACAAAACCUUUGAUCCCCUCUUAAUAGUGCGGGAUCCCUAAAGACUCAAGAAUUGUAAAAGGGGUACCGAUGAUCCAUACUUGAGUGUAUGCUUUUAUUCGCUGAUCAUCACUCCGCACCGCUAACUUCAAAGGAACAGAUACCUUUGAGUUAGCCCUUUCACUUGAGCUUGAUGUUGUUGUUCCUUCUUGGCUCAAUGUUGAAAGCAAGACAUGAUGAAGUCUUCAAGUAGCUCUCGAUACACAAUGUGGAAAGCCUAGCUUAUAUAUUCAUCUUCAUUUGUCCACCAUGUGAACAUCCACAAGGAUCAAGCAUGUAUUGCUCAGGAAUGCUUAUCUUGAUCUUGUCCUUCUUAGCACAUGAGCUUGUCCUUAUCAACACAUGAUCAUUCACAAUAGCUUAAGAAGGGAUUAGUGAUUAAUUAUCUAUAUGUGUGUUGUCAGCAACACCAAAACACGAUUAAGGGCAUGACUGCACUUUCAAUCUCCCCCUUUUUGGUAGUUGAUGACAACAUACAUAUAGCUCUCAAAAAUAGUAAUAGACAUGUGUGGCUUAGGAGAGUUUUGUUACGAUGCUUAUGAAGGUCCCCUUAUUAUAUGCAUAGUAAAAUAGGUAAGUGCGGGAGCUCCCCCUUAAUGUGUGCAUUGAAGAUAAUAGCAUGAUAUAACACCAUAAUAGUUCAACAAUACAUAGCAUAUCAUAUGAAUCAAUAGGAUAGCAUAAAACUCAUCAUCAUAUGACACAACGAUAAUAUCGUGAUAUCUCAUCACCACAUGAUAGUUCAACAAUACAUCAUCCAUAGGUGAUGACAUAGCACACCAUCCAUAAGUAUCGUUACAUGAUGACACAUCAUUAAGUUCGACAUAAUACAUCAUACCAUACAUUGUGAGAGGAACUAAAAUCGAAACUAAGAUAAGAUAAUGUUCUCCCCCUUUGGCAUCAAGGACCAUAAAGGAGGGAAAACUGGCAAUGCUAUCACAUACUCAAAUAUCACUCUCAUCAAUAUCAUCAUUAAUCAGGCAUCAUCCUCAUCAUCAUCAGCCUCAUCANUCAUCAUCAGGCAAACCACUGCCACCAGCCUCAUCAAGAAAAUCAGCCCACUCAGGACCAGAUGGGAAGCCAAAGUCAGAAGGAGGAGCUGCAGGAAGGGCCUCAUUGUCACUCACAUCAAGAGCGCCCGAGUCUCUCAGACGAGCCUUGAGGGCAUUCUUGGAGGAGAUGAGACUAGAAACCACAUCAUGGGUUUGACCACACUGGAAAGAGAAGGCCUUCAUCAUAGCAGAAUGUGCCUUGCCAAUGAAUUUGGCAAAGUGACCGAGAGGAACUGAGCUGGAUGAAGGGGUUGCUGACCGGGCAGCAGUGCGGCGAGUGGAGGUGGAUGAUGGGGUUUUCUUGGGAGCAUAGUUAUCCGCCAUGUGAGCGGGAAUGACCCACUUGUGAUGUGUGUGAGUGACAGCAACAGUGAAGUCAGCAACAUGGUUAAUAAGAGCCUGGAUGAAGUGGGCAUGAGGGAAGGCUCGCUUGUAUUGGGAACUAGCAAGCCGAAUCUCAUGCCAUAGAAAGUGAGGCACAUUAAUUUUGCUCUUGGGGUGCUCGUACAAAUGUGACAUGAUGUCAAUACAGUAGCCACUGCAGGAUCCCUUAUCACCCAUCUUGGGAUAGAUGGUGCGGAUAAGACACUGAAAGAUGAUAAAGUAGGGAGAACGCCAGAUGUAUACCUGGUUAAGAUCCUUCAUUCGUUCGUCGGCAUCAAGUUCACGGAGUGGUUUGAGGAGAUACCCACACGCCUCAAUUGGCUUAUGUGCAUGGUUAGGAUCAUUCUUAUGGAUUUUGAAGCCGGAGUUGGGGAAACCAAGUGCGGCAACAAACGUAUCAUAAGAGGCUAUGAAGUGAAUGUCUGAGGUUAUCCAGCUAACAGUGUUGUUUGGACCAAAGAAACAUGUGGCAUAAAACUGGUGAAUAGCAGCAGCGUUAAAAUCGCGACGAAAAGCAAAGGGGGCAGCAAGCCCCGAUGACUCAAUGGGCUCAAUGGCACCCGGGUAUUUCGCCGGGUGCGUGCGAAUAUGCUCAAGAUCUAUGAAGUGAUGAACAGAGAGACCCUUAGGAACUAUGACCGUAGUAAAGAUGUCCGCCUGGACGUUUGUGCGGAAACGUGAGUCCAUAGAGUCAUGUACGACAGAGAAUUGAUCAACGUCGCGGCGGAAAGUGAGAUAGGAAGAAUUAGCAACCGUGGUGAAGUUCUUGACUUCACGACCUAAAGUAGCAGGAGGUUCAAGUGAGAUGCGACGAGCUUCACCUUCGGGCUGUUCAGGAGGAGGUGGUGGAAUAUAGGAGGGCCUGCGAGUUCCGGGCUUUGGCAUGGACCUCCGAACGGCGGGCUGGUCAGCACGGUCCUCGGCGACAAGCUCAUCCUCGAAGUCAGAGCCAUCAAACGAUGAGGGGAGCUGUUGAGACGGAGGACGACGGGAAGUCCGUUUGAAGGGACGAUGUUGCCCUUCCGAGUCCGACCCCGUGCCAGUAGGGGCACGAGCGGAUGAGCCAGCAGUGUCCUUCCGGGCGACGUGCUUAAUCUUGGGCAUGAUGCACAAAAACCUACACGGAUGGAAACCCAAUGGGGAACGGUCACGGGCAAACCAUAUGAACGAACACGUGGACUUGGGAGAAAAGGGAACCAAACGCAAGGGGAACGGAGGAGAUACCUGCAGAUCGAGAGAGGAGAGGAAGAAGAGAUGGAUCCCGCGGAGGAGAUCGGAUCCCGCGGAGGAGAUCAGGCAGAUCCUGGAGGUGGCGGCGCGGGCGAGCUCUCCUGCCCCCCCCCCCCCCCCGAAAAGGAGGCGCGUGAGGGCUAGGGCAAGGCCCAGCCCCGCGCCCUUCUAUUUAUAGCCCCCCGAUGUGUCGGACGUUCGACAAGCGUCGGACGUCCGGAGUGGAUUUAGCCUUCGGACGACCGACACUGGCCGGACAUCCGGAAUGAGUUUAGCCGACGGAUGUCCGAGACACGUCGGACGACCGAGAGAGGAGGAGGCAGGGCCAGAUUCUGGAAUUUUGAAUGAUGAGGUGAGAGUAUUCUCGCAUGUGUAGCAACCAAAGGGACCUCUCAACUAACAUAUUUUGGACAUGGUCUGAUUUAAGUCUUUUAAUACAAUUACUAUGAUAAGUGUGGGUCCAAAAUACCAUCAAACGCAAGAGUGCAUAGAAUCAUGCACAAGUUAUCCUCUUAUAAGAGCAAGGCACAUGACACAAGGGUCAUGGCACAAAUUUAUCUCAUUCAUAUGACCAUGAAGAGCUAGGAGAACACCAACACUAGGCAUUUCAUCAAUGUGGUUGACAAGGACAUGCAGGAAAUUACAAAGUGGAAAAGGUAUUAUGUUCAUGCCAUGAUGCAACCUACACAAUGUUGACUCUAAUGUUGUACAUGCAUGAAGUAAAUACUUGUUACCGGAAAAGCAUUGGUAUGGCGUAGAAGUAGCCGAGUCCUGUCUUGACUCUAAUUUCUUCGUGACCAGCACCAUCUUCUUCUGAGAAUAAGUCAAGAUAGCAAUGCUUCUCCAAAGUACCUAAACCACCAAUUAAGCACAAUAUGGUCCCCAAACUUAUUGGGUCCGAAGUAGUUAGUCCAACUACAAUAUAUAUAGGGUAAGAUCACUCAAUUAUGUGCAUAUAGAUAUAAGUUUUACUUUCAAGCACACCCUAACCUUUUAAUGGAUACGUCUAAUUUACCAUAUACAUAUAUUGGAUCAAAGAUACGAUAGACACGGCAUGUGCAUCUACACAUAGUAGAUAUGCCUACACAAUCCUAUCAAAAUCCAAGGAUAUACAAUUUGGACAAAUGAACACAUAAUUUUCUAUUACAGAACAUUCAUGUCGUCCAAAAUGGAUCAGGGUGACAAAUCAACAUAUGGUAGCACCCCAAGUUCAACACAUGAACCGGUCAAGGCAUCACACCAUGUAAGGCAUGCAUUUUGCACAACCUUACAUGCAUGUCUCAGCCCAGUAGAUGUAUAAGUGUAGGUAAUAUGAUUAUAACUCCCACAACAUUAUGAAAUAAAUAGUGCGAGCUCUACCGGGAGACACAUGAAUUUCUCGGCACGUUAUGUAGGUCAACUGAAGAUAAAGCCGAAAUAAAAUGACCUUGUGUGUAGUUCUAUCUCCCGCAUGGUGUCCUCCGUAGGCCUCGGAGUGAUACUUCUGUAGGAUCUGUCCCUGUUCAUGUUCAGGCACACAACGUCUAAUAACACCAUCUACUCAUUCCUUAUAAAGGUGAGGAUCAUCCCAGAAGUAAUGUCUCAAGUCAAAGAAGAAUUUCUUCUUUUGCUGGUAUGUGAAACUAGGUGGUAUAUAUUUAGCAACAAUAUAGUUUGCAUAAUCAGCAUACCACGGUGCACUACAUGAAGUAUUGAUGACAUUCAGUUGCUCAUCGGGCAAGCUAUCAUCAAUAGGUUGUGGGUCAUCAAGAACGUUCUCCAACCUAGACAAGUUAUCUGCUACAGGGUUAUCAACACCCUUCCUGUCGACAACGUGCAAAUCAAAUUCUUGUAGCAAGAGAACCCAUCUGAUAAGUCUAGGUUUAGCGUCCUUCUUCUCCAUGAGGUACUUAAUAGCAGCAUGAUCAGUGUGAAUAGUGACUUUGGAAUCAACUAUGUAAGACCUGAACUUUUCACAUGCAAACACGACUGCUAAAAAUUCCUUUUCCAUAGUAGCAUAGUUUCUUUGGGCACUGUCUAGAGUUUUACUAGCAUAGUGAAUAACAUUCAACUUCUUAUCAACUCUUUGCCCUAGGACAACACCAACAGCAUAAUCGCUAGCAUCACACAUGAUUUCAAAAGGUAAGUUCCAAUCAGGUGGUUGAACAAUAGGUGCAGUUAUCAAAGCCCUCUUAAGUAUUUCGAAGGCUUCCUCACAAUCAUCGUCAAAGACAAAAGGAAUAUCCUUUUGCAAGAGAUUGGUAAGAGGCCUAGAAAUCUUAGAGAAGUCUUUCAUGAACCUUCUAUAGAAACCAGCGUGACCAAGGAAACUUCUUAUACCUUUGAUAUCUGUGGGGUAUGGCAUUUUCUCGAUUGCAUCAACCUUAGCCUUAUCGACUUCAAUACCUCUUUCUGAAAUUUUAUGUCCUAAGACGAUGCCUUCAUUCACCAUAAAGUGGCACUUCUCCCAAUUCAAGACAAGAUUGGUGUAUUUACAUCUCUGCAAGACUCGAUCAAGGUUGCUGAGGAAAUCAUCAAAAGAAGAGCCGUAAACGGAGAAGUCAUCCAUGAAAACCUCAACAAUCUUUUCACAAAAGUUAGAGAAUAUAGCCAUCAUACAUCUUUGAAAGGUGGCAGGUGCAUUACAUAAGCCAAAAGGCAUACAUCUAUAAGCAAAGGUACCGAAAGGGCAGGUGAAAGUGGUUUUCUCCUCAUCAGAUUGUGCAACUCGUAUUUGGGAGAAACCAGAAUAACCGUCUAGAAGGCAGAAGUGUGUGUGCCCCCCCCCCCCCAGUCUUUCUAGCAUUUGUCGAUAAAAGGCAAAGGAUAAUGAUCUUUCCUAGUGGCCUUAUUCAAUUUUCUAAAAUUGAUCACCAUCAUAUAGCCAGUAAUAAUCCUCUGUGGGAUCAAUUCAUCCUUAUCAUUAGGGACAAUGGUAAUGCCUCUCUUCUUAGGGACGCAAUGCACCGGACUCACCCAAUCGCUAUGAGCAACAGGAUAAAUAAUACCUGCUUCCAGGAACUUUAGUAUUUCUUUUCUUACUACCUCUUUCAUCUUAGGAUUCAAUCUCCUUUGAUUAUCAGCAACUGGUUUGAAAUCAGGAUCGGUUUUAAUCUUGUGCUGGCAUAGAGUGGGACUAAUGCCCUUAAGAUCAACAAGAGUAUAUCCAAUAGCAGCACGGUGCUUCCUCAAAGUUUUUAGUAACUUCUUUUCUUCAUGCUCUGAGAGGCUAGCACUAAUUAUGACAUGAUAUCUCUUUUUCAUCAAGAUAAGCAUACUUAAGAAUACGUGGCAACUGUUUAAGCUCGAACACGGGAUCACCCUUUGGUGGAGGUGGAUCCCCAAGCAGUUCAACAUGCAAAUUAUUCUGAAGGAUAGGAUAUUGUUCUAAGACAACUCUAUCUAUCUCAUCCCUUUCAUCCAUAUGCAUAUCAUUUUCAUGCUCAAGCAAGUAUUGCUCUAAGGGAUCAGUAGGAGGCACGGCAAUAGAAGCUAAGGCAAUAGUUUCAUCCCUACUAGGAAACUCCUUUUCAUGAGGUUGUCUACCAAACUUGGAGAAAUUGAACUCAUGUGACACACCUUCAAAGCCAACUGUGACAGUUUGCUUCUCACAGUCAAUAUGAGCAUUGACGGUAUUGAGGAAGGGUCUGCCAAACAUGAUGGGACAAAAGCUAUCUUGAGCGGCAGCAAGAACGAUGAAAUCAGCAGGAUACUUCGUUUUACCACAAAAGACUUCAACAUCCCUAACAAUUCCCACAAGGCAGAUAGUAUCUCUAUUGACAAGCUGAAUAGUGACAUCAAUGGGUUCUAUCGCAAUAGGUGCAAUCUCGUCUUUGAUUUCAUCAUAUAAGGAUUGAGGUAUUGCACUAACACUAGCACCCACGUCACAUAAACCAUGAUAAUAAUGAUCUCCUAUCUUAACAAAAACAACUGGCGUGCCAACAAUAGGCCUAUGUUUGUCUCUAGCGUGAGGUUUAGCAAUUCUAGCAGCAUCUUCACAGAAGUGAAUAUUAUGUCCCUCAACAUCAUCGGAUAGAAGAUCUUUGAUAAUAGCAAUGCUAGGUUCAACUCUAAUUUGCUCAGGGGGUGUAGAUGUUCUAAUUUAGCCUCUACGUAUCACAGUUGAAGCUUUAAAAUGAUCCUUUAUCCUAACAGGGAAAGGUGGUUUCUCAAUGUAAGCACUGGGAACAACAGGAUCAUUAUAGGCAAGGACUCUCUCUUCAACUGGAGUGGGUUUAACUACAUUGACUUCUAAAGGAGGAUGAUAUUUAAACCACUUCUCUUUGGGGAGAUCAAUAUGAGCAGCAAAGGAUUCACACAAUGAAGCUACUAUCUCAGAGUCAAGUCCAUACUUAGCGCUAAAGUCACAAAAAGUAUUUGUUUCAACAAAGGAUUUAACGCAAUCAAACUUGAAAUUCAUACCUGACUCCUUACCUUCUUCAAGCUCCUAAUCUUCAGAGUUGCGUUUAAUUCUCUCCAAUAAAUUAUAUUUGAAGUCAAUAUCUCUCUUCAUAAAAGAACCGGUACAAGAAGUGUCAAGCAUGGUGCGAUCAUCAUGAGAAAGCCAAGCAUAGAAGUUCUGAAUGAUAAUUUCUCUCGAGAGCUCAUGAUUGGGGCAUGAAUAUAACAUUUAUUUAAGCCUCCCCCAAGCUUGAGCGAUGCUUUCUCUGUCAUGAGGCCAAAAAUUAUAAAUAUAAUUCCGAUCACGAUGUACUAAAUGCAUAGGACAAAACUUUUGAUGAAAUUCCAAUUUCAACCGAUUGUAGUCCCAUGAUCGAGUAUCAUCACAUAGCCUAUACCAUGUCAACGCCUUAUCCUUCAAAGAUAAAGGAAAUACCUUCUUCUUGACCUCAUCCUCGGGCAAACCUGCAAGCUUAAAUAAACCACAAACUUCAUCUACAUAGAUUAGAUGCAAGUCUGGAUGUGAUGUUCCAUCUCCUGUAAAAGGAUUAGCGAGCAGUUUCUCAAGCAUACCCGAAGGAAAUUCAAAGAAAAUAUUUUCAGUAGGUGCAACAGGUUGAGGAGAAACUCUUUGUGCUUCCGUUCGAGGUGAAGAUACCCCGAACAAGCCCCUCAAAGGAUUAGUAUGUUGGAAUUAUGCCCUAGAGGCAAUGAUAAAUAAGUUAUUAUUAUAAUUACUAUAUCAAGAUAAUCGUUUAUUAUCCAUGCUACAAUUUUAUGGAAUGAAGACUUAGAUACAUGUGUAGAUACAUAGACAAAACACUGUCCCUAGCAAGCCUCUAGUUGGCUGGCCAGUUGAUCAAGGAUAGUCAGGGUCUUCUGACUAUGUACAAGGUGUUGUUGCUUGAUAACUGGAUCACGUCAUUGGGAGAACCAUGUGAUGGACUAGACCCAAACUAACAGACGUAGCAUGUUGAUCGUGUCAUUUUGUUGCUACUGUUUUCUGCGUGUCAAGUAUUUAUUCCUAUGACCAUGAGAUCAUAUAACUCACUGACACCGGAGGAAUGCUUUGUGUGUAUCAAACAUCGCAACGUAACUGGGUGACUAUAAAGAUGCUCUACAGGUAUCUCCGAAGGUGUUCGUUGAGUUAGUAUGNNNNNNNNNNNNNNNNNNNNNNNNNNNNNNNNNNNNNNNNNNNNNNNNNNNNNNNNNNNNNNNNNNNNNNNNNNNNNNNNNNNNNNNNNNNNNNNNNNNNGUCUCGUGGGCUCGGAGAUGUGUAUAAGAGACAGGACCCACCGCGGCUGCGGCAUGUGGUGGUGCGGGUGCGCGUGAUGCGGAGGCGGGUGCGGAUGCGGGUGCGCGUGGGGUUGGUGAGGCGGCACGGCCACCUGUGAUUCGGUGGUGGUCGCCGCCAUCUGCAUCACCGUCCGCGCCGCCGCCGCCGAGGAGGGUCGCCUGGGGUUGGGGGAGUCUCGUGAGGUUGCGGAGGGCGGAAAGAGAGGGUGCCCGUGGGUGAGGUGACUGGAUAUAUAGCGGGCUGGCGGCGGAUUCAGGCCGUCGGAUCUAGGAGUUCGUUAUUCUGCUGGUCGUUGAUUGAAUGUGCGAGGGAGGCGACGUGUAGGGCCGGUGGGAGGUCCCAGGUUUGGAGCGCGUUGGUAGCUGCCGUUAUAGCGCUGACAGUGUGGGCCCUGUGGUUUGGGAGUGCGAUUGGCGAGUGUUUUUCUUUUCUUUUCGAGAGUGUUGUUGCUGGUUUUAUAUAAUGCUUUUCGUAUUUAUUAUACUGCCAUAAAUCAGUGUAUGGUUGAGUGUCUUCCGAUAACAUUUGGGCGAAUAGGAACGAAACAACUAUGUCAUUCUGUUAAUAUAAAUUAGUCUAAAAUUUGUCUUACAUUUUGAGACGAAAAUAAUAAUGUUCAUGUUAAUUGGCAGGUAUGAAUGAGGUCGUGCUGGACAAAGCUUUUUAAGAUAGAAAGUACUAAUCCUUCCAUUCUAAUCUCAAGUUAAUUUAGUGUACCAUAUAGCACACAUUUUGCUAUCAAAAUUAAAGAUAUAUAAAGAUGUGCGAAGAGAGCUAGUAUUAAGAAGUUUCGUUGAAUUGGUAUGUGGGCUCACCGUAAAAAUGUUGACAACAAAUGAAUAGAACUUUCAUCAAAAUCAAACAAUCACUAUGGAACCUUUGGUAAGUGGUUGAUUCGAGAACCCAUAUGCACACUAUAUCACACCAUGACCAUCACAAGAUUAAGAUUUGGAUAGUUCAACCACUAAUGACAUGAUCUUGUGUGUCAUAUACUAUGAUUUUUCUCUUCACAUCAUGGAGAUUCAUUUGAGGUUUACGCCAAGCCUCUCAAAAUAGAAUGUUUCAACGUUCAUGGUGUUGUUAUGGUCUUCGAGGAUCUAACCGCUUGAUCGUUGUUCAAGCAAACUAUUAGGUUUUGCAUGAGGCUUUGAUAAGAUAUUAUACGCUUCAAUUCGCCGUUUCAUGGUUUGUGUGUCUCGUGUUGUGGUUAAGUGGCUUCUUUCAACAAACGGCUAGUUCUUGCUCAAGAAAGUCUAGUGUCGACACAACAUGAAUGUACGAGUGAUUUGCUUUAGGGUACCAAUGUUAGGUUGCACUAUUCUAAGUUGCAUAGGAUCUCAUGUUUGGCCAAGUGUAAUUAUAUGCCAAGUAAUAAAUAUGUAUUCUAUUGCAAAAUAAAAUGGUAUGUAACCUAGUAAGUAAACAAAAUAGGAUAUGACAACCGGUUAUUCUAAAGUACACGUGUAUCUUAAGUAUUAACUUGAUACCGAACUUGUGGACAUGCAUGUGGGGUUGUCGGUGGGGUUGUAUAAUUAAGAAGUGAUAUUAUGUGGCAUUAGUAUCGGUGGUGCUUACAUGUCUAUAUUUAGAAAUAUGAUAUGGAAUGACUUUAUUUAGCCAUGGGCAUUCAAGUUAGCAUGUGUUGUUUUUAGCAUAUCAUUUGAAUGGGAACUUAGAUAAUUCGGUUUUUAAGGAGUGGAGUUCCUUCUCUGUAAGAAGAGUUGGUCUAGAGUGUGAUUUAGAUCAAAAUAAAAUUAAGGAGCUAGUGGUAGCGGGUUGUGGCAAAACAGUAAUAUCACGGUGAUGGUAUCUCAAGGGGUGCUUUUCCUCUCAAUGCUGAUGAGAUAUCUAGAGCUUUUAUUUAUAGUCUUCUUUGGAACAAAUAGCAUUGAAGUCAAAAUAUCCUCUCAGUGGUAGUUUAUACAAAAUAACUAUAUGUAUAACUAUAAGUGUGUUCUUAUCCGUCAAAACACUUCCGUGCCCUUCAACUAGAUGUCCUGCUUUUUUCGAUACUCCAUGAUGCGCGCAUACAUCUUUAUUAGAAUACAUUAUUGAUCGUCCAAAGCAAAAUGUAAGGUAUAGUGAAAGGCCCAACCAUAGCAGGUGGAUGACAGGAUUGCAUGACUCAUAAACAUAAUACAUAACUAUUACUAGAUCACCAUCCAAACCAGUUGAAUGUUUGUUGUGGUGCUUCUAUGGUUGCACUCAAAGGCUAUAGGCACAUGAUCCUCCACGGAUUGCACAGAGCACCACACAUUACUACUCCCUCCGUCCCAAAAUUAUUUUUUUAGGUUUGUCUAGAAAUGGAUGUAUCAAAAUACUAAAACAUGACUAGAUACAUUCAUAUCUAAACAAAUAUAAGACAAGAAGGGACGAAGGGAGUACAAAUUAGAGUAGCACUACCCCCUCAUCAUUGACCGGUCAUUGUCCACAUGUUAGUGAUGAUCAUUAAAACUAACUGGGCACUCCAGAUGUGUUAGUGAUAUCAAUUUUGGUUUCGGUUCAAUGGUUAUCACGGAUCGUUCUAAUGUUGACCAGUAAGUGAUAGCUUGUCCCAAUGAUUGAACUAGACUGAUUAUUAUCACCCAUUGUCUGUUAUAUUUGACUCGUAUGUGUGUAGACAUCUUAAGUAUGGCCCUUUGGUUUUGAGUCGGAUAGUGUUGUGAUAUACACAACCUAAUAUAAUUCAUCGUCCACUCCUCAUCUCCAAUCCAAACUUUGUUAUCGCCAUCGAGUCCCUUCCCCCCACUGGUCAGUAUUGUAAUAUAUUUCAAUAAUACCAGAGCAUUGGCAUGUCGGUUGAUGUGGUUGUAUGGGGGGGGGGGGGGGGGGGUAAUAUAUAACUAGGUUUUUGCUUUUUCUUUAAAAAAACAUGGUCGUUGAUGGGCCACGUAGUGUGUGUGCACAGCUGGAGAUACAACAAAGUGGGAGGGGCAGUGUGUCGUGGUUUUGUCACGGCAGAUGUCCUCGUGAAAGGACUUAGUACGGGAACCAUCGCACCUUGGUGGCGACUCAAAGGGGUUAAACGGGAGGAACACGGCGGGUUACCCAGGUUCGGCCCCUCGAGAGGAGGUAAUAGCCUACGUCCUGCUUUGUGUGUAUUGAUGUGGAUUCGAUUACAAGGGAGGCGUAACUCGCCUAACCUAGCACUCGAUGAUUUCUCACCUCCCCUCCUCCUUCCGACUCGCCUUUAUAUAUAGGUCGAGGCUUUAGGGUUUUACAAGAGUCCCUUCCUCCUUACAAAUCGUGACCACCGUGGUCUCUAAGUCGCCGUCUUGCAAAACCCAGAGACCUUCCAUAAAUCAUAACCGUCCCGCGGCCUUGAACCGCCCAGGCUGAGGCCCAAGUAGCUCAAAGGAUGAAUCGCCUUACUAGUAACCCGACCCAUAUUGGGCGGGUCACUUAAUAAGCAAUAUCCCCAACACAGUGGGUGUGGGGUAGUGCCAAAACAGUCGCCACAGUGGCUACACCGGCUUGGAGGUGGUGGUUGGGUGCUUUGGAUGGAUUGGUGGUGCGGCAUCAAGCAUCGGCAUGAGGGCGGAAAACCAGGAGCUCAUUGGGCACUGGGUGGCGUGCCCAUCGCUAGAUCUGGGCACGACAUCUAGAUCUCGAGGUGGAUGCGGCGUUCAUCAAUUGCAUGGGCUCGCUCUCAUCGGGUGUGUGGCUAUUUACUAUGAUGAGUCCAUGUAUGUCUAUUAUGUUGGUUGCUUUGCCCAUCAAGUAGAGUUAACUCGUGUUGAUACCACUAAUAAGCGUGAUGAUUGCGCUUGAUUUUUUCAACAACUUCCAACCUUGUUAAAUGUUAUUGGCUAUUCUUGUAAAAAGAUGAGAAUGCUUCACAUAGCUCAUACCGACGAACUGACUGAUGCAUUAGACUUGGAGGAAGUAGAAACCAGGAGGGGUAUGAAUCCAUAAAUGGGUUUGGGAAGGCCAUGUGAUACUCGUUGGAGCUCUCACUACAAUACUAUGAAGCAUGUUAUCUCUAUGUAUCCUACAAUAACGUGUGUUGUCACCAAGAUUGCAAAAGAGUAUAAGAACACAGAGGCAAUAGCGAUAAUGCCACGUUGGCAUCAUUUUAGACAUUUGAAUUUGUUUCCAUGGCACACUUUAUGCAAGAAAUAUCUGGCUACACUAAUGACUUGAGUAUAUAUCUACAAAAGAAAUAUCAAGAUGUUGUCCAUGCUACGGAGCUUGUUGAGCUCAAAAAGUUUCACUUGUAGUGCUUGAGGGAAGAUGAUGGUUGUGACCAUUUCCUUCAAAAGGUCACUUCUUUUUGUGUAAAGCACAAGAUAAAAGUUACAUGGAGGAUCCUUACUACCAUGUUGGAAGACCUAAAAGAGAGCUCUUCAAUACCGCAAUGAAUUUACAACGCUUCCAUGUUGAUACGUGAAACGAUGUGGAUGUCGCCUACAGGGGGGGGGGGCGAAUAGGCGCUUUAAAGUAAUUAUGGUUUAGGCUUGAACAAAUGAGGAAUAAAACUAGCGUUCAAUUUGUUAGGCACAAACCCUAAAACAACUAGGCUCACCUAUGUGCACCAACAAAUUAUGCUAAGCAAGACAAACAACUAAGUGAUAACAAGAUAUAUAACAUGAAACACUAUGGCUAUCACAAAGUAAAGUGCAUAAAUAAAGGGCUAAGGUAUGCGAUAACCGAGGCAUGCAGAGACGGUGAUGUAUACUAAAUUUCACACCCUUGCGGAUGCUAGUCUCCGUUUGGAGCUAUAUGGAGGCACGAUGCUCCUCAAAUGCCACUAGGGCCACCGUAAUCUCCUCGCGCCCUCGCACAAUGCAAGAUGUUGUGAUACCACUAAGGGCCCCUUGUGGGCGGUCGUUGAACCCGUACAAAUGGUGACCCUUGGGGGCGAUCACUGAACCCGUACGAUUGGCAACCCUUGGCGAUAGUCAUCGAAACCCGUACAAAUUGCCCGGGGCAAUCUCCACAACUAAAUUAGAGACCCGAUGCUUGCUUGGAGCUUUACACCACAAUGAUUGAGCUCCGGAGACGCCACCAACCGUCUAGGGCGCCAAAGCACCCAAGAGGCAAAAAAUCUUGGGUCCCAAACACCCAAGAGAAAUAAGCUUCUCAAAUUUUCACUUCCACGUAACACCAUGGAGAACUCAACCCGAUGCAACUAAUGCAAUGGAAAAGAACACAUGAAGUGGUAAAGUCCCUCACUCUCAAAUCCAACCACAACAACAAAAGCUAUUGAUGAAUAUGUUAGGACGAACAAGGAGGUCACAAGGAAAUCCAAGAUAUAGAUCCAAGGAGGUGCCCUCACACAGAGGAGAAAGUGAUUGAUGGAAAUGUGGAUCUAGAUCUCCUCUCUCUUUUUCAUCAACAAGGAGCAAGAAUCAUUGGAGGGAUUGUGAGAUAGAAAGAUCAGAGAAGGUCAACAAUGGGGGCAAACACAAGCUCAAAGGAUAAUAUACAUUGGGGAAGAAGACCCCCUUUUAUAGUGGGACAAAAUUCCAACUGUUAUUUGCUCACCUCGCAGUAAAGCAGUACUACCUCUUAAGGCGGUAGUUCCAAGAGUAGCAGAGUGAGCACGUGGAGUGUCGGUGCGGUAGUGCCGCCGGAGCGGCACUACCUUCCAUCCAUCAGUGGUACUACCGCUUGGAUCACUUGGUACACAGGAACAGUGGUACGGAGAAGUGCUAGAGCGGAAGUACCGCAUGAAGUGGUACUACCGUCCUAGUACCGUGAUACUUGUGAAGUGCGUUGGGAUUUUCCUCGAGAGGAGGGGAUGAUGCAGCACAGUAAAGUUAAGUACUUCCCUCGGUGAGAAUCAAGGUUAUAAAACCGACAGGAGGACCACACAAUUUCCCAUCUUCAACGCCUACACACAAAAGAGCACACACUUGCACCAACGUGGGCAAGAGGGUUGUCAAUCCCCUUGCACUCGUUACUCGCAAGCGAUAAGUAGUGAUAGAUAGAUAAUAAACGGGGGGGGGGGGGGAUAAAAGGCGGUGAGGUGUUUUUUACUAAUAUAUUUGUGAAGAGACCCCGGGCCAUAGUUUUCACUGGAGGCUUCUCUCUCGAAGAAAGCAUACAGUGGGUAGACAAAUUACUGUUGGGCAAUUGAUAGAAAAGCGCAUAGUUAUACAAUAUGUAUUCACGGCAAUGAUCAUGUAUAUAGGCAUCACGUCCAUAAGCAAGUAGACCGACUCCUCUCUAUAUCUACUACUAUUACUCCACCAAUCGACCCCUAUCCAGCAUGCAUCUAGACUAUUAAUUAAAAACAGAGUAUUGCUUGGAGGAUGAUGACAUGAUGGAGACAAAGUAAAUCCAUUUAAUAUGAAUGAACCACAUAGUUUUAUCCUUAAUGGCAGCAAUACAAUAUGUGUGAUGUCCAUUUCUGUCACUGGGAUUAAGCACCGCAAGAUUGAACCCGCUACAACACACCUCUCCCACUAAAGAUAAAUCAAUCUAGUUGGACAAACCAAACUGAUAGAUCGAAGAUAAUUAUGAAGCUAUAACAAUCAUGUGUAUAAGAAUUCAGAGAAGAUUCAAAUAUUUAUUCAUGUAUAAUUUGAACAUAAACCCACAAUUCACUCAAUCCCAACAAACACACCGCAAAGAGUGGUUACAUAAGAUAGAUCACCGCGGGAAUCGCAGUGAUCUUGGCANNNNNNNNNNNNNNNNNNNNNNNNNNNNNNNNNNNNNNNNNNNNNNNNNNNNNNNNNNNNNNNNNNNNNNNNNNNNNNNNNNNNNNNNNNNNNNNNNNNNCCUGUUUAAAAUUCGUAAUUUUAAAUCAAAUUUAAGACGUGAAAUAUAAUUUAUGUAUUUACUUUCUGAGAAGAAAUAUAAUUUUUUAUGAUAUUUUAGAAAAUACCACCAAAAUAAAAAACGAAUGAAAAAAUAAACAUAAUUGGGCUUGCCAUUAGUAGCAACGGGAGGGAACGCUUGCGGAGUGACCAGGUUCAGAAUUGGGGAGCUCCUAUGGGAAAACACUAUUCGUCACUAUAUGCGAAGCGGUGUCGAAGCUUCGCACAAAGCAGGAGGGGUGUCGAUUUUAAAUGGGCUGGCCCAUUUAGCGGGUGUAGCUCGACUUUUUUCAUUUUUGGGAAACUUCUACAAGGUUCUCUGAACCAUUUUUUCCCUUUUCAUUUUUAUUUAUUAUUAUNNNNNNNNNNNNNNNNNNNNNNNNNNNNNNNNNAAAAAAUGUUUUGGAUUUGGAAAAAAUCAAUUUUCGAUUUUUAAAAAAUAUUCUCGAUGUUAAAAUGACUUUCUGUGUUUUCCAAAAAUUGUUCUCAGUUUUAGAGCUUGUACUUAAGAUUCAAGUAUGUUCUUGGUUUCAAAUUUUGUUCUUCCGAUUCAAAAAAUGUCUGUGCUUUCAAUAAUUGUUCGUGCAUCCAAUUUUUUUUGGCUUUUUCCAAAAGUGUUCUCUGUUUGAAAAAAAAAUGUCAAGACUAAACAAUUGUUUGUGCUUUAAAAAAUUGUUCACGCAUACAAAUUUGUUCAGGAAUUUUCAACAUUGUUCUAGGUUUCAAAUUUUGUUCUUAAGAUUCAAACAUUGUUCGUGUUUUCAGACAUUGUUCGCGCUUCCAAAUUUGUUCGUGGUUUUUUAAAAUUGUUCUCCAUUUAAAAUUUUGUUUACAAGAUUCAAAAAAAGUGCGUGUUUUGAAAAAAAUCACGCUCCCAAAUUAGUUCAGGAUUUUUCAAAAUUGUUCCCGGUUUCGAAUUUUGUUAACAAAAUUCAAAACAUGCUCGUGCUUUAAAAUUUGUUCGCUCUCCCAAAUUGGUUUGGGGUUUUUUGAAAUUGUUCAGUGUUUCAAAACAUUGUUCUCAGGAUUCAAAAAAUAUUUGUGCUUUAAAAAAUUUGUCCGCGCUUCCCAAUUUGUUCAUGAUUUUUCAAAAUUGUUCUUUGUUUCAAAAUUUGUUCUCAAAAUUCAACAAAUGUUUGUGCUUUAAAAAUGUGUCCGCGCUUUCAAAAUUGUUUUUUUUUUCAAACUUUCUUCUCAAGAUUCAAAAACUAUUUGUGCUUUAGAAAAUUGUUGGUGCUUCUAUAUUUUUGUUCACGAUAUUUCAAAAUUUAUUCUCAAACUUAAAAAUUGUUCAUGCUUUUAUAAUUUUGUUCGCACAUUCAAAUUUGUUAGGGGUUUUUCAAAAAUUUGGUUCCGAGAUUCAGAAAAUGUUUGUGCCUUAAAACAUUGUUCGCGUUUCUUAAUUUGUUCACGAUUUUGCAAAAUUGAUUUCAUAUUUCGAUUUUUUUUUGCUUGAAAUAGAAAAGUAAAAGGAAAAAGUAAAGAAAAAAGGAACCCAAAAAAAGGAAAUAAACAGAAAAGGAUAAAAAGUAACAGAAAAUUAAAGAAGCAAAACUAGGUAGGCCCAGGCAGAAAAGGAUAAAAAGUAACAAAAAAAUAAAGAAGCAAUGAGCGGCAGGUAGGAUCUCGAAUAUUUUGCGUCCAAUAGUGAUGGCUUCGCACAAGAGGGACGAAGCAAAUGGGCUGCCGUCGCUAGCGAAACGAAACCGGCUCGGUUUNCUGAAACAGUUUUCAAAUUCAAAAACAUUUAUCAAAUACAAAAAGAUUUUUUCAAAUUCUGGAACAUUUAAAAAAAUCUAUAACAUUUUUAAAAUUUCAGAAUAUUUUUCAAAAUUCCGGAAAAUAAUUCGAAUUCCGAAUUUUUUUCUCAAUUUCUUGGACAUUUUUCCAAAUUGCAGAACAUUUUUUAAAAGUCUGGAAGAUUUCUUGAAAAUCCAGAAUAUUUUCGAAACAGAAAUAGAAAAGAAGAUGAAAAAAAACCUGGUUCAGGAAGUCUUCCAGAAAGUUCCCAAAAUAGGAAAAAAUAUGGCUUCGAAAGUUUAGAAAGUCCCCAAAACCGGCAUCCCCGCAACUGUUAAUGGGCAGGCCCUGAUCAUCUUAGCUCGCGUUCUCUCUGUCCGAAGCCGAGGCAAUCUGGGUAAAUAGGGUUUUACGCUCCAUGCAUGAAACUGGUGAGAUCUCGCAGAGGGGAGGGGCAAAUUCUCUAACUUUAUUUCUUUUCCAAUUUUUAAUUUUUCUAUUUUCCUUUUAUUUUAUUUUCUACUUAAUAUUUUUCUUUUUCAUGUUUUUUGUUUGACAAUUUUAACUAUUUAUUCUGAAAUUUAUAAACAUGUUCUUGUUUUAGAAAUUUGCUUCCAAUUUAAAAAUUACGAAUUUUGAAAUAUGUUAUUGUUUAUAAAUUUUUCAAAAUUUCAAAAAACUUUCAUGUUUUUUCAAAAAAUGUUCUUGUUUUCAAAAAUGUGCACAAACUUAACAAAAAAAGUUCUUGUUUUCAAAUUUUGCUAUGUUCAUGUUUUCAAACUAUUGUUCGGUUAAUUCGAAAUAUGUUGCGAAUUUGUAAACAUUUUUUAAUUUGGGAAGAAAAUAAAACAAGAACAUUUUUUAAGGAGAACACUUUUUCAAAUAUGCGAUUUUUUUGAAAAAAUGUACAUUAUUUUCUUUUUGUGAAAAAAGGAUUUUCUGUAAACUUUUCAUUUUUUAAAAAUUUCAAACAUUUUUUGGACUCUGAGAAAUCUAGAAACAAAAAAACAGNNNNNNNNNNNNNNNNNNNNNNNNNNNNNNNNNNNNNNNNNNNNNNNNNNNNNNNNNNNNNNNNNNNNNNNNNNNNNNNNNNNNNNNNNNNNNNNNNNUUUUGAAUACAAGAACAAAUUUUGAAAAAUUGUGCAAUUUUUUUAAUGCGAGGACAUAUUUUGAAACACAUACAUUUAUGAAAAUAUGAACAUAUUUUGGAAGCAAGAACAUUUUUUGCAAUUGCUGAUUCUUUUUUGAAGCACAAACAUUUAAAUAUAAAUUGUGAACAAAAGUUUAAACACGAGAAUUUUUUUGAAAUUCAAAAAAAGGAAGUUGAAACAAAUGGAAUAGGAAAAGGAAAAUAGAAAGAAAAUGAAAGGGAAAUAAUGAAAACGACAACAAUAGCCUUUUUGUAAAACAAUAACAUUUUUAAAAAUCCUGAACAUUUUCUUAAAAUACGGAACAAUUUUUGAAAAUCCCGAACAUUUUUUAAUUUAUGAAAUAUUUUGAAAAACGGCAGUUAAUUAAAAUUUUAGAACAUUUUUUAUAUUUUAAGAACUACUUUCGAACAUGAACUUAAUUUUAAAAAAAUAACCUUGAAAAAAGAUACAAAAAGAUGAANNNNNNNNNNNNNNNNNNNNNNNNNNNNNNNNNNNNNNNNNNNNNNNNNNNNNNNNNNNNNNNNNNNNNNNNNNNNNNNNNNNNNNNNNNNNNNNNNNNNGCCUCCAGCGUGGCUGGGCCAGGCGCCCCGGCCUGCUCCACCACCGCCUCCACAGGCCCAGGCCUCAGCCGCCCCCCUCUCAAGCGCCAGGUCAAGAGGCCCAACCGAGGUGAGCUAUCCCUCGCCCCGAAGUGCAUUUUAGUCAUCUCGCGCCCAUGUCCUGUGGCCCAUUAGCAUUUAGAUUAGGCCCCGUAGUAUUUUUUUUCUUUUAGGGUAUUUUUUCGGGAUUUAAUUAAAUUCCAGAUUUUGGACGUAUAUUUAGAUGUCCGUAACUUUAAAACCGUAAAUCGGAUCGAGACGUGUAAUAUAUGGUUUUGUGGUAGUUUUGCGCGUAGAAUACGAAUUUGAAACAUGCAUAAUUGUUUGACGUAGUUUUACGUGUCAAACCCCUAGCUUAGUGUGUUGUCCCAAUAGGGGAACAUCCCGUAUUUAUUUUUCUUGCGGUCCGGAUUGCUCGAGUGCCUUAGGUAAAAUGUCCAUGUUUUAGGAAUCAUUUUUCCAUGUAUUUUAGAGCGGUCAUAGGUAUUUUUCCAUGUAUGGAUUGCCGGUAGUUUAUUUUCCCGUGUAUAGGUUAUCUUUCCUGCAUUUUCGUGUGGCAUUAUUUUGUUGCGCAACCCCACAUAUUUUAUAUGUUUUCGGGGUAAGUUAGUUUUAUCUUUUGAGUAAGUUAGUUCGCGCGAUAUUUCGCCGUGAUGCCCUUUUGUUUAAUUCGUAGGAUUUAAUCCGUUUUUCGUUUGACGGGGUUGUCAACUAGAGAGUUGUUCUUGGAUGUUUAGACUAGCCCCUGGUAUUUCUGGUUGCAAUACAAAUGCAUGUUUAGGUGUGGUUUGAUUGCUCUCAAGUUGCUAGAAAUAGUGCUGUUUUAGAGGAGCUGAAAUAUUUCUAAGUCUGGAAUCUGUUAUAUUUUGUUGUUGUCUUGUCUUGCUUGCAUCUUGUGAUCUGUAGAUCUUUUGAGGUUAGCCCAAUGGAGUUAGUUGUACCCCUUGUGUUUCUCUAGUAUGCUGCAAUUUUCAUGCCAUUUGGAGUCUUGUAACUAUAGGUUUUGCUGCUGUCAAUAUUGCUUCAGAUCGAAAACUGCACUUCCAUGAAGUGUUAUUUUCACUAAGUAUGAAAUAGUGUGUGGGAUGCCAUUUUGUGUCUUCCUUCCCUAGUGAUACUUGAUGCCAUGCUAGUUGUUGUUAGUUGUUUGUAGUAGUGAUUCUUGCCCUCUUCCGUUCCAUGCCUUGCUUGAGCAUAUCGGAGUUGUGUAGCCGUAGUUGUGGGGCGUUGAAAGUGCUAUGUGGCUGAUUUUGGCGGAUUGUAGUGACUUCUUGUUUAGCUCGUAGAUGUGGAUCCGUAGCUCCGUUGUGAUCGUGUCCUACAUGAAACUUGCUUAGAAUCUCGUGCAGUUUCAUUUUCUCUUGCUGGUUGUUUGUUUUGAAGUGCUCGUGACCGUCGUUGCACACAUAUUGCAUUCAUGACAUCAUAUCUUGCGAUGCUUGUAUCUUUUGAACCGUAGCUCCGUUGGAGAUAUUCUUUAUGUGUAAAUUGCUUGAAAUGAUGCAUAGAAUCACGUGAACCUAUUUGUUUUGCUGUUUAACAACUAAUUAAAUGUGUUAAUUCAGAUCUGGACAGAAUUGUAAAUCAACAUGUGAGGUCGUCUCGGAGAUGCUAUAUGUCGUUUCCGACCUCAUUUAAAAUGUCUAGAUAGGUAGUUUAAUUUCCGUUUCACCUCUUGCAUGUUUGACAACAUUAAUAUUGCCGUGUAAAUAACCGGGAGUGAACUAAAUAAUUCAUAUGUGGAGUUUCGUCAAUAUGCAACCCGUUGCAUAUUGAACUUCACUUAAUGUGUAGUGUUUGAUUGUGUGAAUUGUCAUGCCGUGACUUGCAUAUAUUCAGCUUCUCAUGCAUCAUAUGUGUUGUGCAUCGUGUGGUGAAUGCCGUGUGUUGAUUUGUGUUUCCGGUUUGCUUCGUGUCGAUAGAGUUCCGCAGCGUGCCGGAUUGUGAGGACCCGUUCGACUACGUCGGUUCGUCUGCUUCACGGAGACAUUCUUCUUCCAAGCGGGGUCUGAGUCAAGAUGAUCAUUUCCCCAGAUACCAUUACUAUCAUUGACAUGCUAGUUAUUUCGAUGCUUUCGAUUAUGUCUCGUUGUCUACCACAUGUUAAAUAUCAGCCUCUUAACAAUGCCAUGAAAACCUUUAACCUAUUCAACCUAGCAAACCACUGAUUGGCUACGUUAGCGCUUGCUUAACCCUGUGUAGCGUUGCUAGUUACAGGUGCAGAUGCUUCCAUGUGAAAGCAUGGGUUCCUUGUUAUAUCACCAUAUUAAAUGUUAUUAAAUUUAAUGCACCUAUAUACUUGGUAAAAGGUGGAAGGCUCGACCUUUCUAGCCUGGUGUUUUGUUCCACCUUUGCCCCCUUAGUUUCGGCUACCGGUGUUAUGUUCCAUAAAUGAGCGCUCCUAACACGAUCGGGGUUGUUAUGGGGACCCCCUUGAUAAUUCAUUUUAGAUUAAAGCUGGUCUGGCAAGGCCCAACAUUGGUACUAUUUGCCCAACAUAAUAACUUGACAAUAUUGAAAUGCAUAGGGAGUUAGCGCUACCCGAGGAGUAAUUCUACAUAAUACAGGGAGGGCCAGUGCUGAUGGUGGUGGUCCAAAACAGAGCACUGUGCGGGGCCACCGCAAGGAAACUCGAGGUUUGGCACUCGUACGCGUAGCUUAUCCGUCGUGUCCUGAGAACGAGAUACGCGGCUCCUAUUGGGAUCGUCGACACGCCGGGCGGCCUUGCUGUAUUAGUUUUACCUUUGACGAGAUAUCUUGUGCAUCGGGAUUCCGGUGAUGCUUUGGGUAAUCUCAGAGUUGAGGUUUUCCACUAGGGAAUCCGAUGAGAUCGCGAGCUUCGUGAUUGAGGAUUUCUAUGCGGCUUGUGGUAAUUUGUGAUGGACUAGUUGGAGCACCCCUACAGGGUUAAAAUAUUUUCGGAAAGCCGUGCCCGCGGUUAUGUGGCAACAUGGAAACUUUGUUUAACACUGGUUCUAGAUAACUUGAAGUUAAUUUAAUUAAAAUAUGCCAACUGUGUGCGUAACUGUGACUGUCUCUUUCGUGAGUUCCUUCUCCGAUCGAGGACACGGUGGGGUUAUGUCUGAUGUAGGUAAGUGUUCAGGAUCAUUCAUUUGAUCAACAGUAGUCCACGUCCGUUAUGCGUAGAUCUUCCCCCUCUUACUUCUUGUGCUCGUAAGUUUAGCCACCAAAUAUAUGAUUAGCCGCUGCUGCAACCUCACCACUUAACCAUACCUCACCCACUAAGCUUUGCUAGUCUUGAUACCUUUGGAAAUGAGAUUGCUGAGUCCCCUGUGGCUCACAGAUUACUACAACACCAGUUACAGGUACAGGUAAAGGUUACUCGACGCGACCGCGUUGAUUGUCCAUUUGGAGGGGGGGGGGGGGUCUUCGUCGAUCUAGGAUGGGUUCCAGGCCGGCAGCCUGGGAUAGCANNNNNNNNNNNNNNNNNNNNNNNNNNNNNNNNNNNNNNNNNNNNNNNNNNNNNNNNNNNNNNNNNNNNNNNNNNNNNNNNNNNNNNNNNNNNNNNNNNNNGAUUAAUUAGAGUAUGACACGUGGGCCCCCACUAAAUUAAUAUGAUUAAUUACUAUUUAAUCUUAAUUAAAAACCGAGUCUAUGACACAUGGGACCCACUGCUAAGUUGACCAGUCAACUGUUGAUGUCAGCAUGGCAUCAUGCUAAUGUCAUAAUAGCAUUUAAUUGAAUUAAUUNNNNNNNNNNNUGAAUUAAUUAAAUCUGUUUUUAGUUCCUAAAUAAUUAAUAAAAUUUUAAAAAUUAGUAUUAAUUAAACCGUAAGUCAGAUCAAAAUAUUUUCAACAUGAAGUUGAUAAGCAGAACGAGACGAACCCGGAUACACGGUCCAUUCGUGUGUCACGCGUCCCUAGGAUAACAAGCACGAAACUUUUCCAUCGUUUCCAUCUGACCGGUAGUAGCCCGAGACCCGAAAAAUAUCGUGAGAUAUUCUUCCGAUCCGUCUAUGACGGAUGUUGCUGCGUUAGCUCAUGCCUAGCCUGCAUAUUGCCAUGUCAUGCAUCGUGUCGUAUCUGUUGCUGUUAUUUAUUGUUUCUUCCCCCUCUUCUUACCGGUAGACCCCGAGGUUGACGCUGCCGCCGGGUACUUCUUCGACCCUGCCGACCAGCCUUUUGCCGCAGAGCAGCAAGGCAAGCAAACCCCCCUUGAUCAUCCCUAUAUCGCCUAUGUCUUUCUUCCUCUUGCUUGCAUUAGUAUGUUGCUACUCUUGUAGAUAGCUGUUAUAUCUGAAGCAUAGCAUGUUUUUGAUGAACUGCUACUUUCAGUACAAUACCUUUAAACUGCUUAGUAUAGGUGGAGCAGUCUUCCCCUCUGACCCCGUAGUCCACUUGCCCCGCUUUGCUUUCAAAUCUCGAUCCCUGAUCGACGAGCCAUACCCGACACAGCACAUACACCCCCUUAGUUGUACGACGGUACAGGGAUACUAUCGGGUACCGAUGGUGACACCUCGCUAAGUACUCAUAAUGAUAUCUCUGUAGUACAGCUAGUCGGUCGUGGUUAUCAAGGGUGAUUCCUCUUUCACCAUUCCUGACGAUGACACCGUNNNNNNNNNNNNNNNNNNNNNNNNNNNNNNNNNNNNNNNNNNNNNNNNNNNNNNNNNNNNNNNNNNNNNNNNNNNNNNNNNNNNNNNNNNNNNNNNNNNNGAGAAUUGAGUGGGAGGAAGAUAGAACUUGAUGAGGUUGUCGAACCUCUCAUCCCUCUGGAUGGUGGCGCAGGGUAAGGGGAAACCCCUGUCGUUGCGACGCUGGUUGAGGAGGAAGUUAAUGAUGAUGAUCAUGAAACUCCGGAUCAAGUUCCCGUCGAACCUCGCAGGUCGAUGAGACCGCGUACUACUCCACAGUUGUACGGUAAUCCCGUCUUAUCAAUUAUGUUGUUAGACAACAAUGAGCCUGCGAAUUAUGAAGAAGCAAUGGUGGGCCCGGAUUCCAACAAAUGGCUGGAGGCCAUGAAGUCCGAGAUAGGAUCUAUGUAUGAAAACAAAGUAUGGACUUUGGAACUACUACCUGAAGGCCGCAAGGCUAUUCAGAACAAAUGGAUCUUUAAGAAGAAGACAGACGCUGACGGUAAUGUGACCGUUUAUAAAGCUCGACUUGUGGCAAAGGGUUUUUCACAAGUUCAAGGAGUUGACUACGAUGAGACAUUCUCACCCGUAGCGAUGCUUAAGUCCGUCAGAAUCAUGUUAGCAAUAACUGCAUUUUUCGAUUAUGAAAUCUGGCAGAUGGAUGUCAAAACAGCAUUCCUUAACGGUUUCCUUAAGGAAGAGUUGUAUAUGAUGCAACCCGAAGGUUUUGUCGAUCCUAAAAAUGCUAACAAAGUGUGCAAGCUCCAACGAUCCAUUUAUGGACUGGUGCAAGCAUCUUGGAGUUGGAAUAAACGCUUUGAUGAGGUGAUCAAAGCAUUUGGGUUUAUACAAGUGGUUGGAGAAUCUUGUAUUUACAAGAAAGUGAGUGGGACCUCCGUGGCGUUUCUAAUAUUAUAUGUGGAUGACAUAUUGCUGAUUGGAAACAACGUGGAGUUUUUGGAGAGCAUAAAGGAUUACUUGAAUAAAAGUUUCUCUAUGAAGGACCUAGGAGAAGCUGCUUACAUUCUAGACAUUAAGAUCUAUAGGGAUAGAUCGAAACGCCUGAUAGGACUUCCACAAAGUACAUACCUUGAUAAAGUUUUGAAGAGGUUCAAAAUGGAACAGUCCAAGAAGGGGUUCUUGCCNNNNNNNNNNNNNNNNNNNNNNNNNNNNNNNNNNNNNNNNNNNNNNNNNNNNNNNNNNNNNNNNNNNNNNNNNNNNNNNNNNNNNNNNNNNNNNNNNNNNGACUAUAAAGAUGCUCUACAGGUAUCUCCGAAGGUGUUCGUUGAGUUAGUAUGGAUCAAGACUGGGAUUUUUCACUCUGUGUGACGGAGAGGUAUCUCGGGGCCCACUCGGUAAUACAACAUCACACACAAGCCUUGCAAGCAAUGUGACUUAGUGUAAGUCACGGGAUCUUGUAUUACGGAACGAGUAAAGAGACUUGCCGGUAAACGAGAUUGAAAUAGGUAUGCGGAUACUGAUGAUCGAAUCUCGGGCAAGUAACAUACCGAAGGACAAAGGGAAUGGCAUCGUGGCUACUCGUCCUCUUGGUCGACUUUAAAAUUCCCGCCAAUGAAGCAAUAGCCCUCGGGGCCGGGUUAUCUUGCCUGUAAUGACCUGAUGUUCUUGAAUUAUUCAGCCUGGUUGGAUCUGGCGAGCCAUGUCUGUGUAGCCCCCGAGUCUUAACCCGACUCAAGGAGACGGCUUGAGAGUCUCCAUACUUGACUGUGGCAUAAACCGGUGGAGAAAAAUGCUGGUACCCGCUCCAUCUGAUGUGUUGAUGUAGAUCGUACCGCGGGGACGGCGGCUUGCGCACUUCUGUUGGGUGGCUCAUACAGGAGAGCACUGCACCAGUGGGUUGAUGUAAACCGGACCAUGGCGGCGACUUGCGUCCUACUGUUGGGCGGCUUGUACAGGUGAGCACUGCACCGACGGGUUGAGUUGAAUGUGAGAGCUGACUGACAAUUUGGCACGGACUAGAGAAUCGGUCGGGGUGUUGUAAGCCGUUUUGGUCGCGUGGACAUGAGAGUUGGCCGCGUCAUUGUAAGCCGUCUUGGUCGUGCGGACAUGGGAAUGGGCCACGUCAUUAUAAAUCGACACGGGCGGCGAGUUGACAGUGUCAUUCGUAUUCCGGGAUCGAUGUGUGAAUCCGACGAACUGUGCGGCAUGGACGAAAUACCAUUGUAGAACGAUGCCGACACAUCUUUCAUAUUCGCGAUAUAAUACCAGCUUUGUAUUUGUCCUGCAUAAAAAUAGCACAUGCCAGAGUAAUUGCUCUCACAGGAAAUAAUAGAUGUUAAUAAAAUAGACUGAGGAGAUAUCACCUGAUGAAUUUUGAGUGGCAGAUGAAUUAGUCCGUUUGCGGCUGCAGCAAUCUGAAUUUUACUGAUGCCUUUUGUAUGAUUUGGUCUCCUUUUCUUUUUCUUUGAUCAGCAGCCACUUGAACGCAUGCAUGAGACUUCGACAUUGGUUUUUUGAGAAGUUGUCAGCGAUCCCGUAUGUAAAAUCUCCGAAGUAACAAUCUGACAGGACGUCAUUGCACUCUAAAAUCUCCGUGUGUUCAAAAACUGGCAUAUUGUAGCCACAACAGUAGUGCCAUACGGAGUUGACGAUGAUGUUGGAAACAACCAUGCAACCAUAACAGUGGCCGGCCUUGAAGGUGUUGCACAUGAGCGAGCCAUAGGGUGUGGGUAGCAACCUGAACACCUUAACGUACAUCUUGAGAGCUUUCAGUGUAUAGACGGUAACAUUUGGCUGAUCCAGUAUGCCCUGCUCUUGCGACGGAGUAUAGCGGCUAGUCCUGGAGUGCGGACGUUUGGAGCUUUCAAACUUUUUGGUUUCAAAAAAAUCUGAAAAAAUAUGGAAGUAAAAAAGGAUGUUAUGCGUAUGUGUGUAAAAAUUUAGGAUGAAAUACCUUGAAAUACGAUCUGCACAAAAAGACAAAUUCAUGACCUCAAAUGAUGAAUAGUAUCAUGUGUAAAAAAGCCUCAGAUUUGUCUUUUUUACACAACCCUCAUUUCAAUGUAUUUUUUUCUGAAAAUUUACACACAUGUGUGUUACGCCUUCACUUAUCCCUGUAUUUUUUCAUAAUUUNUUUUUGAAAUGUAAAAAUAUGAAUUUUCAUGAAAUUUGAAUUUCAAAUUUAAAGGCCUCCAUGGAGCUCGGCCACCAAAAGCAAUUUCCGCUAGUCCUGCAUUUGACUUCAAACCACGCAUGACCUCUAUGCCAGGAAUACCCGCUCGCUCUGCUUCUGCAGGUGGAUGACACAAGGCGGAGCAGGCGGGUCGCUGCGGAAGCCGGCACUACGGUGGCUCUAGGCGCGGCGCGGUGAGGCUAGCGCGGCGAGUCGAGGUAGCAAACAGGCGACUUCACUGUUCCAGCCGAGUGAACAGCGGUAGCGGCGGCCGACGAUUCGGCGAUGACAGCAGCCGAUGACUCGGCGAUGGCGGAGGCGGCGCGAAGACAACGCGAGACAGUGGCGGUUCCAGCCGAGUCCGCGGCGGUGUCUAGCUGCGCCGACAGAGGCAAGAUGGAGCGGGUGGGGAAGCAGGCCCGACGCAAGUGCAGCACUGCGCACGGAGGUGCGCGGUGCGGCGAAGCGAGCGGCUUGAGGUGGAGCUGUGCGCGUAGGCGCGCGAGCACGGCAAAGCGGGCAGCUCGAGGUGGAGUUGUGCGCGUAGGCGUGCGAUCUCGGAGAAGUGUGCCAUGGCGGAUGCGGCGGGCGUGGCGAGGCAAGCCGGCGGCUGAGGCGAAACGAGGCAAGCCAUGGUGGAUGCGGCUGGCGUGGGGGGUUGAGGUGAGCAGCGACGUGGUGCACGACGAGAUCGGCGGUGGUGGAAAUGGCACGGGGGUGCGUAACCGGGCCGGCUUGAGGCUUGUAGAAGUUAAUCAUGUUGUUUCUUUAGGAUUAGGAAAGAAAGCCAAACCGAGUCCUAGUAGUAUUAGGNNNNNNNNNNNNNNNNNNNNNNNNNNNNNNNNNNNNNNNNNNNNNNNNNNNNNNNNNNNNNNNNNNNNNNNNNNNNNNNNNNNNNNNNNNNNNNNNNNNNCUCAGGACGAGAAUUCUUGUUAGUAGGGGAGAAUUGUGACAUCCUCAACUUUUGCUACAGUAAUGCAUGUAAUUAAGCGACAGUGAUCCCGCGCUAAUGAUGCCACGUCACCGUGAAUUAUAUCAAUGAUCUCGUGUUAGUUGAAACCGAAUUAAAAUUCAAAACUUAAAAUUAAAGUCGAACGAGAAAGGUUUUAUGUUGUUAAAGUAAAAACGCGGGGGAGUUAUAAAAAUUCUCUAACGAAUUAUAAAUGUGAAUCGGGCACUUUUGAAAUUAUUAGGUAAUCCCUAUAUAUUUAAAAGAGAAGCUUUGUGUAAAAUAAAUAAAGAAAAGAAAGUAAUUAAAGAUAAUAAUAAAAGAAUAUUAAAAAAGCAAAACAAAGCAGAAACCCCCUUGCCCNNNNNNNNNNNNNNNNNNNNNNNNNNNNNNNNNNNNNNNNNNNNNNNNNNNNNNGGGGUAUAAGACCCCCACGGGCAACCCUACCCACCUCCAACGCUCAUUCCCUCCCAUGGAGCCGCCGCCACCCAGCGACCUUGGCGCCCCGCCCACUCUCCCCUGAUGCCCCACCUACCGCCCCCACCAACCGAGGUGCUCGCUCACCCCCACCACUCCCCCCUCGCAACUCCCUCCCCACCAAGGCCCCGCUCCCCCACUCCCUCGGUCUCCCUCGUCUACCCCACCCACCGAAUCCCACGAGGGAUCCCUCCCUCUCCCGUCUCUACCUCCCUCCCCUCGUCCCCCUGGACUGAGGCUGCCCCCACCUCGGUCUUUCUCCACCUCGCCCCUCCUCUCGUCUCCCCCCUCCACCUCCAGAUCGGCUCCACCUCCCACAUCCAUCCGCCCCGAGCCACCGGCCGACCCCUCCGGCGUUCCCUCCGACGACCUCCGAAUCGGCCAGUCCCGGCGGCCCCUUUCUCCGGCCCCAUCGUCACCAACCUCGCCGGGACCGCCACCGCCACCACCUUGUCCUCCUCCACGCCGGAUCCGACGCCGUCUCCUCCGCACCUCUAGAAAACUCCGGCUACACCGGGCCCUCUCGUCAACGCCGGUGUGCCCCGGGCCCCGGCCAUUCUCUUCUCCUUCCUCUCCCGGUUCCAUUCCGGCAAUCGGCGCUCUCUUCCGACGUAGUUGUGCUCGUGUAGGUGUAGUUGGAGGUUUCUCCUUCUUGUGUGUUGAGAGAGAUGUUGUGUGUAACACAAUGGUUGCACAAGAGAGUUGUGUGUGAGAAAAUAAAAAUAAAAAGAUGUAUGUAUGUAUGUAUUAGAUGCCCGUAUGUAUGUAUGUAUGAGAUGNNNNNNNNNNNNNNNNNNNNNNNNNNNNNNNNNNNNNNNNNNNNNNNNNNNNNNNNNNNNNNNNNNNNNNNNNNNNNNNNNNNNNNNNNNNNNNNNNNNNCCUUGGGGCUCCUUGAGCCCCAAGGCAAGGCCCCUCCCCUCCCACCUAUAUAUACGGAGGUUUUAGGGCUGAUUUGAGACAACUUUCCGACGGCAGCCCGACCACAUACCUCCACGGUUUUUCCUCUAGAUCGCGUUUCUGCGGAGCUCGGGCGGAGCCCUGCUGAGAUUAGAUCACCACCAACCUCCGGAGCGCCGUCACGCUGCCGGAGAACUCAUCUACCUCUCCGUCUCUCUUGCUGGAUCAAGAAGGUCGAGAUCAUCAUCGAGCUGUACGUGUGCUGAACGCGGAGGUGCCGUCCGUUCGUGGGACGGUUCGCAGGGCGGAUCGAGGGACGUGAGGACGUUCCACUACAUCAACCACGUUUAUUAACGCUUCUGCUGUGCGAUCUACAAGGGUAUGUAGAUCUGAAAUCCCCCUCGUAGACGGACAUCACCAUGAUAGGACUUCAUGCGCGUAGGAAUUUUUUUGUUUCCCAUGCGACGUUCCCCAUGAUAGUAUCCAUAGUGACAAGUGACAAUAAAUUUCAGCACACUAUAUGAAUGUUUUCUUACCAAGUUCCAGUUACCAAAGGCGCUUCACUCCCCGGCAACGGCGCCAGAAAAGAGCCUUGAUGACCCACAAGUAUAGGGGAUCUAUCGUAGUCCUGUCGAUAAGUAAGAGUGUCGAACCCAACGAGGAGCAGAAGGAUCUGACAAGUGGUUUUCAGCAAGGUAAAAUCUGCAAGCACUGAAAUUAUCGGUAACAAGUAGUUGUGUGGUGAGAUGAUUCGUAGCGAGCAACAAGCAACAAAAGUAACAACGGUGCAACAAAGUGGACCAAUCCCUUUUGUAGCAAGGGACAUGCCUGGACAAAGGCUUAUAGGAGGAAAAACGCUCCCGAGGACACACGGGAAUUUCUGUCAUGCUAGUUUUCAUCAUGUUCAUAUGAUUCGCGUUUGUUACUUUGAUAGUUUGAUAUGUGGGUGGACCGGCGCUUGGGUACUGCCCUUACUUGGACAAGCAUCCCACUUAUGAUUAACCCCUCUCGCAAGCAUCCGCAACAACAAAAGAAGAAUUAAGACAAAGUCUAACCAUAGCAUUAAACUAGUGGAUCCAAAUCAGGUAGUUACGAAGCAACGCAUAAACUAGGGUUUAAGCUUCUGUCACUCUAGCAACCCAUCAUCUACUUACUACUUCCCAAUGCCUUCCUCUAGGCCCAAAUAAUGGUGAAGUGUUAUGUAGCCGACGUUCACAUAACACCACUAGAGGAAAAACAACAUACAACACAUCAAAAUAUCGAACGAAUACCAAAUUCACAUGACUACUAUUAGCAUGACUUAUCCCAUGUCCUCAGGAACAAAAGUAACUACUCACAAAGCCUAAUCAUAUUCAUGACCAGAGAGGUAAUGAGUAGCAUCAAGGAUCUGAACAUAAACUCUUCCACCAAGUAAUCCAACUAGCAUCAACUACAAGGAGUAAUUAACACUGCUAGCAACCUUACAAGUACCAAUCGGAGUCGCGAGACGGAGAUUGGUUACAAGUGAUGAACUAGGGUUUGGAGAUGAGAUGGUGUUGAUGAAGAUGUUGAUGGUGAUGAGUCCCCUCCGAUGAGAGGAGUGUUGGUGAUGACGAUGUCGACGAUUUCCCCCUCCGGGAGGGAAGUUUCCCCGGCAAGAUCGUCUUGCCGGAGCUCUAGAUUGGUUCUGCUCAAGUUCCGCCUCAUAGCGGCGGCGAAUCCAAGAAAAAGCCUCCUCUUGAUUUUUUUUCCGGAUGAAACCCUUCUUGUAGCCAAAGGGGGGAGCCAGAGGGCCAGCUGAGUGCCCACAAGCCCCCUAGGCGCGGCCAGGGGGGUGGCCGCGCCUAGCGGGCUUGUGGCCACCUGCUGGUGCCCCUCUGGUACUUCUUCGGCCCAGUAUUUUUAUAAAUUCCAAAAUAAAUCCUCAUUGAUUUUCACGGCUUUUGGAGUUGCACAGAAUAGGUAUCUCAAACUUGCUCCUUUUUCAGGCCAGAAUUCCAGCUGCCGGCAUUCUCCCUCUUCAUGUAAACCUUGCAAAAUAAGAGAGAAAAGGCAUAAGUAUUGUACCUUGAAGUGAAAUAACAGCCCAAAAAGCGAUAAAUAUCAACAUGAAAACAUGAUGCAAAAUGGACGUAUCAAAUCACACCGAAUCGUGGACCUCAAAGGUAUGUAACUUUUGGAGACAACUCCAAAGGUAAGGUACUUGGUCUCAGUAAGGUGGCCGUAUCUCAUGACAGUUCCAUUCAAAAUGUCAUGCUAGUAGAAUCUCUUGGCUACAAUCUACUUUCCGUAUCUAGAAUAGCAGAUUUCGGUUUUGAUGUGCUAUGUACGGAAGUUGAAUGCCGAGUGUUUCGUAGCGACAAUCAUAACAUUGUCUUUACUGGUUUCCAUAGAGGUGAUCUAUACAUUAUUGAUUUCUCUAAUAUAUCCAAACCCCGUACAUACCUUAUUGCAAAAUUUUCUAAGGGUUGGUUAUGGCAUAGAAGGCUUGGACAUGUUGGUAUGCGUAAUCUUGACGAACUCAUCAAAGGUGAUCAUAUUCUUGGUCUUAAGGAUGUUAUCUUUGACAAAGGUAGACUCUGCAGUGCUUGUCAAGAGGAAAACAAGUUGGAGGAAGUCAUACCGUGAAGAACAUUAUGACCACAAGAAGACCCCUCGAGCUGCUUCACAUGGAUCUCUUUGGUCCCAAUGCUUAUAAGAGCCUUGGUGGAAAUUCUUAUGGUCUAGUUAUUGUUGAUGAUUUUUCCAGAUUUACAUGGGUGUUCUUUCUCAAUGAUAAGUCACACAUACAAAUGAUCUUCAAGAACUUUGCUCGAAAAUCUCAAAACCAGUUUGAAGUGAAGAUCAAGAAGGUUUGGAGCAACAAUGGAACGUAGUUCAAGAACACUAUUGUGGUUACUUUUCUUGACGAAGAAGGUAUCUUACAUGAGUUCUCGGCGACGUACACACCUCAACAAAAUGGAGUUGUUGAGAGGAAGUACCGGACACCCAUAGAGAUGGCAAGAACGAUGCUUGACGAAUACAAGACUCCAAGAAAAUUUUGGGCAGAAGCCGUGGAAACAGCUUGCCAUGCCGUAAACCGACUCUACCUGCACAAGCUUCUCGGUAAAACGACAUACAAGCUACUCACCGGUAACAAACCCCAAGUUGGAUACUUUUGAGUAUUCGGCUCUAAGUGCUAUAUUCUUGAUAAGCAUCGUCGAUCUAAAUUUGCACCUAAAUCUUAUGAAGGUUUCCUUCUUGGUUACGGAUCAAACUCUCACGCUUACUGUGUCUACGACAACUUCACUCGAAAAUUUGAAGAGAUGGUAGAUGUGAAGUUUGAUGAGACUAACGGUUCGCAAGUCGAACAGUUGCCAAUUGAUAUAGGAGAUAAGGAACCUUCAGAAGCCACCAAAGAUUUGUCCAUUGGCAAGAUUCGUCCCAUGGAGGUGAAGGAAAGCACUUCAUCAACUCAAGUGGAAGCUCCUACUUCGCAUCAAGGAAAACCGCAAAAUGACAUGGAAGCAUCCACAAGCGAUACACGACAUGAUGAAGAAUAGGAAGAGAAACAUCUCGAUGAUCCACCUCAACCUUCCUCACCACCACCUCAAGGAGAAGACGACGCCAACGACAAUGCUCAAGAUGACGAUGAAUAAGAAGAAGAAGCUCCUCCAUCCAACAAGAAUAAGCUGUCAAGAGUUAAAGCAAGAGUGGACAUAGAUCAUCCGCUGAAACAAAUCUACAAUGACAUAAAUGAUGGGAGAAUCACUCACUCUAAAACUCGACUAGCUAACUUUUGUGAGGAUUAUUCUUUCAUAUCUAGCAUUGAACCCUUGAAGGUGGAAGAAGCUCUCCAAGAUCCAGAUUGGGUGAAUGCCAUGCAUAAAGAGCUACACAACUUUGAGAGGAACCAAGUAUGGACACUUGUUGAAAAACCAGAAGGCAAGCAGAAUAUAAUUGGUACAAGAUGGGUCUUUCAGAAUAAGCAAGAGGAAGACGGACUAGUUGUAAGCAACAAAGCACGUCUCAUAGCCCAAGGAUACACACAAGUUGAAGGUAUGACUAUGGUGAGACUUAUGCUCCUGUUGCUAGACUUGAAGCCAUUUGUAUUCUUCUAGCUUAUGCCAAUCAACAUGAUAUAACUCUCUACCAAAUAGAUAUUAAAAUUGCCUUUGUCAAUGGAGCAAUUGAAGAGGAAGUUAAUGUUAAACAACCUCCUGGUUUUGUGAACUCUAAGAAACUUGAUCAUGUUUACAAACUUCGUAAAGCUUUAUAUGGUCUUAAACAAGCACCUAGAGCUUGGUACAAAUGCCUAACAGAGUUUCUCAUUGAAAAGGGUUUUGAGAUUGGCAAAGUUGAUGCAACCUUAUUCACUAAAAGAGUAAAUGGUGAACUAUUUGUUUAUCAAACAUAUGUGGAUGAUAUUAUCUUUGGCUCUACUAACCCACAUUUUAGUGAAAAGUUUGGAAAGCUGAUGUCAGAGAAGUAUGAGAUGUCCAUGAUGAGUGAACUGAAGUUCUUCCUUGGAUUGCAAAUCAAACAAUCGAGAGAAGGUACGUUCAUCUCUCAAACCAAGUACACCAACGACUUGAUCAGGAAGUUCAACAUGCAAGAAUGCAAAGCUAUGGGAACCCCAAUGCCUACUAGUGGACAUCUUGACCUCACUAAGGAUGAUGCACCCAUUGAUCAAAAGGUCUAUCGAUCAAUGAUUGGAUCAUUGUUAUAUCUAUGUGCCUCUCGUCCUGAUAUCAUGCUAAGUGUUUGCAUGUGUGCCCGCUAUCAAGCAGCACCUAAAGAGUGUCAUCUAUUGGCUGUGAAAAGGAUAGUGAGAUACAUUAUACAUACACCAAACUUUGGCAUAUGGUAUCCCAAGGGAUCUUCCUUUCAUCUUGUUGGCUAUUACAACUUGGACUAUGCUGGAGACAAGGUUGAUAGAAAAUCCACCUCGGGUACAUGUCAAUCUCUUGGGAGAUCUCUUGUCUCUUGGACAUCAAAGAAAUAAAACUCGAUACCCUUAUCAACUGUCGAAGCUGAAUACAUUGCCGCUGGAUCAUGUUGUGCUCAAUUACUAUGGAUGUCUCAAACGCUUAAGGAUUAUGGCUUUAAUGUUAGAGAAGUCCCAUUGUUGUGUGACAAUGAAAUUGCUAUUAAGGUUGCAUAUAAUCCUGUGCAACAUUCUAGAACCAAGCGCAUCCAAGUGCGACAUCAUUUCAUCCCUGAUCGUGCUGCCAAAGGAGAUACCGAUCUCAAGCAUGUUCGUAUUGACAAACAACUGGUUGAUAUUUUCACCAAACCACUUUAUGAGAAAGUGUUCUGUCAUUUGAGGAGUGAGUUGAACAUCAUUGAUCAAAACUUGAGCUAGACUCACUCGGAUGCAUGCAAGGGCAUGAGCUUGACUGACUGUUCCUUGAUGCCAUUGAUAUGACUAUCUUAUGUCUUGGAAACUAUGCUCCCUUGUAUUGCAUCUAACCUUUUGUAGGUACUUGGAAGAAAUACACUCCACAAGAUUGCAAUCAACUCACAUAAAAAGCAAUCUUGACAUGGCCAAGUAUCAACAACUUUUUCUUCGGAGAUGGAGGAAGAAGACAACAAAAUCAUAUCCUUGACAAUUAUAUGAUAUUAAAUUUCACUCAUGUCAUUUGGAUAUAUUAUGUUCUUCCUUGCGUGACUAACGUUGUAGGUGAAAAGUGAACCAAAACGUCAUGGAUAGCUCCCAACUCAAGAUGAUCAUCCACAACAAGUUCACCUACAUGCCACGUUAUCAACAUCACUCAAAAUUAUGUACUCAUAUCCUUGAUAAAGCUCUACACCAAUUCAUGGUGUACAACAACUCAAGUGAUAUGAAGACAUUGAAAUGCUUAGUCUAAAAAUGGCAACCCCAUUUCACGCUUAACGAUGAGUAUGACCUAUGAUCAAGCAUCCUUGCUUGACUCCUCAAGUCAAAUACUCUAAUAUAGGUGACCUAGUCACCGCCCCACAUCUAGAUGGAGAAUAUCGGAUGGUUCACAUUUGAUCUUUCACAUUCUUAGAACCAUUCCACUCUCAUCUAUAUGUGUAUAUUAAUAAAAAAAUCGUCUCUUAUUCUUCUUACUUCUGUUUAACUGUCUCAGUUGGAAUUAUCAUUCUUUUGGACUCUUGACCUUUUGAAAUAAUUCUUUCAAUGAGAUUAUUUUGUGUUAAAGAGUUGACUAUCAUUGCAACUUGGUUUCACCGAAUUGGGAAACUCGUUCCAACCGAUUUCUCCAAGAGGCCUAAAUAUCAAUAUCGGUUCUACCGAAUUAUUAUGCCUCGGUGACUCCGAUUUUUCUAACUUUGUUGCUCUGAUAGUUUCUUCCGGACUAUUGUCUUAGGGGGAGACAACUUCUCUAGGGGUAGAAAAUCUCAGUGAUCCCAUGCAAUAUAAGAGUGAGAAUCCUCUAGGAUCCCUAAUUUAGGGGGAGAUCAUUCAAGGAACUCUUAUACAUACCUAACGGGGAGAGCAUUCAAUGAACCCUACAAAAUAUCUAAGGGGGGAAAAGACAAAUUCCAGGAACCCUUACAAAAGAGGGAAGUAUCUAGGAUCCUCUUUUUUCUCUCAAUGAUCCCUUACCCUCUGACCUUUCUUUUUGGUACCUGUGCCAAAGGGGGAGAAAUAUCAUUAAAGCUUCCAUUCAAUGAACCUAUUUAUAGGGGAGAAAUACUAUCAAAUACUAUCAAGAAGCUUAUACAAAAGAGGAAGCAACAACACUAAUGGGAGAUACUUGUAUCAAACUCGGCAUGGGCGUUCGGUAGAAACCGAAAAUUCGGUUUUUAACAUUCGGUUAUUUUGAAAAUUCGGUUAGUAAAACAACAAACCAAAAGUAACAAGCUAAAACAGCAAACCGAUAUCUCGAUUAACUAGGAACUCGGUUCGGUAUUCGGUUUUGCACUGAAAAGCCACGCUUUAACCAUUUGUGCUUUGUGUGGAGCCGCGCCACCCUCUUAUAGGCAAAAGUAUCUGCCACAUCUCCUAAAGCGGGCGAGGUGGGACUAAAGGAAGCGUUGUUUUGCCUCCUCGCAAGCGCAGGCACACCCACCCAUGUGAGUUGGCAUUCCCUCGUUUUUUUCAGUGUCUGGCCUUCCCUCGUUGUAGGCCCAAUAUCCUUGCAUGCACUUUGGUGCUUAGCAACCACAUCUUGCACAAACAAACAAAGAAAAAAUGUGGCCACAUGGGUGCAUGACUCCCAGGAUUCAUGUUGUUCGGUUAAAAAACUAGAAGGAACGAGGGCGUGACUCCCGAGAGUCGUUGGCUGCGCGCGUGCACCUACUUUUGCGUUCUUUCAAUACACCGAGUCCCGAUGUGUGGUUUUUCUUCAGCUAACCGAAUUGAAAACCGAAUCCACCGAAUUUUGUUCGGUUAGUGGACAUGAAAACCAAAUUUUCUGUGGUAGUAGAAAAAACCAAAUUUUCGGUUUAUUCGGUUUCGGGUUUGGUUCGGUCUUCGGUUCAUCGGUUUUUAUGCCCACCCCUAUAUCAAACCCUACACAUUAAGGGGUAGAGAGAUAAAUACUGUUUUAAUUAGCUUUAUUGGUUUGAACUUAUUUUCCCUACCUACUCCCAAUAUCUACAUGCCAUGAUUCACGGGGAGAGGAAACUUUACAUACUCAUUUUUAGGGGAGAAAAAAGUUCUUGUUACUUGGAGACAUAUUCUUUCAUUUAAUCUUAUCUUAACUAUGUCUUCGAUUUCUUGGUACUUUUGAAUUUCUUUGCAUCUUUACAACAGGGUACUCUUCUGUUAUCUAACAUUUGUUUUCCCAAGUGUACUCCUAUGUCAAGAUGCUCAAGAUCCUCAAGGUAAGUAUAUGCAUCAUAUCCUUGUUCAUGAUGACCUCUUGUUUCUUACACAUAUUGUUUGCAAGAGGGAGUCUUAAACAUGGUAGUCUUUCAUUCACAUGUGUUUGAUGCAUAUAGCCAAGAUUCCUAUGGCGUGUCUUGUCCUUCUACCUUGUGUGUGCCCAUGCAUUCCAAAAUAAAUAUCCUUUAAAGGGAUUGCACACAUUUAGGGGGAGCUUGUACUAGUCAUAUUGUCAUAUCCUUAUGAGUAUCUUUAUUUGAAGCUUUGAUUUUAUGUUGUCAUCAAUUACCAAAAAGGGGGAGAUUGAAAUCACAUAUGCUCCCUUGGUGAUUUUGAUAAUUCAUGACAACAUACAUUGUCUCUUGGACUAACACUUUUACCUAGAUAUUUCAAGAUUAGUCCAUGGAGAGCUACGACUUAAGGUUUAUGUGGAGAUACCCCUGGAUGCAAGAAAGGAAUAAUAUUGGCUCAAGCUUCAAGCUAGAAGACUCUUCAUUUUAUAUUUGUGAGAUAUCACUUUUGAGUCCAUAGGAAAGCCAAUACUAUUAAAAGGGGGUGAGAUAGUAAAAUGAACUGAUUGCUCGAAUGCUCAAAGUUAGCCACCAAAACACUCAGUCAUUUUCCCCACAUUUCCACUCUGUCAAAUUCCACAUUCACAAAUAUGGUGUCACCAACAUUUCCGUAUCGGACCCACCGAGUUUGACCUUAGACAGGAACCCUAGCCAUUCCCACCAAAUCGGUGCAACCGAAGAUGCAUCGGUAUUACCGAGUUUAGGUGACCAACAUUCUGUUGCCAAGAUUCACAAAAUCGGAAUUUCCGAGUUUGAGUAUCGGUGCCACCGAGUUUGGCCAUAUGAUCGUUAGUCACCUUUUCGGUGCCACCGAGUUGUAUAUAUCGGUCUCACCAAGAUUCAAAAGUUCACACUUUUAGUGAUAGUCGGUACCACCGAGUUUCCAACUUCGGUGUCACCGAGUUUGCUCUUUUGUGUGUAAUGGUUGGAUUUUGGUUGCUGCCUAUAUAUACCCCUUCACCCCCUCUCAUUCGUGGGAGAAGCACUCAGAACACACACUUCAUUUCCAGAUCCAUUUUCUGAGAGAGAACCAGCUUCUCAUGUGUUGAGACCAAGAUGUUCCAAUCCAAUCAUUUGAAACUUGAUCUCUAGCCUCCCCAAACUGCUUUCCACCAAAUCAACCUCUCCUACCCAUGCAUAUUUCGUGAGAAAGUGAUUUGUGUUGAGGAGACUAUCUUUAGAAGCACAAGAGCAAGGAGUUCAUUGAUCUACCACAUCUAUUACCUUUUGGAGGGUGGUGCCUCCUAGAUUGGUUAGGUCUCGCUUAGGAGCCUCCUACUUCGUGUUGUGGAGUUAAACCAAGAUGUUUGUAAGGGCAAGGAGAUCGCCUACUUCGUGAAGAUCUACCAUGAGUAAGGCUAGUCCUCUAUGGACGGAAGCCGUGGUGGGAUAGACAAGGUAGCUUCUUUGUCGACCCUCCGUGGGUGGAGCCCUCCGUGGACUCUUGUAGUCGUUACCCUCCUUGGGUUGAAGUCUCCACUAACAUGGACGUACGAUAGCGCCACCUAUCGGAACCAUGCCAAAAAUCGCCGUGUCAACCUCAUGCGUUUGAUCUCCCUACCUUACUCCUCUACAUUACACUUGCAUGUUUUACUUUUCGCUGCUAUACUCUUAGAAUUGCAUGUGUAGGGUGACUUAAACUUGAUACAACUGCUAGAUUUCUGUCCUCCUAGAAAUUAGGUUAGGCUAGAAUUUUUAUCUUGACAAGUAGUCUAUUCACCCCCCCCUCUAGACACAUCUUCUAUCGAUCCCUUAUCGGGGCAGGCGGGGUGCGUGGGACGACGGAGGAGUGAGCGCGCGCAGGGACGGUGGCUCGCGCAUAGAGGGGCGAGACGUCGAUGGUGGAACCCCAGUACCUAAAGGUGGUGGUUGUGGCGCGCGUCUAUGGAAGAGCCGGAGGCGAGGUGGCUUGCGUGCAUGGCAGAGGCGGAAGUGGCCCUGAACGGGUGCAGGGCGUGCACAUAGGGGUCGUGUCAAGCGUAGGGCGGUUUUCCCCUUGAUUUGGCUUGAGUAGACAUGGGAAGGGUUAGUUGGGUCACGUAGGGGCUUGAUUUGAGGCCGGGGCUGGGGCAGGCCCGGUGGCGGAGUUCCGGGCGACAUCCGGAAACGACGGGACUGGGCGACACAGGAACGGCGGGGGUUGUGGGAGGCGGUGGGGCCGAGGCAAGGACCGGCGGGGCCGUGGGCGGCUACGGGAACGCCGAUGCAAGAUCACGGGUGGGUUGGGCGGCGUCACUGUGUUGGGAACAGUCGGGGGCGAGUCGGGUGGGCUGGUGUGGCGUCCGGAACGUGGGCGGCGUGUGCGAGUCGUGAAAGUGGGAUUAACGCUUAGUAGCGUUAACGGUUAACCAAGGUAAUUUCGUUAACGACUUUUUUUGACCGUUGAUUGUAUGAUUAGACGUUUCAUAUUUUAAUUUAGAUCUGUCCUGUCAUGCUUUUUAUAGUAGAGAUUUAUGUUUUCCCUUGGUAAACGCCCCUUGAAGCAUCAAGUCGUGAAUAUAUGCUCUUUAGGUGUUUGAGAAAGGGACCGUUUUAUCUUGAGGACUCGACUUGCGACAAGAUUAUUGAAAAAUCACAUGGGCACGUAGGUGCAUCCUGAUGUGAACAAAUGUUCGGACGGAAAUUGGUUUCAAAAUGGAAGCAAAUUCUUAACCGUCUUAAUACAAGAUAAUAUAUGGCCAUUGUUAGAAAUACUCCGACGGACCGUUCUUAUACGUCUUCCUUAUAUUUCGAGAUAUAUAAAUUGAUUUAAAAUUUGGUUUAAAAAUGGAUGGAAAUUUGUUUUAAAACGGAUGCAAAUGGAUGGUCAUUUAUUUUAUUUAAAUACUUGGACAGAUUUCUUCCUCUGCGUAAGUUACAUCCCCGUUCCAUGUUGACACACAAACACGUCGCGUGUACCCUCGAUGUCAGAGGUGAUGCACCGCAUCUCACGUUGAAGGAGACCCGACCGACAGCGCGAUACACAAGAGAGUCGGCGGUCAUUUUUGAAGAGCCGAAACCCCACGCGUCCGGGAGAGACCUUGUCUUGGCGCACGAAGGCUAUGGGAUGCCCUAGGUUGGUUCGCCCGCUCCUAGAGCCUUGAGGAUCCCUGCUCUUCAACACGAAGAACGAACGAAAAAUGAGAUAGAAAGAACACGGGAGAGUUGUAAAAACUAGAUAAAAAAUAGUAAAUUGAUUUUUUAGAUUGUGUGUUCUUCAAUCGACAUCACUUUUCAUCUAUUUGUGAGGCAGCUGGACUUCCUAUACAAGAAAAGGACUUCAAAUCCCAUCCAAAUCUUUCCAAAAUAAACUGAACUCGGAUUUAGAUAAGUCUGAGACACCAGUUCGGUUUUGGGGUUCACAUGCCUAAAACGACCUUGGAUGAAGAUGAAUAUAAAAGAAAAUUUAACCGUUUCGAGGAGACGAAUAACUUACGUGUUGAACAUUUUUCGAUUUGAGGCCGUCUUAUGGGCCGAAACACUCGUACAAAACAAGAAAACGAGGCGCUACCUAUCACACACGUGUCUGAUUGGGCACGCCACUUUUUGGCUUGUGGUAGGACCAUAUUCCGAUGGCUCUAACUUUUGAAUACGAUCUUAGAUUGAGAUAAUUUUUAUAUCAAAAUUGAUCAUUUCGACGAGACGAAGACAAUCAGUGUAGAACAUUUUCUCAUAUGAUGUCAUCUUGGGGGCUUAAUCAUCUGAACAGUAUUUUGAAUAUGAAAUAUUAGUACUUUGAGCACAGUUUCGGCCUUCGAGAUGAGAUCAGACGGUGAUGGCCCAAACUUUAAAGAUCCCCAUGUCAACACUACGAAACUAUGUCAUGUUGAGUACGUUUCCAUGUGAGGUCAUCUUUAAUGAAGUUUUUGACCAUCCCAAAAUCUGGUGUUAACACAUGCCCCCCUGUUUUUUUGGCAAAACUUGUGUGCCGAAAAAUAAUUUGCAUGGAGCUUGUUCUAAGGACGAUGUCAACACUUCAUCAUCCAUUUUGUAUUUGCUAAGGGCGAUAAUCAUAUAUCAUCCAUGUUUACUCUUAGGGCGAUAAUACUGUAUCGGCCAGUGCAUUUUUAUUUUAAAUCAUGCCUCAAAACUGAUUACCACCAAUCGGCUUUAAAGAGACGUGAAUGAAUCCGUUCCUUGUAUCACUAAGGAAAUCAAACUCCGAGAGGUCACGACCUGUUAAGUUACUAACAUCAGGAUGAUUCCAGUCCACCAAUGCAUCGACCAAGGCAACACAAGCCGAAUUAUCUGCGUGAAUGACUUCUACUUCAUCAUCGACCCAUUGUAUUAAGAAUUGAUGCUUGGUAGAUGGCACACACCGGUUAGCAUGAACCCAAUCACGGCCUAGUAUAACAUUAUAGUUACCUUGCACCUCGGUGAUGAAGAAUGUGGUGGCCAAAGUUUUGCUUCCCAUAGUGAGCUCCAUGUAAUGGAUUCCGGGACUAAGGGGUCAUCGGGCCGUCGACCUAUCUCUACGGGCCGGACUCAUGGGCCGCUCUAUGACUAUCAUUCAAGGGUCAAACUAUAAGACGCCGUCAUGUUCAGGAUGGAAACUUUCGAAGUCUUGGUGUGCGCUCCAAGUCAAGACGAUAGUAUCGGCAUGUUUAUUCCCUGAUGUAACCGACCAUAUGUAACCCUAGGUACCCCUGGUAUCUAUAUAGACCAAAGGAUUUUAGUUCGUAGAGGACAUCGACAAAACCAUAAUAUGGGAUUUAGUUCAUCUGAUCUCGUGGUAGAUCGACUAUGUAAUCAUCAUACACUCAUCAAUAUAAUCGAGCUUGGCGUAGGGUUUUAUCUCUUUGAGAGGGCCUGUUUUUACCUGGGUAAAUAAUGUCCCUAUGUUUUCUGUUACCCAUCAAUCCAAGAUCUACAGCUCAGGACCCCCUACCCAAGGUCCGUCAGUUUUGAUACCGACAUUGGUGCUUCCAUUGAGAGUUCCGUUGUGCGAUCGCCAAAAGAUCGGUGGCUCGCUUAGUCAUCAGUGAUAGCAUCCACACCGAGGAUGCCUUCGUCCCCGGCCAGCUCUUCGUGUUCGACAACAUCGUUCUACAUGUCGAUGCGGCGGUCCACCUCGACCAGAUCGUCGGCUUUGCCCCAGAGCAGGAGAUCAAGUUAGUCAACCUGGAGUACAUCGCCAACGCCCAUGGCGAUCUCAUCCUUACGGGGCUCUCGGCCUUGUCCGAGGAGCCUGAAAAUCUCAAAGCUUUAACUUCAGGCCCUUUCCCGACCCCGUCCCCGAGUUGAGAUUUACCCUGGAUCCGGCUUUCAUUUGGGAUCCGAUCAAAGCGUCUGAAGACCACGGUUCAAUCUUGACUGAGCAUGCUCCGUGUGCCGACGUGUCGGAGAUCAACUCUUCAAGGAUUCAGAAGACUAGUCUGACUGACCUCUCGCUAUUAAACAAGUCGCUGGCUCGGAUCCACACAAUAAACAUUACGAUGACCCGUCCUUGGAUUGAUCUUGAGGUGGGCCAUGGGGAAUUUUACUCACACCCACCACCCACUUGAUACCCAUUAUCGAAGAUUUAGCCGAUAUGCUGGAUUACGCCUGUGAGAUGACCGAGGAUUUGGACGAAGAUGUCGACUCCACCCCCCCUCGCAUUGCUGGAUGGUGGAUAACCACCUUCACCUACGACGUCUAUAUGGUGGACAAUCCUAGCGAUAAGGGCGAGGGCACCAGAGGGAAGGGCGAUGUUGAGAGUUAAGUGUGUGAAAUCGAUUUUGGUGAAGGUAGUGUUGAGAGGUCGUGUUAGGGAAUAUGGUGGAUUGUCUUGUUGAGCUGAGUUUCGUGUUUAUCACAGCCUACCUCAUGGUUACACGGGCAGGUGUGCGGGAUGUGGCGCAUGGCGUGUGUCUUUGGGAGACACACGACAUGGCAUAAUGUUUGAACUGGACACAAAUACGUGUUCCAAGAGGGGAUGUUGUUGAUGGUACGAGGACGUUGGUUCCUUUGAGUCAAUGUUAUCAAACUAUCUGAAUAGUCGCGUUCCCGGAUAUGGACUAUUUGGAAACUUACAUUGUUCAUAAACAACUUGAAUGGAUACUCUAAAAAUGUGCAAGAUAAGUGCGAGUGCUCUGGAAGGCCUUCUCGUAGGGAGACAUAAGAGGGUCCGUAGUAGUGUAUUAUUGUGGUGACUAGUGGACUCGUUGCACUCACUCACUUGAAAGGAAUUACUGGUAGUCAUAGUACAGGUUAAGCAAGAGUAAAACCUGUUUUGCAGCAGUUAAACUCCACACACCCCUAGUUGAUAUUGAUGCACAUGUAGAUAGUUCUGAUGUAAGUCUUGUUGAGUACCAUGUAGUCAUAGUUUCUUAAAUUAAGUUUUGCACACGAGACUUCAGUUUCACUAGUAGUUCCACGUGGAGUUCAAAGAUGACCGACUAGCUUGGGAAUCUCAAACAGAGGUUUGGCUCCUAUAUAUGGAGGGUCUUGUAGAUAGACAUGCUUCAUCAGCCUUCUUUCUUUCCAGUUGUUGGUACCGAGACAAUUUUAUGAUUCCUUGCUUGUAUUAUUUCGUAUGUUGGGCCAUGACACCCUUGUUUGUAAGAUCAUACUAUGUUUUUUUUCUGAGCCCUUAUUAAAUACUCUAACUCACGGAGUUAUGUUGUGAUGCCAUGUUGUACUACACAUACUUGCAAGUUAUGCCUAUGUGUGAUAUGUAUUGCUAUGCGCGGGGAUCGACACCUAGUUGUGUGCCUUUGGUAGCCUUCCUUCCAGGAAAAUGCUUCUUUGUGCCUCUAUUGAGCCUUGGUAGUUCGCUACUAUUCCGGACACAUUAAUUGACCGACAUGUAUCCUUAUUUGCUCGUGUGUUUGUCCCUAUAAGAAAAUGUAAUAUGAUGUUUACUAAAGUCCUCGUAGCUUGCUACGAUUCGGUUACACAUUCUAAUGACCGACACAUGCUCUACUGUAUUACCUAUGUCUUUUUGUUGGUCUAUUAAACAUAGGUGUUUAUACCCCAGACUUAUGCAUAGAUAGUAAUAGUUUUACUUGGUGAUGAGGGCUUGUUGGAGGACUACUGUCAGCAGCAAUCAAGACCACAAAGAAUACCUCUGGACAGGUCAUCGAGAAGUACUACAGAAGCACUGAAGUACAAGACUCAAGUUGUCGGCAAGCUUUGCACCAGCAAGCUCCGUCCCACCGCUCCAUUGAGGCAAGGAUAAAAAACUUGCCGAUAGGUGUUGAGCGGGCAUGCAAUUAGGUAAAGUUUGUCGAACACGUGGCGACCCACCAUCAAAGUACUAACUUUAUUGACACCCGUCCACGGGCGUGUCAAAGAAAUAAGAGCUAGUCAGUCGCCCGGUAUAGGCCGAGGGAUGUUUACCUUGUCGGAGGUGUCCUCAGCUUGACACCUAAUGGAGCAUUAAAUGCUCCUUGUCCUAGGCCGUAAGCGUUAGGUGUAGACCAUUGUAGCUUAUGUGAGCAGUUUGAGCACUCCUCUUGUCGUGGUUUUGUCACGGCAGAUGUCCUUGUGAACGGACUUAGUGGUGAGGCCAUCGUCGCGAUGUGGCGACUCGAUGGGGUUAAUUGGGAACGAGAGACGGAUUUACCCAGGUUCGGCGCCUCCAAUGGAGGUAAAAGCCCAUGUCCUGCUUUUGUAUCUAUAUUGAUGGGAACCUCGAUUACAAGGAUGCAGAAUCUCUAACCUAGCUCUCGAGGGUUUAUUAUUUGAUAUUUAUGGUUCGAGAGCUCUCGUUUAUAUAUAGGUAGAGGCCCCAAGUUUCCAAUAGAGUCUGGGUCAAAAACGCUCGUGACCUACUAUAAUUCUAUCCUAUGUUACUUCCCAAGUUAAGAAAGCUUCUCGCGUAUUUUUCCCUCUGGGUCUUGAGUCGUCGUCUUCUGGUGUUGGCUCGUAUGGCGGUUUGAGAGAGAGCCUUGGCGACCCACCUCCACCUUAUUACUACUCCUUUGUAUCUUGACCCAGCCCCAUAGGGCGGGUUACAUCCUAGGAUUAUAUCCCUGACAUUAGGCCCGUGGUUGAUUUGAACUUGUUCACGUCAAUCUAUCUUGAUCAAGCAAUAACCCGACAUGCCUUUCAACGUGAAUCUAAGUUUUUCACAGAUAAGAGAUGAAAGUAUUGCCGGGUCAUUGCCCCCUCUUAGGGACUUAACAUCUUUUCAGUCUUUACUGAUAUGAUGUCACCAAGCUGACUGCUGUUAUCCUAGAUCAUCAUGGCGAAUCUUUUCGAAAACAACAUUGAAUCUGGUCUAGCUCGAAAAUCUAGGUGUUGGAAAUAUGCCCUAGAGGCAAUAACAAAAUAGUUAUUAUUACAUUUCUUGUUUCAAGAUAAUCGUUUACUAUCCAUGCUAUAAUUGUAUUGAAUGGAAACAUAAAUGCAUGUGUGGAUAUAUAGACAAAACAAUGUCCCUAGUAAGUCUCUAGUUGACUAGCCUGUUGGUCAAGGAUGGUUAAGGUUUCCUAACCAUAGAGAAGUGUUGUCACUUGAUGACGGAAUCACGUCAUUAGGAGAAUGAUGUGAUGGACAAGAACCAAACUAUAAACGUAGCAUGUGAUCGUGUCAUUUUGUUGCUAUUGUUUUCUGCAUGUCAAGUAUUCGUUCCUAUGACCAUGAGAUCAUGUAACUCACUGACACUGGAGGAAUGCCUUGUGUGCAUCAAACAUCGCAAUAUUACUGGGUGACUAUAAAGGUGCUCUACAGGCAUCUUUGAAGGUGUCCGUUGAGUUAGCAUGGAUCAAGACUGGGAUUUUUCACUCCGUGUGAUGGAGAGGUAUCUCGGGGCCCACUCAGUAAUACAACAUCACAUAUAAGCCUUGCAAGGAAUGUGACUAAAGAGUUAGUCACGGGAUCUUGUAUUACGGAACGAGUAAAGAGACUUGCCGGUAACGAGAUUGAAACAGGUAUGGAGAUACCGACAAUCGAAUCUCGCGCAACUAACAUACCGAAGGACAAAGGGAAUGAUAUACGGGAUUGUGUGAAUCCUUCACAUAGAGGUUCAACCGAUAAGAUCUUCGUAGAAUAUGUACGAUCCAAUAUGGACGUCCAGGUCCCGCUAUUGGAUAUUGACUAGAGAGUGUCUCGGUCAUGUCUACAUAGUUCUCGAACCCGCAGGGCCUGCACACUUAAGGUUCGGUAAUUUUUUUGAUAUAGUUGAAUUAUUGAUGUUGGUAAUCGAAUGUUAUUCAGAGUCCAGGAUGAGAUCCUGGAUGUCACGAGUGUCUCUGGAAUGGUCCGGAAACGAAGCUUGAUAUAUAGGAUUGUUGCAUUUGGCUUCCGGAAAGAUUUCGAGCAUUAUCGGUAAAGUACGGGGAGUGACGAAUGGGUUCCGGGGUUUUACCGGGAGGGGCCAGCCACCCGGGAGAGAACCUAAUAGGCCCAUGGGUGGCGCACCAACCCUUAGUGGGCUGGUGAGGCUAGCCCAAUAGGGCUAUUUUGGCUAGAGCAACAAUAAAGGGAAAAAAGAGAGGAGGUGGGCAAGAAGGAAAGGACUCCUCCUCCAAACCGAAUUGGAGGAGGAAACCUUCCUCCUUGGCUCGGCCUACCCCUCCUACUUGGAGUAGGAGGCAAGGCAGCCACCCCUUGGUUCCUCCUAUAUAUAGUGGAGGUUUGAGAGGGUUUUUGCACCUCAAGCCUUUGUGCAAACCUCUCUCCCUCCACUACUUCGUGACAUACCGUAGCUAGAUCGGUACGGCACGACGAAGCCCUGCUGGAGAAUUCAGCUACCUCUUCAUCUCUCUUGAUGGAUGAAGAAGGCGGAGAUCAUCAUCGAUUUGUACGUGGGCUAAACACGGAGGUGCCGUCCGUUCGGUGCUAGAUCGGGACGGAUCGUGGGACGGCGACGAUUUGGAUCGCGAAGACGUUCCACUACAUCAACCGCAUUUCUUAACGCUUCCCGCUUAGCGAUCUACAAGGGUAUAUCUGAUCUCCCUCUCAUAUAUGAUCAUCACCAUGAUAGGUCUUCGUGUGCGUAAGAAUGUUUUUGUUUCCCAUGCAACGUUCCCCAACAGUGGCAUCAUGAGCUAGGUUCAUGCGUAGAUGAUAUCUCGNNNNNNNNNNNNNNNNNNNNNNNNNNNNNNNNNNNNNNNNNNNNNNNNNNNNNNNNNNNNNNNNNNNNNNNNNNNNNNNNNNNNNNNNNNNNNNNNNNNNUUGCUGAAAUUCUGGUUAUGAGUUAGACAUAGUUGCAACAACAAGAUCAAACAGAGUUUGUCAAAGUUUUUCUUUCUCUCUCAGUUUGUCAACUGAGUUGCUUGAGGACAAGCAAGGUUUUAAGCUUGGGGGAGUUGAUACGUCUCCAUCGUAUCUACUUUUCCAAACUCUUUUGCCCUUGUUUUGGACUCUAAUUUGCAUGAUUUGAAUGGAACUAACCUGGACUGACGCUGUUUUCAGCAGAAUUGCCUUGGUGUUAUUUUUGUGCAGAAAUCAAAGUUCUCCAAACGUCCUGAAAAUUUACGGGGAGCAGUUUAGGAAAAUAUGAAAAAUAUCUAUGCCAAGUUCCACCUGAGGGGUUGGGCCAGUGGGCCACAAGCCCUGGCUCUGCCGCCACCCCCCUGGUGGCGGUGGGCAGGCUUGUGGGGCCCACACGGCUCUGCCGCCCCCAACCUGAGGUCUAUAAGUUCACUUUCAUCCCAGAAAAAAUAAAAAGAGAAGUUUUUGUUGCGUUUGCGAUACGGAGGCGCCGCCACCACCUGUUCUUCAUCUGGAGGGCAGAUCUGGAGUCUGUCUUGGGCUCCGGAGUGGGGAAAUCGUCGCCAUCAUCAUCAUCAACCUUAUUCCUCUCCAAUUCCAUGAAGCUCUUCGUCGUUCGUGAGUAAUCUAUUCGUAGGCUCGCUGGGCGGUGAUGAGUAGGAUGAGAUCUAUCAUGUAAUCGAGUUAGUUUUGAUGGGGAUUGAUCCCUAGUAUCCACUAUGUUGUGAGAUUGAUGUUGCUACUACUUUGCCAUGCUUAAUGCUUGUCACUAGGGCCCGAGUGCCAUGAUUUCAGAUCUGAAAUUAUUAUGUUGUCACCAAUAUAUGUGUGUUUGAGAUCCGAUCUUGCAAGUUGUAGUUACCUACUAUGUGUUAUGAUCCGGCAAGCGGAGUGACAAUAACCGGAACCACUCCUGGUGAUGACCAUAGUUUGAGGAGUUCAUGUGUUCACCAAGUGCUAAUGGGUUGGUCCGGUUCUUUAUUAAAAGGAGAACCUUAAUAUCCCGUAGUUUCCUUUUGGACCCCGCUGCCACGGGAGGGAUGGACAACAGAUGUCAUGCAAGUUCUUUUCCCUAAGCACGUAUGACGACACACGGAAUGCAUGCCUACAUCACAUUGACAAACGGGAGCUAGCCACAUAUCUCAACGUGUUAUAACUGUUGCAUGAUGAAUAUCAUCCAAACAAAUCACCGACCCAUUGCCUACGAGUUUGUCCUACUGCUGCUGUUACUUGUCUUACUCUACUGCUGUUACUACUGUUGUUGCUGCUGUUACUACUGUUGCUAUUGAUAUUACUUGUCUUGCUCUGCUGCUACUGUUGCUACUACUGUCGCUUGCUACUGUUGCUACUUGCUACUGCUAUCACUACUGCUGUUCCUUGCCACUGUUAUUGCUCGUUACACUGCUACUACCUAUUACCAUUUUGGUUCGCUGGACGUUGACGGGAACUGGCAACUUCCGUCAACGAGGCAACUUGGCGCCACUGAUACAAUCGUUAGGAAUAGUCUGUCGUCAACAGAUCGUUUCUGACACCGUUGUUAUCAUACUACUUUGCUACUCAUACUUUGCUUGCAGAUACUAAUCUUUCAGGUGUGGUUGUAUAACAUCCCAAAUUUUGGAAUGUUAAAAUAAUUAUUAGAUCGUUUGUUUGUUUGUUUGAGUGAUUGAAACUUGAGUGAAAUAUGAAACUUUUAAAAACUUUUGAAUGAGAGGGAAUAAAAUGACUUCCCCUUUUCCUGUGAACUCAAUUUCAUCUAUUUAAGAAAAAUCAAAGAGAGAAGAUAACAUGACUUAUUCUACCAUAAAGAUUUUUGAAGGGUGGAUUUGAAAACUAAUAAAAGAUUUUCCAUAUGGAUUUUAUUUUCAUAUUUUGUCUUAUUGCUAUUUCAAAGCUUAAUUGGAGUCAUAUAUUAAAAAUAUGAGAGGAGGAACAUGACCCUCCAAACCACGGGACUUUUUGAAAGUUAUUUGAACCCUAAAACUUAGAGGGACAUUUGAAAAAAAAUUGCAAAAGAAAAUAAAUCUUUUAGGCAAUUUUGUGAAAAUAAUUUUUUCUAAAGUUUUUAUUUUGGUCGUGGAAAAAUGUUAAUCAAAUUCUAUAUUUUCGGCUAAUAAUUUUGGUAUAUAAUAUGCCCAUAUUUGGAAUUGUUUUGAUCGCCCUCUCUCUGCCGCCAGGCCCCACCGACUGAUCCCACCUCUCGCACGCUCUCCUCCCUCCCUCGGUCAUCUCUUUCCUCCCCAGCCGAUCCCCUUCCGUACCAUCGCCGGCCACCACCGGACCCCUCGGAUCCUGCGAUCCCCUUCCCUCCCGAGGUCUCCCCUCCUCCUAUAAAAACCCCCUGCCCCUCCUCGCCUCGUUCCCCCCCCCCACAACCACCUCGUCAGAGCCGAGCUCUAGGAGAGCCCCGCCACCCCUGUCGCGCCUCCCUCGCCCUUCCCGCACCAACUGACCCCACCAGCAGCAUCCCCUCGUCCACCACGACCCAUUUUCCCCUAGCUCGAGCUUUCGCCGCUCCUUGCCACUCCCCUCGCCUCGCCGGAGCUCGGACGGACAGGAGCUCCUCACGAACUCCCCCGACCGCCCCUGCUCUCCCCCAGCCACGAAGCACCCCGCCGUCGCCGUCAAUCAACGGAGGAGACUCACUACCGUCCUCCCCACGCCUCGGCCGCCGCUGCCGACCAUCGCAAGGGCGCCCCCGACCACUGCCACUUCUCUGCCUCGCCGGAGAAACCCCUGCAGACCCUCCCCACGGUGAGCUACCCCCAUCUCUCCUGUAGCCGUAGGAUCUUUCAUCUACGGUGUAGAUUAGAAAUAGAUACCCCUUCAGUUUUAGUUAAAAACCGAGCCGGUUUUUACUUCACUUAAGUUUUAGCCGAGAGGAUUUAUCUAAAUACCGGCCGUUUGAUAGUUUUCCCCGAAGCACUCACCCCUUAGCCAAUUAGAGCACGCCACAUACCCCCCCUGCACUAGUUAGUUUAAUCUGUUUUCAGUUUUAAUUCAAAAACACAAAGAGUUUCAAUAUUGUUUUGCUCAUAACAUUUGAUCCAUAACUCCAAUGGAGUUGAAUCUUUUUCCAGUAGAUCACAAUUUUUCUGUAGUUUUCGAAAACAUAUUGUUUGCCUAUGUUUGAAAUUCCAAAAUUUGAAUUAGAUCAGAUUUAGUUUAAAUCUUGUUUUGCUUAUUCCAGGAGUUUAAAAAUAGCUUUUAAUUUGAUUCUUUUUGCUACUGCUUCCUAGUGAUAAUAUUUUUCAGUAGUAUAAGUUUAAAUUUUUUUUAAAUAUUUUUACUUGGGGUUUUAUCAAAAACAGGUUCUGUUUUGAUUAGGUGAAGUGAAUUUCUUCACUUUAUGCAACAGUAGUUUUAUGCUAGUGAUGUUAUUUUUGCUUUUUAAUGAUUGUAGUGCUUAUGGUGUGUAUUUGUUUGUAUCGAUAGAUACCCAGAGUGCGAAGCGUGCUACUUAGAAGUGCUUGAUAACGACAACUAUCAGCAAGGCAAGUCAUUUUAUCAUGUAUUACCUAUGUUUUAUGCAUUGUAGUUCUACCCUUCAAACACCCUAUUGCAUGCUGAGUAGGUACAUGGAAAUAUUGGUUACUUGUUGUAGUAUCAUGUGGUAGGCACCCAACAACCCCGUUACUUGCCCCGGGACGACAAAUUUUAUAUAUCUAUGCUUGUGUAGACGGCGUUCUGGAUGAGAGUUUAUCACGAGUGAUGCGAGAGUAAUUUAAUAACCAAGACCGGUUAAGACAAGACUUUUCAAGACCUCGUGAUGCAAUGCAACUCUGGGUGAAGGACGGUUUAGAUGGUCUCCCUGGAGAAACCAGUGGACGACCCGGGAUUCAUGGAGGCGUGCCAUGACAUCUUGUGGAAAGCUUCACCCGGGCUCGAAGAGAUGGACGGAGGCUUCAAGACCCAAGGCUUACCUGCACAGCCACAAGUCAUUAUGGGCCCUGGCUUGGUUGGACAACAUGGCGACUCAGGACAGGCGGUGCUAGCAGAUGUAGAAGAACGGUAGGAUUGGAUGGGCACCGACAGGGGAUCAGAGGAACCCGUUGAAAGACCAUGUUUUUAUCAUCCGGUCUUCAAACACCCUGAAGUGCGAGGACAUACACGGAGGCGAUCAAAUCUUGUGGGGAACGUGUGCAAAACUCUGCAGAGUACUCAAACCUAAUCGAUUAGCCGUGUCCACGAUCAUGGACAACUUGAGCCAAAGGAACUGAAGUUAUCUGAAAUUCUCAACACCUUUAUAUAAUAUUGAUGUGGGUAAUAUUGAUAACUUGGGUAUGAGAACUGGUUGGCGGAACCAUCUCAUUAACAACCAACAACGUAGUAAUAUUUUGCUUUUAGCCCCUCUAUUAUUGUAGGAGAAAACUUUGCUUUUCCGCUAAAAACUUACAGCCCCUCCUGCCAUAUAUGCAUAUAGAAUAGAUGAUUACUUUUCACCUCUCUCUUGUUUGACUUGCCGGCAUAUUCAAUAUGCUGACCUACACGGCUGCGGCGUCUUAUGUUGCAGAUACUUUCUACGACGAGUAAGUGUACGAUUCAGGGUUACGGUCCGCACUCAACCUGCCGUUGGUGUUAUUUGGGACUCCACUCCCUUGACUGUUUACGUUGAGAUUUUAAGGUAUAUAUCAGUUUUAUGUUAUUACAUGUGAUUGCACUUUGAUAUAUACAUUUAUGUACUGUGUGUGCCAGCAUAUUGAUCUAGGGAUGGCACAGAUACACAUAGGCUUGACUCGUUUUGAGUCGGCUCGCUACAGAUAUGGUAUCAGAGCACAUGUUGACUGUAGGACAUGACCCUAGAAACUGGAAACUUCUUAGGAUAGGAUCUCUCAAAAAUCUUAUUUUCGAGAACACCUUUCACUUCUCAUCUCUUUUGAUUUCAUAAAAUGUUCUCCCUCACCUCAAAUAGUUAUACAAUCCCCUUACCCCUUUGACCUCAUGAAGAAUAAAUGGAGUUCUACUUCAAAGUAAAGAGGAUUUCACCAUGCAUUUGAAGAAUUGAAGCUACACCAACAGAAGACUCUCAAGACCCGAAGAACUCGAAGACCCUAAAGUGUUCGAAUAAUUAUAUGACCAUUAGAAGUCCAAACCCCUUUUAUAUACCCACGUUAGAUACGAUGAUUUGUGAGCCGUCAUUGGUGUGUGUUUUCCGACGGCCACAAAUAAAACCUAUUCUCAAAAAUAUUGUUUGUAUUCUGUGAUCUCCCUCCCUCUCUUACCCGUCUCAUCCCCAAAACCUCAACCCUACCAGAUGGAGUAUGAAGCUGGACUUGUAGUCUUUGGACCAAUGACCCAGCUGGAGGCUGAAAUAUGGAUUCAGAACAUGGAGAACCACUUCGGGAGCAACUUGAUCUCAAGGAAAUAUGAAGUGGCACACGCUCUCCAGUACUUUACCCAAAGUGCUGCUAUCUGGUGGAAAAUGCACCAUGCCAUACAAGGAUUUAGUGGAGCAGAAACUUGGGACGAAUUCAAGAACACUCUGUUAAGAUCCUUACUUAUUCAGAAGUGCUAUGAUAAUCCGAAGGAGAAGACUUGUGCAUGCAAGAUCUGUGGAGAAAUAGGACUCACCCAGGAAGAACACAAGGAUGGAUGCACUCAUUGUGAAGAAAAUCACCUAGCUGAGGAGUGCCCAAGUAGUCAGGUGACUUGUUUCCUUUGUGAAGGAACCACCCACUACCCAGCUCAAUGUCACAUUUACCCCAAGGUGCAACAAGUUGUCAAGCAACAGAAAUAAGCAAUGGAGGAAACCCUCACGAAGAAGAUUUUAGAAGAACUUGUGAUGAAGGAAAAUAUUGGAGACCCCGAUGGACAAGGCCUAACCAGAUUUUUCUCCAAUGCAUGCUACUUAUGUGGAGAAGAAGGACAUUAUUCACAGGAUUACACGAAGGGAAGCCAAGAGUAUCUGGGAAACUUCCCGACGGAAAAAGUGGAGUUUGAUCCACUUGAAAUAGAAGAACUGGCCAAAAUGAAGGAGUCCGGAAAGAAGAAAAAGUACCCUCGGGAGAGCCAAAUCUCUGCAGAUAAAGACCUGAGUCACGUCAGAUGUUUCAAGUGUAUGGAAUUUGUCCACUACAAAUACAUGUGUUCAGGAAGGAAGUCGGAAACCCAAGGAGCAAAAGCAAACACUAAGACGCCUCGAGACUUGUCAGAACUCAUUUGCUUUCGUUGCAAGGAAGCAGGACAUUUUGCCAAUGAUUGUCCACAUAGGAAGAAAGCUAAAAUGGAGUAGUUAAGUUUUGACCGCAACAAUUAGUGUAAUCUGAAGCACUCUUGUUUUUCAUGAGAUCAUGGAGUUGAAUUUUUGUAACAAAAGCCUCUGAGAUUGUAAUAAUUCAUGAACCAAUAAAAUUGUUGUGUCAUGAUCUCCUAUGUUGAAACUGUAUGCGUUGUUUUCUCUACGAGCAAAGAUCUCUGAACAUUUAUGAGAUUAAGAGAAAAUAUGGUCUAUGCAGGCAUGAUUAUAAUUCAUUUUUAAGUGUGGUAGUAAUCGGUAAACCCACAGGAUCCACUGAGUAGGAAUGUACCGUAAUUACCAAGGAGACACAUACAUUCCUGUGAGUACCAAUUUACUGACAGCUGCAGAUGACAACUCUCUACGAGUCAUUCCUCAAGGGCCCAGAAACGAUCAUGACCCUGACCAGUGAUCAUGAUUACCCGAAAAUCCUGAAGGACAUGAUGAAGCACAUUCAUCUUGAAGGAGAUGCAGUCUACAAAGGCUACCCGUUCAUGGAAAAUGGAGUGGAACUUUGGUAUGUGGAAGUACACCUCCACCAUGUGAAAGGAGUUUGUCCAAAGACUAUGGGGCAAUACUUUUUCAUUUCACGUGUACCACGAGCAAUUUUCUUUGAUGCUGUUCGUGAAGCUCUCAUGGAAGCCAUACGUCAGAUUGGAGAAAUACUUGAAGCAAGACUCCGUCAUACCCAGGAAUACUUGAGUGAAGUGCAUGCGGAGAUGAUGGAGAUGAAGCUCAUGGCCACCCUGAGAAAGCAAAAGAUGGAUGAUUUCAAGGAACACAUCGAAAAGUUCCAGUGGAACUAAGGUAUCUCCAAGGGAGACAAAUGAAUAAAGUUGGCAGGAAUGCUUGACCAUACCGAACAAUGUGGAUGGCAGCAUUUGUAAUAAAGUUACUUUUGAAUUUGGAGUUUUGAGAGGAAAUUAAGGAUGUAAUAAAGGAUUGAGUAUGAAAUAAAUAUGAAUUAUCGUUGAGAAAUACCUUCUUAUGGUAUCCCACAGAGUGGCGUGUGAACCAAAAGUAAGUCUGAGGAUUUUUAUUGGUUACCCCAAGAGUAUGAUGGAAUGAAACACUAUAGGAUUUAAAGGCGGAGUAAUUCCAAGUAUGAGUAAAAGGGGGCCUGCAACCCACAGACCCCGAGACUAAUAAGGAUCAAGUACUACCUUUUUGGAGAAGGAAACUUGUAUCAACAAACGUUUUCUUAGGAGCAUACGAAAACCUGAGAGUUGUGAAGAUACGUUAAAUGUUUUGUUCAGCUUGCAGAACCGAUGGAUUACACGAACUUUGUUUGUGGACAAGAAAAAUUCUGCAAUGCUUGUGAGGAUGCCCAAGUGUUAUAAUGCGAGAUUCGCUAAACCUUAUACAGAGAAAUGAUUUGGAUGCGGAAUGGAUUGAUCACAAUGACAACUUACUCUUAUCAUUUAUCUUGCUAUUCGGAAUGGUAAAUCUGAGGGACUUACCCAUAGAGAGAGAUGACGUUCUUGGAAGCUUUUGUUUAAGCCUUAGAAUGGUAUGAUGAAAACCCCAUGAACAUGGCAUCUGUUGUCACGCGUAAGAAAUUUUACGGUGAGGAUGAAACCAAGACCCCUCUCUCUGCAGGAUAACCAUAAAUGCUAGACCACCAUGAGAACCAUCGAUAUGUUAUUUAGAAUUGACCACGAGAGUGUCAAUUAAGAAGACCCAAUAACGGAAGAAGCUUAUAUCAACAGAAUAACCCUCGUUUUGAUGGAGACGUUAUGAAUAUAGCGGAAGAUAUGAGGACUGUGAGGAGUCAGAUGCCAAACCUCCAGGGAUUUUUAAAGUUUUGAGGGACCAAUAAUCUUUAUUUUAAGUGUGGUAGCAUCCCACUUUGUCGGAGGUUGGAUUUGUUAGAAGACCCCCAAACCUAACCUUUCUUUCUAGCCUCUUCGAAUCUCGAGGACGAGAUUCAUUUUAAGUGUGAUAGGUUUGUAACAUCCCAAAUUUUGGAAUGUUAAAAUAAUUAUUAGAUUGUUUGUUUGUUUGUUUGAGUGAUUGAAACUUGAGUGAAAUAUAAAAAUUUUAAAAACUUUUGAAUGAGAGGGAAUAAAAUGACUUCCCCUUUUCCUGUGAACUCAAUUUCAUCUAUUUAAAAAAAAUCAAAGAGAGAAGAUAACAUGACUUCUUCUACCAUAAAGAUUUUUGAAGGGUGGAUUUGAAAACUAAUAAAAGAUUUUCCAUAUGGAUUUUAUUUUCAUAUUUGGUCUUAUUGCUAUUUCAAAGCUUAAUUGGAGUCAUAUAUUAAAAAUAUGAGAGGAGGAACAUGACCCUCCAAACCAGGGACCUUUUUGAAAGUUAUUUGAACCCUAAAACUUAGAGGGGCAUUUGAAAAAAAAAUUGCAAAAGAAAAUAAAUCUUUUAGGCAAUUUUGUAAAAAUAAUUUUUUCUAAAGUUUUUAUUUUGGUCGUGGAAAAAUGUUAAUCAAAUUCUAUAUUUUCGGCUAAUAAUUUUGGUAUAUAAUAUGCCCAUAUUUGGAAUUGUUUUGAUCGCCUAAAUCUUCCUUUUACCUUCCUGUUUUUAAUUGAAAGGAAAUUUUUCCUUUAUUAGGAAAUCGCCAAGGGCCCGUUAGGAAGGUCUGGCCCAAGACCCUUCCCUCGCCAAAUCCAAAACCGAUCGGAUCGGCCGCCCGAUCUGUUUCUCUCUCGCUCCCUCUCUCUGCCGCCAGGCCCUACCAACCGAUCCCACCUCUCGCGCACUCUCCUCCCUCCCUCGGUCAUCUCUUUCCUCCCCAGCCGAUCCCCUUCCAUACCAUCGCCGGACCCCUCGGAUCCUACGAUCCCCUUCCCUCCCGAGGUCUCCCCUCCUCCUAUAAAAACCCCCCUGUCCCUCCUCCCCCCGUUCCCCCCCCCAAGACCCCGAGCUCCUCGCCCUAGCCACCCCCCUGCAACGACCUCGCCGGAGCCGAGCUCUAGGAGAGCCCCGCCACCCCUGUCGCGCCUCUCUCUCCCUCCCCACACCAACUGACCCCACCGGCAGCAUCCCCUCGUCCAUCGCGACCCAUUUUUCCCCUAGCCCGAGCUUUCGCCGCUCCUCGCCACUCCCCUCGCCUCGCCGGAGUUCGGCCGGACAGGAGCUCCUCAGGUACUCCCCCGACUGCCCCUGCUCUCCCCCGACCACGAAGCACCCCACCGUCACUGCCAAUCGACGGAGGAGACUCACCGCCGUCCUCCCCACGCCUCGGUCGCCGCUGCCGACCAUCGCAAGGGCGCCCCCGACCACCGCCACUUCUCUGCCUCGCCGGAGAAGCCCCUGCAGACCCUCCCCACGGUGAGCUACCCCCAUCUCUCCUGUAGCCGUAGGAUCUUUCAUCUACGGUGUAGAUUAGAAAUAGAUACCCCUUCGGUUUUAGUUAAAAACCGAGCCGGUUUUUACUUCACUUAAGUUUUAGCCGAGAGGAUAAAUACCGGCCGUUUGUUAGUUUUCCCCGCAGCACUCACCCCCUAGCCAAUCAGAGCACGCCACAUACCCCCCCCCCCCCCCCCCCCCCCCCCCCCCCCCCCCCCCCCCCCCCCCCCCCCCCCCCCCCCCCCCCCCCCCCCCCCCCCCCCCCCCCCCCCCCCCCCCCCCCCCCCCCCCCCCCCCCCCCCCCCCCCCCCCCCCCCCCCCCCCCCCCCCCCCCCCCCCCCCCCCCCCCCCCCCCCCCCCCCCCCCCCCCCCCCCCCCCCCCCCCCGCGUGCACUAGUUAGUUUAAUCUGUUUUUAGUUUUAAUUCAAAAACAGAGAGAGUUUCAAUUUUGUUUUGCUCAUAACUUUUGAUCCAUAACUCCAAUGGAGUUGAAUCUUUUUCCAGUAGAUCACAAUUUUUCUGUAGUUUUCGAAAACAUAUUAUGUGCCUAUGUUUGGAAUUCCAAAAUUUGAAUUAGAUCAGAUUUAGUUUAAAUCUUGUUUUGCUUAUUCCAGGAGUUUAAAAAUAGCUUUUAAUUUGACUCUUUUUGCUACUUCUUCCUAGUGAUAAUAUCUUUCAGUAGUAUAAGUUUCAAUGUUUUUUAAAUAUGUUUACUUGGGGUUUUAUCAAAAACAGAUUCUGUUUUGAUUAGGUGAAGUGAAUUUCUUCACUUUAUGCAAUAGUAGUUUUAUGCUAGUGAUGUUAUUUUUGCUUGUUAAUGAUUGUAGUGCUUAUGUUGUGUAUUUGUUUGUAUCGAUAGAUACCCGAAGUGCGAAGCAUGCUACUUAGAAGUUCUUGAUAACGACAACUAUCAGCAAGGCAAGUAAUUUGAUCAUGUAUUACCUAUGUUUUAUGCAUUGUAGUUCUACCCUUUAAACACCCUAUUGCAUGCUGAGUAGGUACUUGGAAAUAUUGGUUACUUGUUGUAGUAUCAUGCGGAAAACUUCACCCAGGCUCGAAUAGAUGGACGGAGGCUUCAAGACCCAAGGCUUACCUGCACAGCCACAAGUCAUUAUGGGCUCCGGCUUGGUUGGACAACGUGGCGACUUAGGACAGGCGGUGCUAUCAGAUGUAGAAGAACGGUAGGAUUGGAUGGGCGACGACAGGGGAUUAGAGGGACCUGUUGAAAGACCAUGUUUUGAUCAUCCAUUCUUCAAACACCCUGAAGUGCGAGGACAUACAUGGAGGUGAUCAAAUCUUGUGGGGAACGUGUGCAAAACUCUGCAGAGUACUCAAACCUAAUCGAUUAGCCGUGUCCACGGUCAUGGACAACUUGAGCCAAAGGAACUGAAGUUAUCUGAAAUUCUCAACACCUUUAUAUAAUAUUGAUGUGGGUAAUAUUGAUAACUUGGGUAUGAGAACUGGUUGGCGGAACCAUCUCAUUAACAACCAACAACGUAGUAAUAUUUUGCUUUUAGCCCCUCUAUUGUUGUAGGAGAAAACUUUGCUUUUCCGCUAAAAACUUACAGCCCCACCUGCCAUAUAUGCAUAUAGAAUAGAUGAUUACUUUUCACCUCUCUCUUAUGUGACUUGCCAGCAUAAUCAAUAUGCUGACCUACACGGCUGCAACGUCUUAUGUUGCACAUACGUUCUUCGACGAGUAAGUGUAUGAUUCAUGGUUACAGUCCGCACUCAACCUGCCGUUGGUGUUAUUUGGGACUCCACUCCCUUGACUGUUUCCGCUGAGAUUUUAAGGUAUAUAUCAGUUUUACGUUAUUACAUGUGAUUGCACUUUGAUAUAUACAUUGAUGUACUAUGUGUGCCAGCAUAUUGAUCCAGGGAUGGCACAGAUACACAGAGGCUUGACUUGUUUUGAGUCGGGUCGCUACAGGUUGAAUCUGACGCAUUCAGCGGCUAAUACUUGAGAGUAUCCUCUCACCUCCUAUAGACGUACCAACAAAUUUGGGUCGAAUACGCUACCCUCGAAAACUGCUACGAUCCCACGCGCUGGUGGGCCGUCAACAACAUUCUUCUAGUUUCGAUUGUCGUGGAGUGCUAGCAGCAUUCUUCUGGUGCCGUUGCAAGGGGAAGAACAGUUGACAUCAGCGACUAAACCCCACAUGCAAAAAUACAACCAACUACUCUAAAAUACAUGGCAAAAGGGUUCCUAAUACAAGAGUGUUUUAUCUACGGGGUUUGACCAAUCCGGACCGCACGAAAAAAAUAAAUACGGGCAAUUAUCCUAUUGAGUCAGCACGCAAAACUAGGCAUUCGGCACGUCAAAUCACUUCAAACAUUUACGCAAGUUGCAAAUUCGUAAUCUACGCGGAAAAUUACACAAGAUCCGUAUACAACUUGCCUCGAUCCGACAUACGGUUUAGAAACUACGGGCAAAAGAAAUUAACUAAUAUCCCUGAAAUUAACUAAAUCGCAAGGAAAAAAAUACAUAAACUACUACGGGCCAAAUCUAGGCAUAAUGGGCCUAACAAAGGCACGCAACAUAACUACCAUGCGCCCGAGCGAAGGAUAGAGGUGGGGCCUCACCUUGGGCCUUGGGCCGGCUGGACGUGUCGGCCUGAAGGCGAUUCGAUGCUGAGGGGAGGCUGAGGGGGUUGAAUGGGCCGCGGGGCUAGAUGCGGCUAGGCCGGCUCGGGCCCAGGAGCUCGCGAGGCAGUCUGGCGAGGCCUGGCGGUCAACGCGGCUGGUUCCUCGUCUCCCUCUCGAGACAGGCAGGAACGGCGGCAGCAUCUGAGGCGAACGCCGGCGCAGGGAGCAGAGACGGCGGGCGAAGGCGAGGGAGACCAGAUCCUGGUGGCCUUGGGCGGAUCCGGGCCCUAGGGAUCCAUUCCCUGCGGCGGCGGCAAGAUCCGAGGGGAGAGUCGGGGCGGCGGAGGCUUGUUUCGGCGGCCAUGGAACCUCCUGGAGGUCACUGACGGCGGGCACGGGCAGGCAACGCGUGGGAGCGAGGGACACGGGGCGACGCACCGCGCGGGCCCGAGGGUCGGCGCUCCGGCCGGCGGGGCUUCGGCGAGGCAGCACGGGGAGGCUUACACGGGAGGAGCUCGGGAAGAGGAGAGCUUGGGGUCGGGCCCAGCUUCGACGGGCUUGGUUCGGGCCCGGGCGGGCCGGCGGCUGGAGGGAGAUAGGGGAGAGAGGAGCUGCGGCUGGGGUUGGUGGGGCAUGGAAAAUGAGGUAGAUGGCUAGGGUUUGUUGUCUAAAAUUCCUCGGGAGGUCUAUUUAUAGACAAAGGGGGCUAGGUUUAGCGGAAUAUCGUUCCGGAUCCAACUGCGCGGUCGGAAUCGAACACUUCCGCACGCGGGGACGAGUAAGUGGCUGUGUAGAGUGGUUAGCCAGAGAUGAGAGGGAAACGGGCGACCCAACAACGAGUUUUAAAAUACCGAAAGACGUCCGACGAUAGUCCGAAUACGAUGCCGCUACGAUCGACCAUUCGGGUACCAGACGGACUCCGAUUGCGACGAAAUUUGGCAGGCGGUCUACCAUAAUAUAUUAAUACCGCACGCCACGUUCCAACCCAAUCGGAGAAAGUUUUAUACACACUUUUGAAAACAAGAUUUAAACGAUGUUGCGGGCGCGUGCGUGUGUGGUCGGGCUCAGAACGGACAACGAUGAGAACCGGGAACUAACAACGGAUGCAACUUUUGAAAACUGGUGGCAACGGGAUGCUGAUGCAAUGCUGAUGAUGCGCAUGAUGCGAUGAUGAUGCGACAAAUAAAAAUAAUCACACGACGGAAACGGAAUAAAGGGGGAAUCUUCUAGAACGUCGAUCUCGGGUUGUCACAACUCUCCUACACUACAAGAGGAUCUCGACGCGAGAUCCAAGAAUGAAAGGGGAAGAGGAAGAGAAAGCACAUGGUAAAACUUAAUUGCUUAUUUGACAAACGAGUGAAACCAAUGAUCCUUAAAGGUUGCAAUGGGAUGAGGAAUGAUAUGAGAAACAAGCAAGAAUUCAUGGAAAAUUUCGGCAGCACUUCGGUAGGAAAAAGGGACAAAAAAAUCGAUAAGAUAGGAAAACUAGACAAGAUUCAUAACAAACAACUAAAUAGAGCAAGGGAACACCAUGAUCUUGUCAGAACAAGAUGAUAGAUUGAAGAGAGCAACAUCACAAAGCCUCCGUUAGAAAGAAUAGAAACUAUCUCUUUAAAAGAAGAGAACGAAGAAGAAAUAGAGAACUACAACCACAAGAAUCUUGAAGAACAUCUUGAGAAGAAUUGAAACCUUGAUGCACCACCAUGACGAACCUCUUGGGGAACACCGGAAUGAAAUGAUGAAAGAAUAAGAUUAAAGGCCUUGCAAUGAUUUAGAUGAAGCUUCUCAAUGAGAUACUUGAUAGAACUUGGAACUUUGGAAAAUAAAGAUAAGCACUUGAGAAAAGAAUUGAUAUCAUGAGGCACUCCGAAAGAAGAAUUGAAACCAUUUGACGAAGCAAGAAUAAGAAUUAUGUUAUGCUUAUCCUUCAUCAAGUUUAAUUGACGACAAGCAACGGAUUUAACAUACCCCUUAUUCUUCUUGAAAGAAACUUGAAGAGAGAGAUAGAUAUGCAGCACAUGAAGCAUAAUCGAAGGAAGCACCCGUAAGAAUUCACAAUUGAAUGGAAAUACCAAGAGUUAAUGGAUAUACAUGAGAAUGAAAAGAUCAUGAGCCACCUGAGAGAAAACUUGAAUAAGGCGCCGGAAUAAAUGAGAGACGAACGAAGAGACAACAAUUGAGAAGAAUUUGAGAACGAAAUCUGAAAGCUGAGAACGAAGAGAUCUUCUGAAAUGAUGGCCUUCGGAGGAUCAAGAAUGAAAACAACUGAGAAAUGCACCGGAUAGCAAGAAAGGGAUUACUCAUGACUGGAACAAUUAAGAUGAUGGCACCAAGCUGAAAUGAUGAAUCUUCAAGAGAAUGAACCAAGAUUCGAGAGAAACACCCCUUCGGUCUUCCAAGCUGAGAAUGAUGACGAGAAACAACACCAAGAACUACUGAGACAUUCCAGAAUAACGAAGAAUGAAAGGUUGAUCCAAAGACAAGAAACAAUUCAAAUUGAUCUUGAAGAGGGAAUCUGACUGAUGAAAUCCAUACCUACGUCAUAGUUGAAAGAAUUAGAGAUCUCCGGGAAAGAUUACAAGAGCCAGAUAAGAUCCUGGGAAAGAACAUGUGGGUUAUGGGCCCACUCAAAGAAACCAUCGUUGAAAAGAUUGCUCAGAGGGAGAAAUAUUGCACCGGUAUGAACAGAACUAGAUGAGGUUAGCACCUUGAAAUAAUUCAAAGAAUUGAAAACAAGAAACUACUCGGAUAUCUUCAGCACUCUGGAUAGAAAAGAGAGGAAUGAAUAAACAACAUAGGCUGAUAAGAAUUUCCAACAUAGGAAAAAUUUAAAGGAUGAAAAGGAUAUGAUGAACACGGAAAACUGAAUUGAAUUCACCAGAAAAGAUAACUAGAUCGAAUCAAGAUGAACACGAAGCUCCUGAGAAUCUACACAAUGAACCACCGGAUAAGAGAGAAAAGAAAAGAUAGCGGAAGCAACAAUGAAAUGAAAUGCACUUGGAUGAAAUCCAAUCACUGAAGAAAAAGGGCGGGAGGGCGGGGAAAACAAAAACAACAUGGGACAGAUGAGACAAACUCCGGAAAGAAAUGAUGAUUGGCCUUGCAAAAAUUGGAGAGGAUAGGAUAACUUGAAGAGAAGCACACCGGUUGAAAAAGAAUUAAUAUGACAACUCCGGUUAACAAGAAAUUUAAAGAAAAGUUGAUUUGAGGAACAGAAUUUGCAUCCUCAUAAGAAUAUGAGAACACGUCUUAGAAAAGAUAUGGAAUCACCAUUUGACAUCGAAGCAACUUGAAUUACCAUACUCCAACAAAACAAAGGAUGAGGCUUACAAAACAAGCCAGAACAAAUUCAUGAGAGAGAUAUCGUCCGAUAUUUUCGUGGACGGGAUCGCACGGGCUCGAUCCUUACAGUAGCCAUCCUGUGCAAGGCAGUGCACACGACAUACGAAGCGUCCCCGAGUCGUAGCAAGCUACAAGGACUCUUUAAGACACAAUGAGAGCCGUUGUAAUACGACCGUGAACAAACAAAUACACUAGAUGUCGAACCCCAACCUAACAUCAUGCAUUUGUUGGAAGAUCGUCCUAUAAGUAACUACUUGAAUUCCCACCUAAGAAUUCCCGAAAUUUCUGGUCAUGCAAUCUGGUCCAUGGAUACAAGGAGUAAAAUAUCACUCAACUCCUAUAUUAACCCGUCCAGUGUAUCACAUCCGUCAACACAUAACCAGAAUCUCGGACCUUCAUCUACUACAAACCCUCGUGAUCACAACGAUACAAAGUAUGGCAGUACUCCCAAACAAUCUGCACCAGUACUGGGGACAUCGGGGUUAUCUCGCCACUACUAGUAUUGAAGCAAUUACGAACAUCCUUCAUUCUGAGAUACUAAGAAAUCUGAACGAUAACGAUGUGCUCGAGAAUUCCCUGGAGCUCAACUCCUCGGAAGAAAUCAAGUCACACAGGAGGCACCAAGACAGAACUCCGUCACAUCGGCAUCAUAUAGAUUCCAAAAAUAUCCGCGUGAUCCUAAAAAAAUUGAGUGAGAAGAGGAGUAGAGUUAAAAUAUUACGUCAAGAUUCCUCACCAGAGCAUAGAAGAGGAGAAAAAAGAAUCCUACUCUACGAUAAAUAACUAGACUCAAAGAAAUUUUUCACUAGACUCGACUCGGCCAAGUUCGAUCAAUCAAGGGGGCUCCUAGGUCGGUGCUGCUUUGAUACCAACUUGUCACGCCCAAGAUGCGACCCUAUCCUCAAUUUGGCACGAGGGCCUCGUCAGGGAUAGGAGCGCAUCUCGUCGUUUCGCAAGAAUGGAUAUCGUUACAAGUACAUGUACUGAAAAGAUGAGAUAUAUAGAAUUGGCUUACACUCGCCACAAGCUACAUCAGAGUCACAUCAGUAUAAUACAUAAACAUCAUGAAGAACAGCAGGGUCUGACUAUGGACGAAAACAAACGAGAAAUGAAAACGACGUCCAUCCUUGCUAUCCCAGGCUGUCGGCCUAGAACCCAUCCUAGAUCGAUGAAGAAGAAGAAGAAGCAACUCCAAAUGAACAUUCAACGCGCUCGCCACAAGUAAUCUUUACAUGUACCCACAACUUGUGUUGUAGUAAUCUGUGAGACACAGGGGACUCAGCAAUCUCAUUUCCAAAGGUAUCAAGACUAGCAAAACUUAAUGGGUGAGGUAUGGUUAAGUGGUGAGGCUACAUCAAGCGAUUAAGCAUUAUAUGAGAUGGCUAACUUACGAGUACCAGAAUUAAGAGGGGGCAUGGUCUACGCAUAGCGGACGUGAACUACUGAUGAUCAAAUGAAUGAUCCCGAACACCUACUUACAUCUGACAUAACCCCAUCGUGUCCUCGAUCGGAGAAGGAACUCGCGAAAGAGACAGUCACGAUUACGCACUCAAAUGGCAUAUUUUAAUUGAGUUAACUUCAAGUUGUCUAGAACCAGUGUUAAACAAAGUUUCCACGUUACCACAUAACCGCGGGCAUGGAUUUCCAAAAAGAUUUAACCCUGCAGGGGUGCUCCAACUAGUCCAUCACAAAUUACCACAAGCCGCAUAGAAAUCCUCGAUCAUGACACUCGCGAUCUCGUCGGUUUCCUUAGUGGAAAACCUCAACUCUGAGAUUACCCAAAGCAUCACCAGAAUCCCGAUGCACAAGAUAUUUCGUCAAAGGUAAAAGUAAUCCAGCAAGGCCGCCCGACGUGUCGACGAACCCGAUAGGAGCCGCGUAUCUCGUUCUGAGGACACGACGGAUGGGUCACACUAGGAGAAACCAAACCUUGUGUUGCCCCGCGGUGGCCCCGUGGUCUGCCAGUUUGGACCAACAGUCAUGAGGAGCACUGGCCCGGGGGUUGAUUAAUUACUCCGCGGGUGUCGGCGGGUCCCUAUGCAUUUAUUAGUUAUUAGGCAAAUGUAGUACCAAAGUUGGGCCUUGCCAGACCAGUCUUAAUCUAAAAUGAAUUCUCAAGGGGGUCCCCAUAACAACCCCGGUCGUGUUAGGAGCGCUGAAUUAUGGAACAUAACACCGGUAGCCGAAACUAAGGGGGCAAAGGUAGAACAAAACACCAGGCUAGAAAGGUCGAGCCUCCCACAUUUUAGCAAGUAUAUAGGUCCAUUAAAUUAAAUAGCACUAAAUAUGGUGAUAUAUCAAGGAACCCAUGUUAUCACAUGGAAGCAACUGCACCUGCAACUAGCAACGCUAACACAUGGUUAAGCAAGCAGUAACAUAGCCAAUUAGUGGUUUUCUAGGUUGUGAACGGGAUGAAGGUUUUCAUGGCAAUGUUGAGAGCCUGAAAUUUAACAGGUGGUAGGCAACGAGAAAUAGCGACAGAAACGAUAAUACUAGCAUGGCGAUGAUAGUAAUGGUAUCUGGGGAAAUGGUCAUCUUGCCUAAGAUCCUGCUUGGAAGAAGAAUGACUCUGUGAAGCAGACGAACCGAUGUAGUCGAACGGGUUCUCACAAUCCGACAUGCUUGCGGAACUCUAUCGAGACGAAGGAAACCGGAAAAAAGCAUCAACACAGAUAUUCACCACGGCACAUGCACGACAAGAUGCAAUCCACAUAUGAUGCAUGAUCAGCUGAAUAUAUGCAAUACAUGGCACGGCGAUUCACAACACACAAACACUACACAUUAAGUGAAGUUCAAUAUGCAACAACUUGCAUAUUGACGAAACUCCACAUACGAAUUAUUUAAUUCCAUCCCGGUUAGGUACACGACAAUAUUAAAUGUGGUUAAACAUGGCAAGAGGUGAAGCGUAAUUAAACUACCUAUCUAGGCAUUUUAAAUGAGGUCGGAAAUGACAUAUAGCACCUCUGAGAUGACCUCAUACGUUAAUUUACAAUUCUGUCCAGAUCUGAACUAACACGUUUAAAUGUUUGUUAAACAGCAAAACAAAUAGGUUCACGUGAUUCUACGCGUCGUUACAAGCAAUUUACACCGCAAGAUAUGAUGGCAUGAAUGCAAUAUGUGUGCAACAACAGUCACAAGCAUCUCAAAACACACAACCAGUAAGAAAAUAUGAAACUACAAGAGAUUCUAAGCAAGUUUCAUAUAGGGCACGAUCAAAUCGGAGCAACAGUUCAACAACUACGAGCUAAACAAGAAAUGACUACAGUCUGCCAAAAUCAGCCACAUAGCAUUUUCUACACCCCACAACUACGAGCUACACAAAUCCAAAAGGCUCAAACAAGGCAUGAGACGAUAGAGGGCAAGAAGCACUACCACAUACAACUAAUAACAUCUAGCAUGGAAGCGUGGAUCACUACGAAAAGAAGUCACAAAAUGGCAUCUCACACACAGUUUCAGACUUAGAGAACAACACAGUUUAUGAAACUGCAGUUUUCGAUCUGAAGGCAUAUUGACUGCAGCAAAACCAUAAGCUACAGGACUCCAAAUGGCAUGAAAAUUCACAGCAUGCUAGAGAAUCCUAAAGUCUACAACUAACUCCAUUGCAUCAACCUCAAAAGAGCUACAGAUCACCAGAUAAAUUCAUGCAAAGACAGCAACAAAAUAUAACAGAUUUCAGACUUAGAAAUAUUUCAGCAUCUCCAAAUCAGCACUAUUUUCUAGCAACUUGAGAGCAAGCAAACCACACCUAAACAUGGAUUUCUAUUGGAACCAAAAUUACCAGGGGCCAGACUAAACAUCCAAGAGCAACUCUCUAGUUGACAACUUAAUCAUACCAAGCACGGAAUAAAACCCACAAAAUAAACAUAAGGGCAUCACGGCAAAAUAUCACGCGAACUAACUUGCUCAAAAGCUAAAACUAAAUGCAUAGUUAAAUCCUAUGGAUUUUUCUACCCCGAAAACUUAUAUAACAUGAGGGUUUGCGAAAUGAAAACAACGCCACACGUAUAUGCGGAAAUAUGCCCUAAACACGGAAUAAUAACUAGCGACUAAACCCCACAUGCAAAAAUACAACCAACUACUCUAAAAUACAUGGCAAAAGGGUUCCUAAAACAUGAGCAUUUUAUCUACGGGGUUUGAGCAAUCCGGACCGCACGAAAAAAAUAAAUACAGGCAAUUAUCCUAUUGAGACAGCACGCAAAUCUAGGCAUUCGGCACGUCAAAUUACUUCAAACAUUUAUGCAAGUUGCAAAUUCGAAAUCUACGCGAAAAAUUACACAAGAUCCGUAUACAACUUGCCUCGAUCCGACAUACGGUUUAGAAACUACGGGCAAAAGAAAUUAACUAAUAUCCCUGAAAUUAACUAAAUCGUAGGGAAAAAAUACCUAAACUACUACGGGCCGAAUCUAGGCAUAAUGGGCCUAGCAGAGGCGCGCAACGUAACUACCAUGCGCCCGGGCGAAGGAUAGAGGUGGGGGAUCACCUUGGGCCUUGGGCCAGCAGGAGGGGUCGGCCAGAAGGCGGUUCGAUGCUGAGGGGAGGCCGUGGGGGUUGACUAGGCCGCGGGGCUAGAUGCGGUUGGGCCGGCUUGGGCCCAGGAAUUGGCGAGGCGGUUUGGCGAGGCCUGGCGGUCAACGCGGCCGGUUCCUCGUCUCCCUCCCGAGACAGGCAGGAACGGCGGCACCAUCUGAGGCGAACGCCACCGAAGGGAGCAGAGCCAGUGGGCGAGGGUGACGGAGACCAGAUCCCGGCGCCCUUGGGCGGAUCCGGGCCCUAGGGAUCCAUUCCCUGCGGCGGUGGCAAGCUCCGAGGGGAGAGACGGGGCGGCGGCGGCUUGUUUUGGCGGCCAUGGAACCUCCUGGAGGUCACGAGCGGCGGGCACGGGCAGGCAACGCGGGGGAGCGAGGGACGAGGGGCGACGCAAUGCGCAGGCCCGAGGGCGGCGCUCCAGCCGGCGGGACUCCGAUGAGGCAGCACGGGGAGGCUGACAUGGGAGGAGCUCAGGAGGAGGAGAGCUCGGGGUCGGGCCCAUAUGGGCUUUGACGGGCUUGGUUCGGGCCCGGGCGGGCCGGCGGCUAGAGGAAGACAGGGGAGAGAGGAGCUGCGGCUGGGGUUGGUGCGGUGCGGAAAACGAGGUAGAUGUCAAGGGUUUGUUGUCUAAAAUGCGUGGGGAGGUCUAUUUAUAGACAAAGGGGGCUAGGUUUAGCGGAAUUUUAUCCCGGAUCCAACUGCGCUAUCGGAAUCGAACACUUCCGCACGCGGGGACGGGUAAGUGGCUGUGUAGAGUGGUUAGCCGGAGACGAGAGGUAAACGGGCGACCCGACAACGAGAUUUAAAAUACCGAAAGACGUCCGACGAUAGUCUGAAUACAGUGCCGCUACGGUCGACCGUUCGGGUACCAGACGGACUCCGGUUGCGACGAAAUUUGGCAGGCGGUUUACCUAUAAUAUAUUAGGACCGCACGCCACGUUCCAACCCAAUCGAAGAAAGUUUAUACAUACUUUUGAAAACAAGAUUUAAACGAUGCUGCGGGCGCGUGCGUGUGUGGUCGGGCUCAGAACGGACAACGACGAGAACAGGGAUCUAACAACGGAUGCAACUUUUGAAAACUGGCGGCAACAGGAUGCUGAUGCAAUGCUGAUGAUGCGCAUGAUGCGAUGAUGAUGUGACGAAUAAAAAUAACCACACGACGGAAACGGAAUAAAGGGGGAAUCUUCUGGAACAUCGGUCUCGGGUUGUCACAUGUACCCCCCCCCUCCAGUCCAUGCCAUGUUGGCUUGUGGGGCCCUCGUGCAGCCUCCAGGCUUCUUCCAAUACUCCUGGUCUUCUUUUGGUCCAGAAAAAAUCACCAAAAAGUUUCACAUCAAUUGGACUUCGUUUGGUAUGGAAAACCUGAAAAGUGGAAAACAUGCAGAAAAUAGCAAAUCGCACUCGGGACCGGAUCCAUAGGUUAGUGAUCAAAAAUAAUAUAAAUUGGUAACUAAAUACCCCAAAAGUAUUCUAAAAUUACAAUAUAUCAGCAUGGAACAAUAAAAAUUAUAGAUACAUUGGAAACGUAUCAAGCAUCCCCAAGCUUAACUCCUGCUCAUCCUCGAGUAGGUAAAAUGAUAAAAACAAAAAAAAAUUGAUGUGACAUGCUAUCCAUUGUGUAACUUUAUGCAUGUAUGCUCAGUGAGAAAUGAUGAAUUAACAAAUAUUACCACAGCAAUAGUUAUUGGUAUAAGCAGGAAAAUCAUUAGUCUUUCAAAGUAUACGAUCCUCAAAGAUUGGUUUACCCCCAUUCAUCUUAUUAUAUUAGCAAGGCAUGGCUCCAUCUUCACCAUAUUAAUACAAAUGUCAAGCACCACGGUGUCCAAGAAAGGCAAUUGGACCAUACUUUUUCAAUAUGCAUCAACUUUUUAUUCUUAACACAAUACAUGAGUGUGAACCAUUGGACAUAGCAUAAAGGUGGAAUAGAAUAUGGUGGUAGGUUUCAAAGGGGUAAAAGUGGAGAAGAUAGUCGCACACCAACUAGGCGUGCCAACAGGCUACGGAGUAGGGAUUGCGAUGCAAAUGAUGCACUAGAGCCAUAAGUGUAUGAAAGCUCCACUAGAGCUAAGUGGGGUGUGCAUCCAACUUGCUUUCUCAUGAAGACCUCGAUCAUUUGAGGAAACUUGUGAUUGGAAUAUAAAAGUCAAGUUUAUGAAAAAGCGAUCCACACUAGCAUAUGAAUGAUAUAACAUGAGACUCUCUAUAUGAAUAACAAGGUGACACUUUGAGGCACAAGUGUGGUAAAGGCUAGUAGUAAAGUACCAUCUCUCUUUUUCUCUCAUUCAUUUUUUUCUUUUUCAUUUUUUAAUUAGUAUGGCGGGCUCAUUUGGCCUCCCCCAUUUUUAUUUCCUCAUUGGGACAAAGCUCUAAUAAUGAUGAUCAUCACACUUUUAUAUACUUACAAGUCAAUAUGACAAUUGAUAGGAUGAUAUGACUCCGCACGAAUGCCUUUGGCAGUGUACCAGGAUGUGCAAAGAUCUAGCAUGAUAUGUAUAAAAAAUAUGAUGAACGGUGGCUUUUCCACAAAUACUAUGUCAGCUUUAUAUGAUCAUGAAAACCAUGAUGAUGACGAAUGAACUAGUCAUGCAUCAUCGGAGAGGUCAUGGUGUUGAUGAAGAAGCCCUCCGUGUCCGAAUCCCCCCUCAGGCAGGGCACCAGAACAUGCCCCAGAUGGGAUCUUGCGGAGACAGUAGCUUGCGGCGGCGGAAAACUACUUUCGAUGAUCUCCUGAUUAUUUCUGGGAUUUUAGGGAAUAUAUAGGCGCAAAACCUAGGGCGGAGGUGGCCCAGGGAGCCCACAAGCCAGGGUGGCGCGGGCCCCCCUGGUCGCGCCAUGAGGGCUUGUGGGGUCCCUGCAGGCCCACUGCCCAGAUUCUCCAGCUUCCCGAUCUUUUUAUGUUCCGGAAAAAAUCUUUUUGGCAGUUUCAUUCUGUUUGGACUCCAUUCAAAAUCCUCCUCUGAAAUGGGUCAAAAACAUCGAAAAAACAGGAACUCGCACUUGGCACUGAGUUAAUAGGUUAGUCCCAAAAAAUAUAUAAAAGGCAUACAAAACAUCCAAAGUUUGACAAGAUAAUAGCAUGAAACCAUCAAAAAUUAUAGAUACGUUGGAGACGUAUCAAGCAUCCCCAAGCUUAACUCCUGCAUAGUUGAUGUGGAAUGCUACCUAGCAUAGUUGUCCUUUGCAACUUCUUUCAUGUGACAUGAAUGUUCAGAUCCGUAAGAUUCAAAACAAUAGUUUUCUAUUGACAUGAAAACAAUAAUACUUCAAGCAAACUAGCAAGGUAAUCAUGAACUUUCAAAAUAACAAGGCCAAGGAAAGUUAUCCCUACAAAAUCAUAUAGUCUGGCUAUGCUCCAUCAUCCUCACACAACUAAUGUAAAUCAUGCACAACCCCGGUAUUGGCCAAGUAAUUGUUUUCACACUCUUACUUUCUCAAACUUUUUAUAACUAUUACGCAAUACAUGAGCGUGAGCCAUGGAUAUAGCACUAUAGGUGGAAUAGAGUGUGGUGGUGGUUGUGAGACAAAAAAGGAGGAGAUGGUCACAUUGACUCGGCGUAUCAAAAGGCUAUGGAGAUGCCCAUUAAUAGAUAUCAAUGUGAAUGAGUAGGGAUUGCCAUACAAGGGAUGCACUAGAGCUAUAAGUAUGUGAAAGCUCAAAAAGAGAACUAGUGGGUGUGCAUUCAACUUGCUUGCUCAUGAAGACCUAGGGCAAUUUUGAGGAAGCCCAUCAUUGGAAUAUACAAGUCAAGUUAUAUAAUGAAGAUUCCCACUAGCAUAUGGUAGUGAAAAAGCAAAAAGCUCUCAAUCAUGAAGAACAUGGUGCUAUUAUGAAGCACAAGUGUGGAAAAAGAUAGUAGCAUUGUCCUUUUCUCUUUUUCUCUCUCUUUUUUUUUGUUUGGGCUCUUGGCCUCUCAUUUUUUUGGGAUCUUUGGCCUCUUUUUUUUAUUUACUCACAUGGGACAAUUCUCUAAUGAUGAUCAUCACACUUUUAUUUACUCACAGCUCAAAACUUAGAACGAUGAUGACUCUAUAGGAAAUGCCUCCGGCAGUGUACCGGGAUGUGCAACGAUCUAGCUUGGCGUAUGACGUUGAAACAUAUCGCUAGCUAUCUUACGAUCAUGCAAUGGCAAUAUGAGACUGACGGCACAAGUCAUGAGACGGAACGGUGGGAUUUGCAUGGCAAUAUAUCUCGAAAUGGCUAUGAAAAUGCCAUAGUAGGUAGGUAUGGUGGCUGUUUUGAGGAAGGUAUAUGGUGGGUUUGUGUACCGACGAAAGUUGCACGGCACUAGAGAGGCUAGCAAAGGUGGAAGGUGCAAGUGCAUCUAUACCAUGGACUCACAUUAGUCAUGAAGAACUCACAUACUUGUUGCGAAAGUUUUUAUUAGUAAUCAAAACAAAGUGCUAAACGCAUACUCCUAGGGGAAGGGUUGGUAGGUGUUAACCAUCGCACGAUCCCGACCUCAACACAAAGGAUGACAAUCAAUAGAUCAAUUAUGCUCCGACUUCCUAACAUAGCGGUUCACCAUACGUGCAUGCUACAGGAAUCACUAACUUCAACACAAGUAUUUCUAGAUUCACAACACCCUACUAACAUAACUCUUAAUAUUACCGAAUCCACGUCUCAAAACUAAUUGAGAGGAAUCAAGACUUCUCUUUCUACUCAGUGCACAUGAAGAUGGAGGUUUUUAUAUCCUCUUUGGGUACCUAUCACCUUUGGGACUAAUUUCAUAUCAUAAGCCAACUACCAAGUCAUGCACCGCCGUGCUCUAAAAAAUAUAAGUGAAGCACAUAGAGCAAAAUUAUCUAGCUCAAAAGAUAUAAGUGAAGCACUAUGAGCAUUCUACCAAAAUCAUGAUGAGUGCAUGUUUCUCUCUAAAGGUGUGCAGCAAGGAUGAUUGUGACACAACAAAAAGAAAAGACUCCUACGAUACAAGACGCUCCAAGCAAAACACAUAUCAUGUGGUGAAUAAAAAUAUAGCUCCAAGUAAUGUUACCGAUGGAUUGAAGACGAAAGAGGGGAUGCCUUCCCGGGGCAUCCCCAAGCUUAGGAUUUUUGGUGUCCUUGAAUUUCUCUUGGGAUGCCUUGGGCAUCCCCAAGCUUGAGCUCUUUCCACUCCUUAUCUCUUUGUCCAUGAGAACAUCACCCAAAACUUGAAAACUUCACAACACAAAUUUUAAACAGAAACUCGUGAUAACAUUAGCACAAGAAAACAAACUACCACCUCUUUUGGUACUAUAGCAAACUUGAAUUCUAUCUAUAUUGGUGUUGGGCUACUGUAUUCUCACUUUUCCAUGGCUAGUACCCCUGAUACUAUCCAUAGUUUCAUCAAAACAAGCAACCAACUCACAAAAACAGAAUCUGUCAAAAACAGACCAGUCUGUAGCAAUCUGUAUACUUCGUAUACUUCUGGUACCUCAAAAAUUCUGAAAACUUACGACUACCUAGGAAAAAGGCAUAUCAACUAGCAGCAAAAAGAAUCAACUCAAAAGCUCUUUCUGAAUAAAAAUGAACAAUCAUCUCGUGAGUCAAAAGUUUAUGUCUUUUUCCAGCAGGAUCAAACAACCAUUACCAAGAGUAGUCAUAAAGGUUUGCUUUGCUCAAACACAAAAAGAAACACAAAAAACACAAUCAUAUCAGAAUUAUGAUAGUGUGGACACAACAAAACAGAAAGAAAAAGAUAAAUUCAUUGGGUUGCCUCCCAACAAGCGCUAUUGUUUAACGCCCUUAGCUAGGAAUUGAUAAUUCAAUGAUGCUCACAAAAAAAACAAGAAUUGAAGCACAACGAGAGCAUCAUAAAGCAUGUGAAAAUCACAUCUAAGUCUAACAUACUUCCUAUGCAUAGGCAUUUUAUAGGAAAACAGAUUGUCAAGACAACCAAUAGUUACCAUAUGCAAGGAAGAAGAAAGAGACAAUAGCAAUCUCAACAUGACGAGAGGUGAUUUAGUGAUAUGAAAGUUUCUACCACCAUAUUUUCCUCUCUCAUAAUAAUUACAUGUGGUAUCAUAUUCGAAUUCAACAAUGUAACUAUCACAUAGGAUAUUCUUUUCAUGAUCCACAUGCAUGCAAAGUUGACGCUCUUCAAAAAUAGUGGGAUUAUCAUCAACUAAAGUCAUGACUUCUCCAAACCCACUUUCAAUCUUAUUGCAAACAUCAUAUUCAUCAUGAGGCUUAAACAAAUUUUCAAGAUCAUAAGAAAAACCAUCGCCCCAAUCAUGAUUAUUGCAACAAGUAGUGGACAUAGCAAAACUAGCAUCCCCAAGCUUAGGGUUUUGCAUAUUUUUAGCAUGAUUGACACUAAUAGGAUUUAUAGUGAAACCAUUGCAAUCAUGCUUUUCAUUCAAGGAGCCCUCGUGAAUCACUUCAUGAAUUUCUUCAUCACGAUUUUUAGAUUCACGCAUCUCAAGCAAAACUCCAUAGAGAAAGUCAACUGCACUCAACUCACGAGCCAUUGGAUCAACAUAAUUGGAUCUCUGAAAUAGAUUAGCAAGUGGAUGAGGAUCCAUAUCAAUAGAUUUUCAGCAAGCGAAGAUCCAAGCAUAUUGAAGGCACGUGGCAACACAAGUGAACAGAAAGCAAGCGAAAGAAAAGGGCGAACGAAAAAGGGAAACGAAAAAGGCAAAUUGGUGAAGUGGGGGAGAGGAAAACGAGAGGCAACUGGCAAACAAAGUAAAUGCAAGAGAUGAGUUUGCGACACUUACUUGGAUGAGUUCUGGACUUGAUCCUCCCCGGAAAUUGCGCCAAAAAUUCUUCUGCUACGGCAACAGACAACAGUGCCAGAAAUUGACACAUUGAUGAAGACUGGGCUUGCGUUGGUUUUUCCCUUGAAGAGGAAAGGGAGAUGCAGCACAGGAGCAAUAAGUAUUUCCCUCAGUUUGAGAACCAAGGUAUCAAUCCAGUAGGAGAAUCUCGUCAAGUCUAGAGUACCUGUGCAAACAAAAAAGAGCUUGCCACAACGCUUUAAAGGGGUUGUCAAUCCCUUCAAGAUUGAUUGCAAAGUGAGAUCUGAAGGCGGAAAGUGCAACGAAGUAAAAAGUGUAAGGCUGAAAAUAUGGUGUGGAGUAGACCCGGGGGCCAUAGUGUUCGCUAGAGGUUUCUCUCAAAAUAGCAAGUAUUACGGUGGGUGAACAAGUUACUGUCGAGCAAUUGUUAGAACCGCGCAAAGUCAUGACAAUAUCUAAGGCAAUGAUCAUACAUAUAGGCAUCACGUCCGAGACAAGUAGACCGAUACUUUCUGCAUCUACUACUAUUACUCCACACAUCGACCGCUAUCCAGCAUGCAUAUAGUGUAUUGAGUUCAUGACGAACAGAGUAACGCCUUAAGCAAGAUGACAUGAUGUAGAGGGAUAAUCUCAAACCAAUGAUGAAAACCCCAUCUUUUUACCCUUGAUGGCAACAACACGAUACGUGCCUCGCUACCCCUUCUGUCACUGGGUGUGGUCAGCGCACGGUAUGAACCCAAAACCAAGCACUUCUCCCAUUGCAAGAAUCAUAGAUCUAGUUGGCCAGACAAAACCCACAACUCGAAGAGAAUUACAAGGAUAUGAAAUCAUGCAUAAGAGAGAUCAGAAGAAACUCAAAUAAGAUUCAUAGAUAAUAUGAUCAUAAAUCCACAAUUCAUCGGAUCUCGACAAACACACCACAAAAGAAGAUUACAUCGGAUAGAUCUCCGUGAAGAUCAUGGAGAACUUUGUAUUGAAGAUCCAAGAGAGAGAAGAAGCCAUCUAGCUACUAGCUAUGGACCCGUAGGUCUAUGGUGAACUACUCACGCAUCAACGGACAGGUCAUGGUGUUGAUGAAGAAGCCCUCCGUGUCUGAAUCCCCCCUCCGGCAGGGCACCAGAACGUGCCCUAGAUGGGAUCUUGCGGAGACAGAAUCUUGCGGCAGCGGAAAAGUACUUUCGAUGAUCUCCUGAUUUUUUCUGGGAUUUUAAGGAAUAUAUAGGUGCAAAACCUAGGACAGAGGUGGCCCAGGGAGCCCACGAGCUAGGGUGGCGCCCCCCUGGCCGCGCCAUGAGGGCUUGUGGGGUCCCUGCAAGCCCCCUGCCCUGAUUCUCCGGUUCCCGAUCUUUUUAUGUUUCGGAAAAAAUCGUUUUGGCAGUUUUUUUGAUUUGGACUCCGCUCAAAAUCCUCCUCUGAAAGGGGUCAAAAACAUGAAAAACAGGAAUUGGCACUUGGCACUGAGUUAAUAGGUUAGUCCCAAAAAAUAUAUAAAAGGCAUACAAAACAUCCAAAGUUUGACAAGAUUAUAGCAUGAAACCAUCAAAAAUUAUAGAUGCGUUGAAGACGUAUCAAUGACCUUCUCAAAGAACUUGUCUUUGGAAGGGAUUGGUGAAGUCAUGGCAAUCUAAAUGUGUCACAAAAGUAGCUCGAAACUAGAACAGAGGAUAAUUUCACGAUGUGGUGGUCAAAACACAUGGCAAAACUCACAUUUGUUAGUCCACGAAUAUGGUCCCCUUUGAUGAGACUUUUCAAAGAUCUCAUAUUUACAUGAGCUAGCCGGCGAUGCCACAGCCACCCCACAUCAACUUUAGCCAUUAGACAAGUCGCGAUCUUAGUAGGUCGCUCUGAAAAGUUCACCACAUAGAGACCGUUCUCGACAUGUCCAACAAAGGCUACUUUAAGAUUCUUGCUCCACAAAAGGGCCAUGAUACGUCCAUUUUGCAUCAUGCUUUCAUGUCGAUAUUUAUCGCUUUUGGGGCUGUUAUUACACUUCAAGGUACAAUACUUAUGCCUUUUAUCUCUUAUUUUGCAAGGUUUACAUGAAGAGGGAGAAUGCCGGUAGCUGGAAUUCUGGCCUGAAAAAGGAGCAAGUUUGAGAUACCUAUUCUGCGCAACUCCAUGCCCUGGCGGUGCCUCCGAGACAGUGAGAAGCAUAAAGGACCUUCUCAUGAUCGCCGGUGCACUUGACCAGUGCAAGGAGGUCUUCAAUGGUGCGAAUCCAGUCAUCGGCGUCCAGGGGUUCAGUCGACUCCGUGAAUAUGGGGGGUGUAGUCCGCAUGAACUCAGAAAGAGUAGAGCGACCACCGCCAUACUCAUUCCGAGGCGGGUUGUCCACCAGGACUUGAGUCAGCUGCUGGAUAGCGGCAUUGCUAGCUUGACGCUCCUCCCAAAGAGCUUGAAGGAACUGAACCAUCGUCAAGUUCUCAGGAGGAGGUGGUGGCGGAAGGUCUCUAGGCUGCUCGUGGUGACCUCCGGUGUGAGCUUCUCCUUCGGUUCCCUGCGGCGUCCCUGAGGAGCCGGCGCCGGGGUUGCUGAAGGUGCUGUUGCGGGUUGCGUUCACCAUCCUGUCAUAGAAACUGACAGGUCAAAAUGCCACCUUGCUCAGGAAUACAAGGAUUCGCUCCUAGUAAGAGGGGGUCCAAUACGUGCAUGUGCUAAGUCUUUAAAACCAAAGUUUUUGACAAACUGGAAAUUGCAUUCAUGACAACUAGGUGACGUAGUCACUUACAGGCUGCCUAAGGCAAUAGGUGACUUGCAUCAAGCACACAUACGCAAAUUAAAAACGGAUACAUGGAUACCCUAUACUCGGGGUACUCCGAAUUGCCUACGCUAAAACCUACGCGGCGGACUGCUCGGUCUCAAAGGCGGACUCAACAGGAUCCUCAUCUUCAUCAACAUCCUCUUCCUUUAUAGGAGUGGAAGAAAGAAUCCGCACAUCUCGGCAUCUCUUGGGCGAGGCGGCGAAGAUCUCAGUAUACUCUUCCGUUGUCAGGCGGCGACUCCGAAGAGGGACUGCCUGGAUGGGUAACACACCACCCCUACUGGCAACGGCUGCCCUCCCUUCAGGUGCGCCUGCCUUCUUUACCUUGCGGUUCUGCAUCUUCUCAAUGUGGAGCAGGCCUUUGACUAGGUGCAGCUCUUGGCGAAGCUUGACUGAUUCCUUAACCAGGAAGUGUGUCAGGGUGUCUAACGAGAGACUGAAGUAGGUCCGAAACCUUAGUGGCAUCCCAUCCUCCGUGGCUGGGGUGAGUGUCCAACUCCCAUCCACUCCUUCCUUAAUGAAAGGUAGAUGACGAGUGACAGGCUCAUUAGCCAUCUCAGGGAGGAUGCUGUGGUGUUGCACGAGCGCCUCUCGUGCAGCCGUCUCCACUUCCAACAUCAGCUCUCCCAUCUGCGGUCCUUCGAAGAACCAACUAGACGGGGAGUCAUUAGCCUUCACUAUCACGUCCACGUGAUAUUCCUUGGUGUCUGCGUUGACCCAGUGCUCGUGGUAGAGUAAGAUGGGCAUGCGUCGUACGUGGCACUUCUCGAGACAAUCCACCAGAAGUAGUGGAAAGUUGGUCUCCAGAAGCGUCUCAGGUACGGCAGCCAUCUACAAGGCAUAGGAGAGAAGUCAGGAGGUUGUAUGUGCAAGAGUCUUGUGCAAGGUUGGCGUUCUAACGUUCUCGGUUAACGUCCAUGCUAUCUAAGGCUUCCUAUAGUCAGGAUGGCUCUGAUACCAGUUCUGUGGGGACCCCGACUAGCAAGUCGAGUUUGCCGUGCCCCGUGACCCCAAGGAUCAAUGUUCACUGAACACAGAUACUGAAUAAUAGAGUCUUACAUCCAAGUAACGAAUUAUUACAUCAAACGACCAGAAGGUCGGGUUCAAGAGCAAGGCCUAAAGCCAAAUUAAACGGAUACAUCGAGUAGCAGAAACUCGUAAGGGCUAAGCGGUGCCCAUGCCAUCAAGCCUACACUGACAGGCAUUCUGACUUGGAAGCGUCCUAGAUCGCGGGUUCGUCUCCGACGGCGUACUCAUCGCCAAACUCCGGUCCUUCCAUUUCUGGUCAAUAACAUAACAAGUGGCAAGCCAAUGAGUACUUUGAAUGUACUCGCAAACAGCCCAUGAUAUAUAUAUGGUAAGGAAUAACAGUAAUAGUUAUCUUUAGUGGAAUGCAAUGUGGUGGUAUGAUCAGGUAUGUGCAACAAGUUAAAGAAUUACUUUUGAAGAACAGGUUACUGAUAUUGACAUUUCUGUCAAGGGUUGAACACACCGGGUUCACCCUGUAUGCCAAGUCAUCGGACUUGUCGUAUCUCAAGGUAUUAAUGAGGGCUAAACCAUCCGGGUUUACCCUAUAUGUCAAGUCACCGAACUUGAUCAUAUUAUUGUGAUUAUCAUAACAGCACCUUUUUAACACCACACACACACACUUGGUUUAUGCGGAAACUCAGGACGUAGUUUAAGCAACACCACCCAACUGUCCUUGACCGUGGACACGGCUAUUCGAAUAGUUUACACUCUGUAGAGGUAGUACGCUGUACCCACGAGAAACGGGAAACUUCCGUGUCAUCCACGACCCACGGUAUAUCACAUAUACCCGAGGUAAGUACCCGAUCAUCAUCUUUCCCCUAACGAUACUAGACAAAGAGGUCCACUCGAUUGGUACCCAGCCCACAUGUUGUACGUCUUAUGAGCACCGACUCUGAACCGUAACAACCAUGCUGGGACCAACGGUGUGCCUGGAACUCAUAAUAAUGCCAUAGUCAUCCUACCUGGCACGACCCCAUCACGAGAGUCACACCGAUCACUCCCGCCACUAGUAAUGUGGCUCUUUGCUAGUACCGACCAGAGUAAUCAACAAAGCCCCGUCCCAUAAAGGGGUAUCAUGGUCGUACUGGUAAGGUUGGGACGGUCGACACAUCAUAAAUCUAAUCCUUUUCCGAAACCAUACUCACACCAAAAUCACCGGUGCAUCACUUCACCAAAAGUGAUCACCAACUCAUCAUCACCCGUGGGCAUUAGUGGCACCCGACGGGGUUUUCAUAAACUCUUUAUUUAACUCAUCAUUAUGCUCAUGAUAAAAUGCUCUAUUAUGACUUGUCAAUAUGGUAUAACAUGACCCUCACGGGGUAGGGUCAAGCUUAAUGCAGUGAUCUUACUCUACUAGUCAACAUGACAGUAGCAUGAUCCUCGUAGAUGGUAGGGUCAGCUCAUCAUGUUUGUGCUCCGAGGAGUCAUGUGAAUAUUAUCAAUGCAAGUGCUUCGAAGAAGCCUUCUGUACCAUCACAUCAAUGAUGAACCGGCAUCGUGAUCACAUGCAACGGAAAAAUACUUGCUAUUCUAGCAUGCAUCAUUUUAUAUACUUAAGUCAUGGCAAAAGGGAUGCUUGCCUUGGUCAGCUAGGUAUCCGGGGUCUUCGAGGUCUUCCGCUCCGGAUCCUCCGUCACUCGGUAACUCUACCGUCGAGAAAGGAAUAAAUAAAUACUAGCUCUCACUAAAACAGAUCACAAAGUGCUUUUAAAAAUGUUGCAAGGCUUGAAUAAAUUCAGGAUAUUAUUUUGAAAAAUGUUUCCUAUUGUUUUAUUAGCUAAGCAUAUUUAUUUAAAAGCAAACAGAAGCAAACAAGUGCUUUUUAAUAUCAUUUUAUUAUAUCAAAACAGUUUCUGUUUUUUGAUAAAUGUCAACUAUUACAGAAUCAAAUACUACUCAUUUUUAGAAAAUUACUGGUGGAAGAAUUAUAUUUUUCUACUGGCUAAAUCUUUUUCUAAAAAUCAUUUAGUUUGCUGGAUUAAAACAAAAGAAAAAGGCCAGGGGGGUUGGAUCCAGUCGGCCCAGCCAGCAGGCCUGGCCACCAGGCGCGCGCGGGCCAGGUUCAAACCUGACCUGCGGGCCCCUGAGGUCAGCGUCAGCGACUGCGCGCGCUGGCUGCCCCAGGACACCGACAGGUGGGCUCCACCUGUCGGGUCCUUCUCCUACCUCCAGCCAGAGAGGUGGAGAUGGACGCCGGCGAGGCUGCCGUUGUCCUCAGGCCUAGCUAGGAACGGGAACGGGUUCCUCGUGCCUCCGCCUACCUUCUCGUGGUCGGGACGUCACCGGAGGUGGUCUGGGUCGCCGGCGACGAGGUGCUCGUGGCGGAAGGGUUUCGGGUUGGUGUUGAACUAGGGGCUAGGGGUAUGGAUUCGCUCGGGAAAGUUAGGGGAAAUGUUUCUGGUGUCAAGGGGAGUGUAAUGAGAGGUCGGGCAGCGCAGGAGCCGACGUGUAGCCGGAGAUCGACCGGAGCUCCGAGGCGGAGGGGGCUCGGUCGAUCUCGAGCACCGGGGCUCUGCGAGCUCGAUUGGGCUGCUAGGGAGUGUCUACUAGUGGUGCUGAAGCUGCUUGGAGGGUGCUGGAGUGCCGGGGGAUCUAUUUAUAGGCCAACGACGGUGACCCGACUCGGGCGCGCCGGUGACUCACCAUGGCACGCGUGCGAGCACAGUGAGGUGCUGGCCGCGAAACCAUGGGUACGGGACGUGGUUUAGGACCUCCUGGUGCAACGGCCGCAGAGGGAAAGCGAGUGGGGACGAGCUGCAGCGACCGUGCAUGCUCGGCCGCGUCGGGUGUGCACGGGCACGCGUCGCCUAAGCUCUUGCGCGAGGGGGAGAGGGUCCCUGGGGUAGCUUUGCACUGAAUGGUUGUCGGGGGAGCGUUUGGACAUAACUGCGGAGCUUGGGACCGGCCGGAGCGUCGGCCCCUUGCGGGUGGCUCUCUGCACCGCGCCCAGAGCGCAGUUUUGGCAUGCCAAGGCAUGCUGGCUCGCUCUGGGGCACUUGGGACGUGUCCUCCAUGUCCUGAGUGUUGCUGGGAGUGAGCCUAGCCGUUGUGGCUUAGUGGGAGCUCGAGUUGGUCAAGGGAGCAAGGAACACUAGUGUUGCCAGUACUGCCCUGCAGCUCAAAUUGGAGUUCUUGUCACUUGUGCUUGGAGUUGGGGAGGGGCUGAUUGACUGGGUGCUUAGGGUGUUCUGGUGCUCUAACCCACCAAGUUUGGGGCCUUGACAUUGGGUAAAACAGUGGCUAGGAGGGUUUUUACCUUCCUGUCAGUAGGUGUUCGACAGUGACUUGGGGUGCUUCCACUCCACCACUGUGAAUGAAACUUAACAGGUUUGGUCUUGUGGUAAAAACAUAGGGUUCCACCAAAUCUGAGCUCCAUUGAACAAGUUUGGCUUUGCAAACUUGAAAAUGUCUCAAAAUGACCAGUACUGUCCUUUACAAAGGAAGUGUGGCCAAACAGAGUCUCACAAAUCUCAUCUUUGGUGUGGAGUCCUCAUUUGGGGUGUUAAACACCUCUGCAAAUUUUCAGCUCCAUUGGAGAAACUUUGCAAUGUAGAGUUGUUCCAACUCUACUCUGGACAGAGAGGGUUUUGGGCUCUUUAGGUGCACUUCCCCACCUUGGAUCAAGGUGAGAUUUUAGGUGAGCACCUAAUAUGGUUUGGGAGGGCUCCUGUAAUUUUAUGGGAUUUUAUUGAGAUAAUUUCCUUUGGAAACAUCUCAAAAAGCUAAAACAGACAGAAAUGGUUUUCAGGGUUUUACUCAAAUAAUAUUAAUAUAAAGUAGGGUUGAAAAUAUUAUAUAUGGAAAAUAUAUGUCCUUCUGAGCUUCCAUGAAUUUACUCAGAUUUUUCUAAGGCAGGAAAGAAAUUUUCCUUGUGGGAAUAUCAUUACUGGCCUUAGAAAUAGACAUAGAUAUAAAAUAGGAAAAUAAUAUUUUAAAUUACCAAUUUAUGUUUUUAAUGAAUGAAAAUAAUAUUUGGAUCAGAUCACCAGCUUUGGUUGGAAGUGCCACUUGGCACCAUGAGCUAGUAGUGUAUCCCAACAUGAUGAAGGUGAUCUUGAUAUAAAGGAGAAAUGGUUUUUGAAGAGAGCAAAAUAAUAAGUUUUCAUAGGUUUGAGUCAUCAAACAACCAAGCACACACUCAAACAAGGGUUCACACUGCACUCUCAACAUUAAUUGAAAAAGUUUUAACAAGCUCUGAUUUUUGCAACACAGAAAACUUGGGGUGAAAAACAGGGUGUAACAGACCUAUCCCUCUUACAAGAAUCUCGUCCCCGAGGUUCCUAAGCUAAGCGUUAAACAGCUCGGGAAAUUUUGAACGGAGAUAGUCUUCACGUUCCCAUGUGGCUUCUGCUUCGGUAUGGUUGCUCCACUGAACCUUGAAAAACUUGAUGGUGCGGCUUCUGGUGCAACGCUCGGCUUCAUCCAAAAUGCGGAUCGGUCUCUUGCGGUAGGUAAGAUCCGGUUGAAGGUCAAUACUUGGUGAUCAAUGUCCUUGUAAAGAUCGGGACGGUUCGGCACUUGCAAACACUUCCGGAGCUGUGACACGUGGAACAUGUCGUGCACACCCGAAAGCUCAGGAGGUAGCUCCAACUGAUAAGGUACUUCCCCGCGCCUUGCCGUGAUCUUGAAGGGUCCAAUGAACCUUGGAGCUAGCUUUCCUUUGACGCGGAAACGCUUGGUCCCCUUGAGAGGCGUGACUCGCAAGUACACCUGGUCUCCGGGAACAAAAUCCACGUUUCUGCGGUGAGGGUCCGCAUAGCUCUUCUACCUUGACUUAGCUGCCUCCAAGUUCUCUCAGACAAGCUGAACCUUGUCCCCUGCUUCCUGAAGUGCCUCUGGUCCGAAAACUAGUCCUUCACCGGUUUCAGACCAAUUGAGCGGGGUGCGGCAUUUCCGCCCAUAUAAUGCUUCGAAUGGGGCCAUCUGCAGACUGGACUCGUAGCUGUUGUUGUAAGAGAACUCAGCAAAGGGUAGGCAGUCUUCCCACUUGGCACCAUGGGCCAAAACACAAGCGCGGAGCAUGUCCUCAAGUAUCUGGUUUACCCUCUCGGUCUGUCCGCCCGUUUGCGGGUGGAAAGCCGUACUAAAGGAGAGUUUGGUUCCGAGAGCUUCUUGAAACUUCGUCCAGAAUCUUGAGGUGAAUUGUGUGCCGCGGUCGGACACGAUCUCCUUGGGAACUCCAUGGAGACUCGCCACUCGGUGAAUAUACAGACUGGUCAGCUGGCUGCCAUCGUAAGUGGUGUUAACGGGGAUGAAAUGGGCCACCUUGGUCAAAUGAUCAACUAUGACCCAAAUGGAGUUACGACCCUUAUUCGACUGGGGCAACCCGGUGAUGAAGUCCAUGCCGACUUUAUCCCACUUCCAUUCCGGCACUUGAAGAGGUUGCAGUAAUCCAGCGGGUCGCUGGUGUUCAGCCUUGACUCGUUGACAUACAUCGCAUUUAGCGACAUAGGAGCCAAUUUCCCUCUUCAUGCCAUGCCACCAGAAUCGUUCUCGGAUGUCUUGGUACAUCUUGGUACCACCUGGAUGGAUAGAGUACGGUGUGUCAUGUGCCUCUUGCAGGAUCAAGUCCUUAAGUUCGGCCUUGUUGGGUACGCAUAAGCGCUUCCCGUACCACAGUACUCCUUGCUCAUCAAUCGAGAAUCCUAGGGCUUUGCCUUCUCGCACCUUCCUAUUGAGGCCUUCGAUACUCUUGUGCCCCUUCUGGGCUUUCCUGAUGUCGUCUGCCGGAGUAGGCUUGAAUUCGAGGUUGGCCAGGUACCCUGGUUCGACUAUCUCAAGUCCUAAGCCCUCCAUCUCUUCACACAAGACGGGUAACCUUUCCUUGAGCAUGAUGUUCAAGAAGCCUGCCUUCCGGCUCAAGGCAUCGGCUACCACGUUCGCCUUGCCGGGAUGGUACUGAAUGCUGAGGUCGUAAUCCUUGAUUAACUCAAGCCAUCUCCGAUGUCUCAUAUUCAGCUCCCUCUGAGUGAAGAUAUAUUUCAGACUCUUGUGGUCUGUAUAUAUCUCGCAUCGCUUUCCCAGAAGGUAAUGCUGCCACGUCUUCAGAGCAUGCACUACAGCUGCUAGCUCGAGAUCAUGGGUGGCGUAGUUCUCCUCAUGCGGUCGCAGUUGCCGUGACAAGUACGCCACGACCCUGCCAUCUUGCAUCAGGACUCCAUCGAGCCUGGUUCCCGAGGCAUCACAAUAUAUCACGAAUUCCUUGUUGAUGUCAGGAGUAGCCAAUACCGGGGCGGUAGUUAGCCUCUUCUUCAACUCCUGGAAGCUUGCUUCACAUGCCGGUGUCCACUCGAACUUCCGGCCUUUCUUCAAGAGUUGAGUCAUAGGUCGAGCGAUGCUGGAGAAUCCUUCGACAAACUUGCGGUAGUACCCCGCGAGUCCGAGGAAACUCCUGACAUCCUUCACGUCCUUUGGUGAUUCCCAGUUGGUCACUGUAGUAAUCUUGGACUGAUCUACGGCCAAACCGCAUGCCGUCAGGGUAUGACCCAGAAAUCCAACUUCGUUCAGCCAGAACUGACACUUGCUGAAUUUGGCAUAAAGCUGGUGCUCUCGAAGCUUUCCUAGAACUAGCCUCAGGUGUUGCUCAUGCUCUUCUUCGGACUUGGAGAAGAUUAGUAUGUCAUCGAUGAACACGACGACAAACUUGUCCAAAUAUUCCAUGAAGACCUUGUUCAUGAGGUACAUGAAGUAGGCUGGGGCAUUUGUCAACCCGAAGGGCAUGACAGUGCAUUCAUAUAGACCGUACCGGGUCACGAAUGCAGUCUUGGGUAUAUCUUCGGGUCGGAUCUUCAACUGGUAGUAUCCUGAUCGAAGAUCGAUCUUGGAAAAUACCCUGGCCCUGUUUAACUGGUCAAAUAGGUCUUCGAUCUUGGGGAGCGGGUACUUGUUUUUAAUUGUGACUUCAUUAAGGGAACGGUAGUCGACGCAAAGUCGAAUGGUACCAUCCUUCUUUGAAACAAAUAGAACAGGUGAUCCCCAAGGUGACGCACUCGGACGGAUGAACCCUUUCCUGAGUUGCUCAUCCAGCUGCUUCUUCAGCUCUGCCAACUCCUCGGAACCCAUCAUGUAAGGCUUUUUAUAAAUAGGCCUCGAUCCGGGCAUGAGCUCAAUGGUGAACUCGAUCUCUCGGUCAGGAGGCACUCCGGGUAGCUCGUCAGGAAAGACACAGACUAUAGGCACUCGAUCAAGCUCUACCUCGGAGAGACUGUUGACUCGAGGUGCGUGAGCCGAUACUGGCUCGGAGACGAACUUGACCUUGACCCCUUGGUUGCUUAUCAUGGUGAUGGCCCUGUUGGCACAGUCCAAAAGACUCUGGUGCUUGGCCAACCAAUCCAUGCCGAGUAUUACUUCUACACCUUGCGAUUUAAGCACAAUGAGGUCUGCCAAGAAACUCGUCCCAUUGAUAACUAUCUCGACCCUUCUACACCCUAGGUUGGUCCUUAAUACUGCUCCCGGGGUUUGGAUUGCCAUCUGCCCACGGAGUAAAGUGGGUUUUAAAUCGCAUUUUACCGCAAACCCUUGAGUAACAAAAGAAUGCGAGGCACCACAAUCAAACAACACUGUUGCUCGAGUUGAGUUGACGAGGAACGUACCCAGAGUGGAGUCCGGGUCUUCAUGUGCUUCUUGUGCAGUGAUGUGAUUGAUCCGGCCCCUACCAUUGAACUGUUGGUUGCGGGGGGCCUGGUUCCUCCCUAGUGCACCUUGACCGGGGUUGGGUGUAUAGGGACGCGGUGCAUCGGGCUUCUUGUUGGGGCACUGCCUGGAAUAGUGCCCAGUCUGACCACAGCCAAAGCAGGUGACUUGCCCCGGAGGGUUGGUCUUGACUCCACCGUGAUUCGGCGGGUUGACUACUGGCUUGGCUUGCUGCUGAGGCUGAUUAUUCUGGCGAAACACCGGAUACUUGUACUGCUGUUGCUGAAAGUUGGGUCUUGCAGGUGCUGACUGCCAUGGUCUUGGUCUUGCGUUACCGGGUCCUCCACUGCCUAACAGUUUGCGCUUGCCGGUGUCGUCCAUUGCACGACGCUUGUCUUCCAGCAUAAGCGCCUUGUUAACCAGCUCGCUGAAAGUCUGGCAGUCGCAAACCACCAGCUGGUAUUGCAGGGACUGCUAUAACCCUUCCAUGAAGCGUUCCACCUUAGCGGCCUCAGUGUUAACAUCUUCAGGCGCGUGCCUCGACAAGAGGUUAAACUUCUGCAGGUACUCCUUAACAGUUCCACUGCCCUGCCUCAAGGCUCGGAAUUCCCGCUUCUUAAUGGUCAUCAGUCCAGGUGGAAUGUGAGCCACGCGAAAUCCUUCCUUGAACAUCUCCCACGUGAUGACUUGCCCUGCCCGCAUGAUCUGGAAUCCAUCCCACCAUGCCCUGGCGGUGCCUCCGAGACAGUGAGAAGCAUAAAGGACCUUCUCAUGAUCAUCGGUGCACUUGACCAGCGCAAGGAGGUCUUCAAUAGUGCGAAUCCAGUCAUCGGCGUCCAGGGGUUCAGUCGACUCCGUGAAUAUGGGGGGCGUAGUCCGCUUGAACUCAGAAAGAGUAGAGCGACCACCGCCAUACUCAUUCCGCGGCGGGUUGUCCACCAGGACUUGAGUCAGCUGCUGGAUAGCGGCAUUGCUGGCUUGACGCUCCUCCCGAAGAGCUUGAAGGAACUGAGCCAUCGUCAAGUUCUCAGGAGGAGGUGGUGGCGGAAGGUCUCUAGGCUGCUCGUGGUGACCUUCGGUGUGAGCUUCUCCUUCGGUUCCCUGCGGCGUCCCUGAGGAGCCGGCGCCGGGGUUGCCGAAGGUGCUGUUGCGGGUUGCGUUCACCAUCCUGUCAUAGAAACUGACAGGUCAAAAUGCCACCUUGCUCGGGAAUACAAGGAUUCGCUCCUAGUAAGAGGGGGUCCAAUACGUGCAUGUGCUAAGUCUUUAAAACCAAAGUUUUUGACAAACUGGAAAUUGCAUUCAUGACAACUAGGUGACGUAGUCACUUACAGGCUGCCUAAGGCAAUAGGUGACAUGCAUCAAGCACACAUACGCAAAUUAAAAAUGGAUACAUGGAUACCCUAUACCCGGGGUACUCCGAAUUGCCUACGCUAAAACCUACGCGGCGGACUGCUCGGUCUCAAAGGCGGACUCAACAGGAUCCUCAUCUUCAUCAACAUCCUCUUCCUUUAUAGGAGUGGAAGAAAGAAUCCGCACAUCUCGGCAUCUCUUGGGCGAGGCGGCGAAGAUCUCAGUAUACUCUUCCGCUGUCAGGCGGCGACUCCGAAGAGGGACUGCCUGGAUGGGUAACACACCACCCCUAGUGGCAACAGCUGCCCUCCCUUUAGUUGCGCCUGCCUUCUUUACCUUGCGGUUCUGCAUCUUCUCAGUGUGGAGCAGGCCUUUGACUAGGUGCAGCUCUUGGCGAAGCUUGACUGAUUCCUUAACUAGGAAGUGUGUUAGGGUGUCUGACGAGAGACUGAAGUAGGUCUGAAACCUUAGUGGCAUCCCAUCCUCCGUGGCUGGGGUGAGUGUGCAACUCCCAUCCACUCCUUCCUUAAUGAAAGGUAGAUGACGAGUGACAGGCUCAUUAGCCAUCUCAGGGAGGAUGCUGCGGAGUUGCAUGAGCGCCUCUCGUGCAGCCGUCUCCACUGCCAACAUUAGCUCUCCCAUCUGCAGUCCUUCGAAGAACCAACUAGACGGGGAGUCAUUAGCCUUCACUAUCACGUCCACGUGAUAUUCCUUGGUGUAUGCGUUGACCCAGUGCUCGUGGUAGAGGAAGAUGGGCGUGCGUCGUACGUGGCACUUCUCGAGACAAUCCACCAGAAGUAGUGGAAAGCCGGUCUCCAAAAGCGUCUCAGGUACGGCAUCCAUCUACAAGGCAUAGGAGAGAAGUCAGGAGGUUGUAUGUGCAAGAGUCUUGUGCAAGGUUGGCGUUCUAACAUUCUCGGUUAACGUCCAUGCUAUCUAAGGCUUCCUAUAGUCAGGAUGGCUCUGAUACCAGUUCUGUGGGGACCCCGACUAGCAAGUCGAGUUCGCCGUGCCCAGUGACCCCAAGGAUCAAUGUUCACUGAACACACAUACUGAAUAAUAGAGUCUUACAUCCAAGUACUGAAUUAUUACAUCAAACGACCACAAGGUCGCGUUCAAGAGCAAGGCCUAAAGCCAAAUUAAACGGAUACAUCGAGUAGCGGAAACUCGUAAGGGCUAAGCGGUGCCCAUGCCAUCAAGCCUACUCCGACAAGCAUUCUGACAUGGAAGCGUCCUAGAUCGCAAGUUCGUCUCCGACGACAUACUCAUCGCCAAACUCCGGUCCUUCCAUGUCUGGUCAAUAACAUAACCAGUGGCAAGCCAAUGAGUACUUUGAAUGUACUCGCAAACAGACCAUGAUAUAUAUAUGGUAAGCAAUAACAGUAACAGUUAUCUUUAGUGGAAUGCAAUGUGGUGGUAUGAUCAGGUAUGUGCAACAAGUUAAAGAAUUACUUUUGAAGAACAGGUUACUGAUAUUGACAUUUCUGUCAAGGGUUGAACACACCGGGUUCACCCUGUAUGCCAAGUCAUCGGACUUGUCGUAUCUCAAGGUAUUAAUGAGGGCUAAGCCAUCCGGGUUUACCCUAUAUGUCAAGUCAGCGAACUUGAUCAUAUUAUUGUGAUUAUCAUAACAACACCUUUUUAACACCACACACACACACUUGGUUUAUGCGGAAACUCAGGACGUAGUUUAAGCAGCACCACCCAACUGUCCUUGACCAUGGACACGGUUAUUCGAAUAGUUUACACUCUCCAGAGGUAGUACGCUAUACCCACGAGAAACGGGAAACUUCCGUGUCAUCCACGACCCGCGGUAUAUCACAUAUACCCGAGGUAAGUACCCGAUCAUCAUCUUUCCCUGACGAUACUAGACAAAGAGGUCCACUCGAUUGGUACCCAGCCCACAUGUUGUACGUCUUACGAGCACCAACUCUGAACCGUAACAACCAUGCUGGGACCAACGGUGUGCCUGGAACUCAUAAUAAUGGCAUAGUCGUCCUACCUGGCACGACCCCAUCACGAGAGUGACACCGAUCACUCCCGCCACUAGUAAUGUGGCUCUUUGCUAGUACCGACCAGAGUAAUCAACAAAGCCCCGUCCCAUAAAGGGGUAUCGUGGUCGUACUCGUAAGGUUGGGACGGUCGACACAUCAUAAAUCUAAUCCUUUUCCGAAACCAUACUCACACCAAAAUUACCGGUGCAUCACUUCACCAAAAGUGAUCACCAACUCAUCAUCACCCUCGGGCAUUAGUGGAACCCGACGGGGUUUUCAUAAACUCUUUAUUUAACUCAUCAUUAUGCUCAUGAUAAAAUGCUCUAUUAUGAUUUGUCAACAUGGUAUAACAUGACCCUCACGGGGUAGGGUCAAGCUUAAUGCAGUGAUCUUACUCUACUAGUCAACAUGACAGUAGCAUGAUCCUCGUAGAUGGUAGGGUCAGCUCAUCAUGUUUGUGCUCCGAGGAGCCAUGUGAAUAUUAUCAAUGCAAGUGCUUCGAAGAAGCCUUCGGUACCAUCACAUCAAUGAUGAACCGGCAUCGUGAUCACAUGCAACGGAAAAAUACUUGCUAUUCUAGCAUGCAUCAUUUUAUAUACUUAAGUCAUGGCAAAAGGGAUGCUUGCCUUGGUCAGCUAGGUAUCCGGGGUCUUCAAGGUCUUCCGCUCCGGAUCCUCCGUCACUCGGUAACUCUACCGUCGAGAAAGGAAUAAAUAAAUACUAGCUCUCACUAAAACAGAUCACAAAGUGCUUUUAAAAAUGUUGCAAGGCUUGAAUAAAUUCAGGAUAUUAUUUUGAAAAAUGUUUCCUAUUGUUUUAUUAGCUAAGCAUAUUUAUUUAAAAGCAAAGAGAAGCAAACAAGUGCUUUUUAAUAUCAUUUUAUUAUGUCAAAACAGUUUCUGUUUUUGAUAAAUGUCAACUAUUACAGAAUCAAAUACUACUCAUUUUUAGAAAAUUACUGGUGGAAGAAUUAUAUUUUUCUACUAGCUAAAUCUUUUUAUAAAAAUCAUUUAGUUUGCUGGAUUAAAACAAAAGAAAAAGGCUAGGGGGGUUGGAUCCAGUCGGCCCAGCCAGCAGGCCUGGCCACCAGGCGCGCGCGGGCCAGGUUCAAACCUGACAUGCGGGCCCCUGGGGUCAGCGUGAGCGGCUGCGCGCGCUGGCUGCCCCAGGACACCGACAGGUGGGCUCCACCUGUCGGGUCCUUCUCCUACCUCCAGCCAGAGAGGUGGAGAUGGACGCCGACGAGGCUGCCGUUGUCCUCAGGCCUAGCUAGGAACGGGAACGGGUUGCUCGUGCCUCCGCCUACCUGCUCGUGGUCGGGACGUCACCGGAGGUGGUCUGGGUCGCCGGCGACGAGGUGCUCGUGGCGGAAGGGUUUCGGGUUGGUGUUGAACUAGGGGCUAGGGGUAUGGAUUCGCUCGGGAAAGUUAGGGGAAACGUUACUGGUGUCAAGGGGAGUGUAAUGAGAGGUCGGGCAGCGCAGAAGCCGACGUGUAGCCGGAGAUCGACCGGAGCUCCGAGGCGGAGGGGCCUCGGUCGAUCUCGAGCACCGGGGCUCUGCGAGCUCGAUUGGGCGGCUAGGGAGUGUCUACUGGUUGUGCUGAAGCUGCUUGGAGGGUGCUGGAUUGCCGGGUGGACCUAUUUAUAGGCCAACGACGGUGACCCGACUCGGGCAUGUCGGUGACUCACCGUGGCACGCGUGCGAGCACAGUGAGGUGCUGGUCGCGAAACCAUUGGUUCGGGGCGUGGUUUAGGACCUCCUGGUGCAACGGCCGCAGAGGGAAAGCGAGUGGGGACGAGCUGCAGCGACCGUGCAUGCUCGGCCGCGUCGGGCGCGCACGAGCACACGUCGCCUGAGCUAUUGCGCGAGGGGGAGAGGGUCCCUGAGGUAGCUUUGCACUGAGUGGUUGUCAGGGGAGCGUUUGGACAUAACUGGGGAGCUUGGGACCGGCCGGAGCGUCGGCCCCUUGCGGGUGGCUCUCUGCACCGCGCCCAGAGCGCAGUUUUGGCAUGCCAAGGCAUGCUGGCUCGCUCUGGGGCACUUGGGACGUGUCCUCCAUGUCCUGAGUGUUGCUGGGAGUGAGCCUAGCCGUUGUGGCUUAGUGGGAGCUCGAGUUGGUCAAGGGAGCAAGGAACACUAGUGUUGCCAGUACUGCCCUGCAGCUCAAAUUGGAGUUCUUGUCACUUGUGCUUGGAGUUGGGGAGGGGCUGAUUGACUGGGUGCUUAGGGUGUUCUGGUGCUCUAACCCACCAAGUUUGGGGCCUUGACAUUGGGUAAAACAGUGGCUAGGAGGGUUUUUACCUUCCUGUCAGUAGGUGUUCGACAGUGACUUGGGGUGCUUCCACUCCACCACUGUGAAUGAAACUUAACAGGUUUGGUCUUGUGGUAAAAACAUGGGGUUCCACCAAAUCUGAGCUCCAUUGAACAAGUUUGGCUUUGCAAACUUGAAAAUGUCUCAAAAUGACCAGUAGUGUCCUUUACAAAGGAAGUGUGGCCAAACAGAGUCUCACAAAUCUCAUCUUUGGUGUGGAGUCCUCAUUUGGGGUGUUAAACACAUGUGCAAAUUUUCAGCUCCAUUGGAGAAACUUUGCAAUGUAGAGUUGUUCCAACUCUACUCUGGACAGAGAGGGUUUUGGGCUCUUUAGGUGCACUUCCCCACCUUGGAUCAAGGUGAGAUUUUAGGUGAGCACCUAAUAUGGUUUGGGAGGGCUCCUGUAAUUCUAUGGGAUUUUAUUGAGAUAAUUUCCUUUGGAAACAUCUCAAAAAGCUAAAACAGACAGAAAUGGUUUUCAGGGUUUUACUCAAAUAAUAUUAAUAUAAAGUAGGGUUGAAAAUCUUAUAUAUGGAAAAUAUAUGUCCUUUUGAGCUUCCAUGAAUUUACUCAGAUUUUUCUAAGGCAGGAAAGAAAUUUUCCUUGUGGGAAUAUCAUUACUGGCCUUAGAAAUAGACAUAGAUAUAAAAUAGGAAAAUAAUAUUUUAAAUUACCAAUUUAUGUUUUUAAUGAAUGAAAAUAAUAUUUGGAUCAGAUCACCAGCUUUGGUUGGAAGUGCCACUUGGCACCAUGAGCUAGUAGUGUAUCCCAACAUGAUGAAGGUGAUCUUGAUAUAAAGGAGAAAUGGUUUUUGAAGAGAGCAAAAUAAUAAGUUUUCAUAGGUUUGAGUCAUCAAACAACCAAGCACACACUCAAACAAGGGUUCACACUGCACUCACAACAUUAAUUGAAAAAGUUUUAACAAGCUCUGAUUUUUGCAACACAGAAAACUUGGGGUGAAAAACAGGGUCUGACAGUGACAGAGAAAGCAUUGCUCAAGCUUGGGGGAGGCUUAAAUCAAUGUUAUAUUCAUGCCCCAACCAUGAGCUCUCGAGAGAAAUUAUCAGUCAGAACUUCUAUGCUCGGCUUUCUCAUGAUGAUCGCACCAUGCUUGAUACUUCUUGUACCGGUUCUUUCAUGAAGAGAGAUAUUGACUUCAGAUGGAAUUUAUUGGAAAGAAUUAAACGCAACUCUGAAGAUUGGGAGCUUGAUGAAGGUAAGGAGUCACGUAUGAAUUUCAAGUUUGAUUGCGUUAAAUCCUUUGUUGAAACAAAUACCUUUUUGUGAUUUUAGCGCUAAGUAUGGACUUGACUCUGAGAUAGUAGCUUCAUUGUGUGAAUCAUUUGCUGCUCAUAUUGACCUCCCCAAAGAGAAGGGGUUUAAAUAUCAUCCUCCCUUAGAAGUAAAUGUAGUUAAACCCAAUCCAGUUGAAGAGAAAGUCAUUGCCUAUAAUGAUCCUAUUGUUCCCAGUGCUUACAUUGAGAAACCACCUUUCCCUGUUAGGAUAAAGGAUCAUUCUAAAGCUUCACCUGUGAUACGUAGGGGCUACAUUAGAACACCUACACCCCCUGAGCAAAUUAGAGUUGAACCUAGCAUUGCUAUUAUCAAAGAUCUCCUGUCUGACAAUGUUGAUGGCCAUGAUAUUCACUUCUGUGAAGAUGCUGCUAGAAUUGCUAAACCACAGGCUAGAGACAAACACAAGCCUGUUGUUUCUGUUAAGAUAGGAGAUCAUUGUUUUCAUGGUUUAUGUGAUGUGGGUGCUAGUGUUAGUGCAAUACCUCAAUCCUUAUAUGAUGAAAUUAAAGACGAGAUUGCACCUAUUGAGAUAGAGCCUAUCGAUGUCACUAUUCAGCUUGCCAAUAGAGAUACUAUCUGCCCUGUGGGAAUUGUUAGGGAUGUUGAAGUCUUGUGUGGUAAAACGAAGUAUCCUGCUAAUUUCCUCGUUCUUGCUACCACCCAAGAUAGCUUUUGUCCCAUCAUAUUUGGCAGACCCUUUCUCAAUAUUGUCAAUGCUCAUAUUGACUGUGAGAAGUAAACUAUCACUGUUGGCUUUGAAGGUGUGUCACACGAGUUCAAUUUCUCCAAGUUUGGUAGACAACCUCAUGAAAAAGAGUUGCCUAGUAGGGAUGAAACUAUUGCCCUAGCUUCUAUUGUCGUGUCUCCUACUGAUCCUUUAGAGCAAUACUUGCUUGAGCUUGAAAAUGAUAUGCAUAUGGAUGAAAGGGAUGAGAUAGAUAGAAUUGUCUUAGAACAAUAUCAUAUCCUUAAGAAUAAUUUGCCUGUUGAACUGCUUGGGGAUCCACCCCCACCAAAGGGUGAUCCUGUGUUCGAGCUUAAACAGUUGCCCGAUACUCUUAAGUAUGCUUAUCUUGAUAAAAAAGAGAUAUAUCCUGUUAUUAUUAGUGCUAGCCUCUCAGAGCAUGAAGAAAAGAAGUUACUAAAAACUCUGACAAAGCACUGUGCUGCUAUUGGAUAUACUCUUGAUGAUCUUAAGGGCAUUAGUCCCACUCUAUGCCAGCACAAGAUUAAAACUGAUCCUGAUUCCAAGCCAGUUGCUGAUCAUCAACAGAGAUUAAAUCCUAAGAUGAAAGUGGUAGUAAGAAAAGAAAUACUAAAGCUCCUGGAAGCAGGUAUUAUCUAUCUUGUUGCUCAUAGUGAUUGGGUGAGUCCGGUGCAUUGCGUCCCUAAGAAGGGAGGUAUUACCGUUGUCCCUAAUGAUAAGGAUGAAUUGAUCCCACAGAGGAUUAUUACUGGCUAUAGGAUGGUGAUCGAUUUUAGGAAAUUGAACAAAGCCACUAGGAAAGAUCAUUACCCUUUGCCUUUUAACGACCAAAUGCUAGGAAGACUGUCUAAACACACACACUUCUGCUUUCUAGAUGGUUAUUCUGGUUUCUCCCAAAUACCUGUUGCACAAUUUGAUCAGGAGAAAACCACUUUCACCUGCCCUUUCGGUACCUUUGCUUACGGACGUAUGCCUUUUGGCUUAUGUAAUGCACCUGCCACCUUUUAAAGAUGUAUGAUGGCUAUAUUCUCUGACUUCUGUGAAAAGAUUGUUGAGGUUUUCAUGGAUGACUUCUCCAUCUACGGGUCUUCUUUUGAUGAUUGCCUCAGCAACCUUGAUCGGGUCUAGCAGAGAUGUAAAGACACCAAUCUUGCCUUGAAUUGGGAGAAGUGCCACUUUAUGGUUAAUGAAGGCAUCGUCUUAGGACAUAAAAUUUCUGAAAGAGGUAUUGAAGUCGAUAAGGCUAAGGUUGAUGCAAUCGAGAAAAUGCCAUACCUAACAGAUAUGAAAGGUAUAAGAAGUUUCCUUGGUCAUGCUAGUUUCUGUAGAAGGUUCAUUAAAGACUUCUCUAAGAUUUGUAGGCCUCUUACCAAUCUCUUGCAGAAGUAUAUUCCUUUUGUCUUUGACGAUGAUUGUGAGGAAGCCUUCGAAAUACUUAAGAAGGCCAUGAUAACUACACCUAUUGUUCAACCACCUGAUUGGAACUUACCUUUUGAAAACAUGUGUGAUGCUAGUGAUUAUGAUGUUGGUGCUUUCCUAGGGCAAAGAGUUGAUAAGAAGUUGAAUGUUAUUCACUAUGCUAGUAAAACUCUAGACAGUGCCCAAAUAAACUAUGCUACUACGGAAAAGGAAUUUUUAGCAGUCGUGUUUGCAUGUGAAAAGUUCAGGUCUUACAUAGUUGAUUCCAAAGUCACUAUUCACACUGAUCACACUGCUAUUAAGUACCUCAUGGAGAAGAAAGAUGAUAAACCUAGACUUAUUAGAUGGGUUCUCUUGAUACAAGAAUUUGAUUUGCAUGUUGUCGACAGAAAGGGUGUUGAUAACCCAGUAGCAAAUAACUUGUCUAGGUUGGAGAAUGUUCUUGAUGACCCACAACCUAUUGAUGAUAGCUUUCCUGGUGAGCAAUUGAAUGUCAUCAAUACUUCACGUAGUGCACCUUGGUAUGCUGAUUAUGCAAACUAUAUUGUUGCCAAAUAUAUACCACCUAGUUUCACAUACCAGCAAAAGAAGAAGAUCUUCUUUGACUUGAGACAUUACUUCUGGGAUGAUCCUCACCUUUAUAAGGAAGGAGUUGAUGGUGUUAUUAGACAUUGUGUACCUAAACAUGAACAGGGACAGAUCCUACUGAAGUGUCACUCCGACGCCUACGGAGGACACCAUGCGGGAGAUAGAACUACACACAAGGUAUUGCAAUCAGGUUUCUAUUGGCCCACUCUCUUCAAGGAUGCCCGUAAGUUUGUCCUCUCUUGUGACGAAUGUCAAAGAAUAGGUAAUAUCGGUAAACGUCAGGAAAUGCAUCUGAACUAUUCACUUGUCAUUGAACCAUUUGAUGUUUGGGGCUUUGAUUAUAUGGGACCUUUUCCAAAAUCCAACGGGUAUACUCACAUCCUAGUUAAUGUUGAUUACAUGACUAAGUGGGUGGAAGCUAUCCCCACUAGUAGUGUUGAUCACAACACCUCUAUCAGGAUGCUUAAAGAAGUUAUUUUCCCUGGAUUUGGAGUCCCUAGAUAUCUAGUGACCGACGGUGUUUCACAUUUCAUUCAUGGUGCUUUCCGUAAAACGCUUGCUAAGUACGAUGUCAACCAUAGAAUUGCAUCUCCCUAUCACCCUCAGUCCAGUGGUCAAGUAGAGCUAAGCAAUAGAGAGAUUAAACUAAUUCUGCAAAAUACUGUCAACAGGUCUAGAAAGAAUUGGUCUAAGAAGCUCGAUGAUGCACUGUGGGCUUAUAGAACUGCCCAUAAGAAUCCCAUGGGCAUGUCUCGGUAGAAAAUGGUGUACGGUAAAGCAUGUCAUUUACCUCUUGAGCUAGAGCAUAAAGCUUAUUGGGCAAUCAAAGAGCUCAACUUUGAUUUCAAACUUGCUGGUGAGAAGAGGUUAUUUGAUAUUAGCUCGCUCGAUGAAUGGAGAACUCAGGCAUAUGAGAAUGCCAAGUUGUUCAAAGAAAAGGUUAAGAGGUGGCAUGAUAAAAGGAUACAAAAGCGUGAGUUCAAUGUAGGUGAUUAUGUCUUGCUGUAUAUUUAUCGUUUAAGAUUUUUUGCAGGCAAGCUUCUCUCUAAAUGGGAAGGUCCCUAUAUUGUUGAGGAAGUAUAUCGUUCCGGUGCUAUCAAGAUCAACAACACGCAAGGUAAUUUUUCGAGAGUGGUAAAUGGGCAGAGAAUCAAGCAUUAUAUCUCAGGUACUCCCAUAAAUGUUGAAAGCAAUAUUAUCAAUACCAUAACUCUGGAAGAAUACCUAAGGGAUAUUUAUCAGCCUAUUUCAGACUCCGAAAACGAAGAGGUAUGUGAUUCGGUAAGUAAACAGACUCCAAAACUUUUCCAGUAGGAAUUUUUCUCCGUUUUGGAAUUUUUGAAAAAUAGAAAAUUUUGAAGUAGUCCGGAAAGCGCACGAGGAGGCGACAAGCCUGCCAGGCACGGGCCACCCCCUGGCCGAGCCUGGGGGGCUUGUGGCCACCUCGUGUGCCUCCCGGACUCUGUUUUCUUGUGGAGUACUCCUUUAGGUCGGAAAAAAAAUCAUUAUAUAUUCUCCCAAAAGGUCUGACCUUCGUAUCAUGCAAAUUUCCUCUGUUUUUGUUUCGACCUUGUUUUCUGCCGCAGAUUUAGAGCAAGAGGUCGUCUGAGGAAUCUGUGGGGGAGAACAAUCUCCCUCAAGUCUAUGGAGAAGUAAAUGCUGAUCUGAAAAGAAUGGAGGUCAUGGAGGCUAGGGAAAGGCUACCUAAAGAAACCAAGGGGAAAACUAAGGAGAAGAAUCAGGCGUGGGACAAAGUACAAUCUGUGUUCAACAAGGAAGAAGUUGAAGAAGUGGAUUUCCUCCAACCCUACCUCCACCUACUGUCUCCAUCCUUGAUUGAACUCUUGAGGUUUUGUAAAACAACUCGUGCUCGCAAUACUUAUCUCACUCGUGAAGUUGUUGUGCUGGAGAAACAUAUCACAGAUCUCCAAGGUAUAAAUCAAAGAUUGAUGGCCCUCUUGGAAUCAAAGGACAAAACGACUCCAUCACCAUCACCUCCAAAGGAAGACAACUGAGCAUGGGUAUGGGCAAUCCCCUUGGCUUGUGCCAAGCUUGGGGGAGUUGCCCCGGUAUAGUAUCACCAUCACAUCUUUUGCAUUUACCUUUGUUUUAGUUUGUUCCUUUUCAAUUUUCUCUUUCUCUAGUAGAUUAAAGGUCUUAGUGUUUUAGGCUUGAGUUUUGCUUUGUGUCACCCCCGAUAUAUUCGAGCUCAUGAUCCAUAUAACAAAGAGUGUCUUAGUUAACGGCCUUGCUUCAUGCCAUGAUCAAGAGAUUGAGAAAAGAACAAAGGCAUGAAAGAUCAUGCAAUGAUCUUAUGGGAAGUGAUAGCUUCACGUAUAAAAAGAAUGUUGAUUGAAACUUGUUGAGGGUAGACAAACGUAGACCUUGGUCACUGUUGCAAUCAAUAGGAAGUGAUAAAGAAGGAUAGAUUCACAUAUAAAUAUAUCAUCUUGGACACCAUCUAUGAUUGUGAACACUCACUACACUAUUGCAUGCUUAGAAGUAGAUGUUGGACAAGGAAGACAACAUAAUGAAUUGUGUUUGCUUGGUUCCUAACAAUGUUAUAUGACUAGAGAUCCCUUAGCAUGUGAUGAUUGCUUCCACCUCAUAUUAGCCAAAACUCCCGCACCAAGUAGAGAUACUACUUGUGCAUACAUAAACCUUCAACCUAGUUUUGCAAUGAGAGUCCACCAUUCCUACCUAUGAAUUGAAUAAGAUCCCUCAAGUAAGUUGUCAUCGAUGCAAGCAAUAAAAAUUGCUCCCUAAUAUGUGUGAUCUAUUAGUGUGUGGAAAAUAAGCUUUGUAUGAACCUGUGAUGAGGAAGACAUAAAAGCAACAGACUGCAUAAUAAAGUUCUUUAUCACAGGAGGCAAUAUAAAGUGACGUUCCUACGCACUAAGAGGACACACAUCCAAACCUCAAAAGCGCAUGACAACCUCUGCUUCGCUCUGCGAAGGGCCUAUCUUGUACCUUUACUUUUUUCCCUUGAAAGAGUCAUGGUGAUCUUCACCAAUUCCUUAUUUCACCUUUAUCUUGGCUAACGUCAUAUGCUAGGGAAAGAUCUAUAUUCAUAAGUCAACUUGGAAGUAAGUCUUCAUGGAUUAUUAUUGUUGACAUUACCCUUGAGGUAAAUGGUUGGGAGGCGAAACUAUAAGCCCCUAUCUUUCUCUGUGUACAGCUGCAACUUUGAUCUCAUGACUACCACGUGAGUUGUAGCAAUUGUAGAAGACAAAAGGAUGUUUGAGUAUGUGGAUUUGCUUCACAAGCUCUUACUUGACUCUUUCUGAUGUUGUGAUAAAUUGCAAUUACUUCAAUGACUAAAGGCUAUCGGUUGUUAAUUCUCGGUAAGGUUCUUGAUCCAUACUUUACUUUGUGAAGGAAUUGUCCCUUUAGCAUAAGAGUUGAUAUGAUGGUAUUGUUGUUCUGAUCAUGAUCAUGAUGCCUGCAUGUUCGUAUCUUGUUUUGUCGACACCUCUCUCUCUAAACAUGUGGGCAUAUUUAUUGAUCUCGGCUUUUGUUUGAGGACAAGCGAGGUCUAAGCUUGGGGGAGUUGAUACGUCCAUUUUGCAUCAUGCUUUCAUGUUGAUAUUUAUCGCUUUUUGGGCUGUUAUUACACUUCAAGGUACAAUACUUAUGCCUUUCUCUCUUAUUUUGCAAGGUUUACAUGAAGAGGGAGAAUGCCGGCAGCUGGAAUUCUGGCCCGAAAAAGGAGCAAGUUUGAGAUACCUAUUCUGUGCAACUCCAAAAGCAGUGAAAAUCAACGUGGAUUUUUUUGGGGAUUUAUAAAAAAUACUAGACCGAAGAAGUGCUAGAGGGGCGCCAGCACGAGGCCACAAGCCUGUUAGGCGCGGCCUCCCCCCUGGCCACGCCUAGGGGGCUUGUGGGAUCCCACUUGGCCCACUUGCUCCCCCCUUUUGCUACAAGAAGGGUUUCGGUCUGGAAAAAAUCAGGAGGAGGCUUUUCGGAGGAUUCUUCGCCGCCACGAGGCGGAACUUGAGCAGAACCAAUCUAGAGCUCCAGCAGGGCGAUCCUGCCGGGGAAACUUCCCUCCCGGAGGGGGAAAUCGUCGCCAUCAUCAUCAACACUCCUCUCAUCGGAGGGGACUCAUCACCAUCAACAUCUUCAUUAGCACCGUCUCAUCUCCAAACCCUAGUUCAUCUCUUGUAACCAAUCUCCGUCUUGCGACUCCGAUUGGUACUUGUAAGGUUGCUAGUAGUGUUAAUUAAUGUUUGUAGUUGAUGCUAGUUGGAUUACUUGGUGGAAGAGUUUAUGUUCAGAUCUUUGAUGCUACUCAUUACCUCUCUGGUCAUGAUUAUGAUUAUUCUUUGUGAGUAGUUACUUUUGUUCUUGAGGACAUGGGAUAAGUCUUGCUAUAAGUAGUCAUGUGAAUUUGGUAUUCGUUCGGUAAUUUGAUGUGAUGUAUGUUGUUUUUCCUCUAGUGGUGUUAUGUGAACAUCGACUACAUAACACUUCACCGUUAUUUGGGCCUAGAGGAAGGCAUUGGGAAGUAGUAAGUAGAUGAUGGGUUGCUAGAGUGACAGAAGCUUAAACCCUAGUUUAUGUGUUGCUUCGUAAGGGGCUGAUUUGGAUCCACUAGUUUAAUGUUAUGGAUAAACUUUGUCUUAAUUCUUCUUUCAUAGUUGCGGAUGCUUGCGAGAGGGGUUAAUCAUAAGUGGGAUGCUUGUCCAAGUAAAGGCAGUACCCAAGCGUCAUUCCACCCACAUAUCAAACUAUGAAAGUAACGAACGUGAAUCAUAUGAACAUGAUGAAAACUAGCUUGACAGAAUUUCACAUGUGUCCUCGGGAGUGUUUUACCUCCUAUAAGACUUUGUCCAGGCUUGUCCCUUGCUACAAAAGGGAUUGGGCUACUUUUCUGCACCGUUGCUACUUUUGUUCUUGCUACUUGCUAUGAAUCAUCUCACCACACAACUACUUGUUAUCGAUAAUUUCACUGCUUGCAGAUUUUACCUUGCUAAAAACCACUUGUCAGAUCCUUCUGCUCCUUGUUGGGUUCGACACUCUUACUUAUCGAAAGGACUAUGAUAGAUCCCCUAUACUUGUGGGUCAUCGGGCCACGAUAUCAAUAUUAAAGAAUGUGGCAAAGCCCAUAAUUGCAAGCUGAUGAACGGAAAGUAAAUUGUAUGCAAGGGACUCAACAAGCAUGACCUUCUCUGUAGAUAAAUCUUGACAGAUGACCACCUUACAAAAUUCCAUUACCUUAGAUAUUGAAGCAUGAGAAAAUUGGACAUGGGUGGGCAGAGAUGGUAUUGGAUGCACAUCCACCACCAAGUGCUUGCUCCCGGUCAUAGGAUUUGUUGCUCCACUAUCGAGCAACCAUGACACUCCACCGGAAGCAAACUCCUGCAAGAGAUCAAUGCUUGGAUUUAGGUACCCAUUUUUUAAUGGUUCCAUUGAUGUUAAAUAUAAUGCCAAGGUAGUUCUGCUGAAAACAGUGUCAGCCCGGGUUAGUUUCAUUCAAAUCAUGCAAAUUAGAGGUCAAUACGAGAGCAAAAGUGUUUUGAAAAGUAGAUACAUUGGAGACGUAUCAACUCCCCCAAGCUUAACUCAUUGCUUGUAAUCAAGCAAUUCAGUUGAUAAAUUGAAAGUGAUAAAGAAAAAUUUUACAAACUCUUUUGUUCUUGUCAUUAUACAUAUGCUUAGCUAGUGUUGUAGGUAAGAAGGUGAUGACUCAACAUAAAAGUAAAGAGAUAGGCCCUUCGUAGAGGGAAGUAUUGAUUGGCACAGGUGCGAGAGCUCAAGUUUUAAAGCAAGAUUAAAAAUAUAGUUUUUGAGUGGUGUUCUUUACUGUCAACCGACAAAGGUUUUCAGUAUCUUCCAUGCUAAAAUCAUUAUUGGUGGUUCCCAAACAGAAUUGUAAACUUCUACACCUAUCCACCAUCCAUACACAACCAUGGUUAGGCGAAUUCAGGGGUGCCCUCCAACAUAUCAACUUUCCCAAGGAGUUUUGUUUUAAUUUAAUUUUUAUUAAGCAGGAAUGGGCAUCCUUGUUACCAACCUCUCUCGUGCAAUGUCGGCGAAUAAACGCCCAUCGUGAGAGUAACUUACUUAGCAUGGAAGAUAUCGAUUGCCACAUCGCUCUCCAUGAGCGGUACAAGUGCACAAAACACAGCUUUGUUUGAAUAUUUAUUGGUGGCACAUACAAAUUUACUUGGAACGGUAGGAUAAUAGCGAAUAUAGGUAGGUAUGGUGGACUCAUCUGGAAUAACUUUGUUUUAAGGAUAUUGGAUGCACAAGUAGCAUUCCCGCUUAGUACACGUGGAGGCUUGCAAGAUAUUGGGAAGCAGCCAGCUAGAGAGCAACAACGGUAAUGAUUAUGCAUUAAAAAUAAUCAACUUUGGGUAAAGCAUGAGUAGGAUAUAAACACUCUGAAUUUAAAUAUUAUGAAGGCUACAUCGGUUUUGAAUCAACUACAUGUUUGCACAUGGGCCAAGUCAAACCACUUGAAUUACUCACAGGGAAAUACCAUACUACCAUAUCACAUCAUAACCAUUUUAAUGCAUGUUAACACAUAAGGUAAAUCAUUAUCAACUCCCAGCUAUUUAAGCAUGACAUGCUGAUAUCUAAUUGUCACUAUAAACAUCUUCACUCAUGACAUACUAAAUCAAGAUCAAAUGAGCUAACUGUAGAGACCCGACUCAAAAGGAGUCAAGCCUCUGUGUAUCUGUGCCAUCCCUGGAUCACCCUGCUGGCACUGGAUCACCCUGCUGGCACACACACUACAUCAAUGUAUAUAUCAAAGUGCAAUCACAUGUAAAUAAGGUAAAAUUGAUAUAUACCUCAAAAUCUCAGCGGAAACAGUCAAGGGAGUGGAGUCCCAAUAAACACCAAUGGCAGGUUGAGUUAAGACCGUAACCCUGAAUCGUACUCUUACUCGUCGAAGAAAAAUAUCUGCAACAUAAGACAUUGCAGCCGUGUAGGUCAGCAUAUUGAAUAUGCCGGCAAGUCACAAAAGAGAGGUGUAAAUAUCAUCUAUACUAUAUGCAUAUAUGGCAGGUGGGGCUAUAAGUUUUUAGCGGAAAGCAAAGGUUUCUCCUACAACAAGAGAGGGCUAAAAUAGAAAUAUUACUACAUGGUUGGUUGUUAAUGAGAUGGUUCCACCAACCAAUUAUCAUACCCAAGUUGUCAACAAUUCCCACAUCAUUAAUAAUAUUUGUGUUGAGAAUUCCAGAUAGUUUCAGUUCCUUCGGCUCAAGUUGUCCAUGACCGUGGACACGGCUAAUCGAUUAGGUUUGAGUACUCUGCAGAGUUUUGCACACGUUCCCCACAAGAUUUGAUCGCCUCCGUUGAAGUCCUCGCACUUCAGGGUGUUUGAUAACCGGAUGAUCAAAACAUGGUCUUUCAAAGGGUUCCUCUGAGACUUUGUCGGUGCCCAUCCAAUCCUACCGUUCUUCUACAUCUCAUAGCACCGCCUGUCCAGAGUCACCACGAUGUACAACCAAGCCAGAGCCCAUAAUGACUUGUGGCUGUGCAGGUAAGCCUUGGGUCUUGAAGCAUCCAUCCAUCUCUUCGUGCCUGGGUGAAGCUUUUUGCAAGAUGUCAUGGCGCUUCUCCAUGCAUCACGGGUCCUCCGCUAGUUUAUCCCAGGGGGGCCAUCAAAUCCGUCCUUCACCUAGAGGUAUAUUGCAUCACGAGGUCUCGAAAGUCUUGACAUAUCCGGUCUUGAUUAUUAAAAUUUUCUCACAACACUCGUGAUAGACUCUCAACCAAAACCAUGUCUACUUAAGCAUAGCAAAAUAACAUGUAUCGUCCCGGGCCACGUAACAAGGGUGAUGGGUGCCUACCACAUGAUACUACAUCAAGAACCAAUUUUUCGAGUUCCUACUUAUCAUGCAAUAGGUGAAGAAAGGUUGAUCUACAAUGCAUAUAAAACAUAGGAAAUAUGAUGAACGUGACUUGCCUUGUUGACGAUUAUCGAACUCGAGCGUGUCUAGAUAACAAGCUUCGCACUCCGGAUAAUCUAACAAAGCAAACAAUUUCACACAACAAGCAUCACAAUAGCAAGUGAUAAAAAUAAACAAAGUAGCUAUAUCAUAAAAGAGUAAAAUUGUCUUACAAGAACCAAAAUAGAAUCUGUUUUGCAUAAAAUAAUGAGUUGAAAUAUUCCAAAACUUCUGAAAUUUUACGCACUGAUAAAUAAGAUCACUAGUGAUCAAUAGCAAAAGAAUCAAUUAAAAAUCUAUUUUUUGAACUCCCGGUAUGCACAAAAUAAGAUUUAAAACAAACCUGUUCUAACUCAAAUUUUAUAAAUUCAAACAUAGUAAAUUUUAUAUUUUCGGAAACUACAUAAAAAAUUUGAUCUAAUGCAAAAAAGAAUCACCUUAAUUGGAUUUGUAGAUUAAAAGUUAUUAAGAAAACAAAAAUAGAANACCGUUAUGUAGGGAAAAACACUUCGGCUAAAUAACUAACUAACCGACUGGCUGGUUUUUUUUGAAAAUCGAAGGGGUAAGUUUCCUUCUAACCUAUACCUUAGGAUCUAGAUCUAACGGUGAAUGGAAAAGAAGGAAGAAAAAAAAGGAGAGGGAUUACCUACGUGCUACAAGGAAGAUAGUGAUGGCAGGGGUAAACGGCGGCGAGGAGAGGCUGCUCCGGCGAGGAGGGUCGCCGGCGGGGAGGGGGAACGGCAGAUGGGGUGGGUCCGCGCUAUGGGGAGUGGUGUCAGGGCGUCUGGGGCUUCUGGGGCGAGGAGGUGGCGUCCUGGGGCGUCUCUAUCGGCGUGCUCCUAGCGGUGCUCCUGUCCAGCAAAGGAAUGGCGGCGAGGAGGGUGACCUGCAGGGCGACGAGGUGAGGGGGUGGCAUGGGGUGCGGCAGGGGUAGGGUGAGGCGUGCAGGGUUACCAGGGGAGUGGGGAGGGCCUUGCUUGGCGAUGGGGCAAGGCAGAGGAGCUCUUGUUGCUUUGGUUCUUGACAGGAACAACGAUGGUGGGGGUGGCGUCUACAGGCAGGGACAGGACGAGUUGAUGGGGAAAACGGAACGAGGACAGGAGGGGCAAUCUUAUAGGGGUGGUGGGAGGCUCGGGAAGGAAGUAUAGCUCGCAAAUCGGGGGAGGGAAGCUUCUAGGAAGCUUCUGCCAUGGCUAGAAUGGAAGGUGACGAGAGGAAGAAGAAGGUAGGGAUUUUGGGCCUGAUGUGUUUCCUAAAGUGGCCCAGUGACCUUCCUAAAUAAAAGAUUUAUUUCCCUUUUUAUUAAAACAGGAAUUAAAAUGAUUAAAAGGAAAUGUAAUAUCCUCGGAAUAUAGGGGUAUUAUAUAUUAAAUUUAUCAUAAAAAUAAAUCCAAAAAGAUGGACAUUUUUUCACGGCCAAAAUAAAAACUUCAAAAAAAAUGUUUUCCACAAAAUCCCUAAAUUGGUUUAUUUUCUUUUUGCAAAUAUUUUUCAAAUACCCCUUGGGUUUUAUGGUUCAAAUAUUUCAAAGAAAUAUCCUGGGUUCGGAGGGUCAUGUUCCUCCUCUCUUUUUCUUGCUUGGCAAGAUAUUGUUCCCGGCAUUCCGUGAGUGAAGAAAAAUAAAUUGCAAAGCAAAAAAAAGUCAAAGGAAAUUCAAAUGCCACCUUGAUUCAAGUUCUUUAUAGUUGAAGAAGUCAUGUUAUCUUCUCUCGCGGAUUUUGAACAGAGGAAUUUGAAUUCAGAGGAAAAAGGGGAAAGUCAUUUUAUUCUCUCUCAUUCAAAAGUUUUAAAAGUUUCAAAUUUCACUCAAGUUUCAACCAUUCAAACAAAUAAACAAUCAAUCUAAUAAUUAUAUUAACAUUUCAAAAUUUGGGAUGUUACAAACCUACCACACUUAAAAUGAAUCCCGUCCUCGAGAUUCGAAGAGGCUAGAAAGAAAGGUUAGGGUUUGGGGUCUUCUAACAAAUCCAAUCCCCUGCAAAGUGCGAUGCUACCACACUUCAAAUGAGAGUUACUGGUCAAAAAUUAGCAAUCCUCUGGGGUCUUGGCAUCUGACUCAUCACAUUCUUCAUACUAACUCCUUUGGGGGUGCUUUUCCAUUACAUUCAUAACGUUUCCAUCAAAAUCAAGGGUUCUUCUAUUGAUAUAAGCUUCUUCCGUCACUGAGUCUCCUGAACUGACAGUCUCGUGAUCAAUUCUAAAUAACCUAUCGAUGAUUCUCAUGGUGGUCUAUCAUUUGUGGUUAUCCUGCAGAGAGAGGGGUCUUGGUUUCAUCCUCACCGUAAGAUUUCCUACGCGUGGCAACCAGUGUCAUGUACAUGGGUCUUCAUCAUACCAUUCUAAGGCUUAAACAAAAGCUUCAAAGAACGUCAUCUCUCACUAUGGGUAAGUCUCUCAGAUUUACCAUUCCGAAUAGCAAGAGAAUGAUAAGAGUAAGUCGUCAUGGUGGCCAAGCCAUGUCGCACUGAAAUCAUUACCUUGUAUAAGGCUUAGUGAAUCUCGUAUUCUAACCCUUGGGCAUCCUCACAAGCAUUGCAGAAUUUCUCUUGCCCACGAACGAAGUUCGGAUAAAUCCAAUGAUUCUACAAGCCGAACAACCAUCUAUCGUUUCUUCACAACUCUUGGGUUUUCGUAUGCUCCUAAGAAAAUGUUUGCCGAUCCAACAUAGCUUCUUCCAAGUUUCUUUCUUCAUAAAGGUAGUGCUCGAUCCUUAUUAGUCCCGGGGUCUGUGGGUUGCAGGCCCACUUUAACUCAUACUUGGAAUUACUCCACCUUUAAAUCCUAUAGUGUUUCAUUCCAUCAUACUCUUGGGGUAACCAUCAUAUAAUAAUAACCUCAGACUUAUUUUUGGUACACACCCCACUCUGUGGGAUACUUUUUUUCCAAUGGUGUGUUUACCAUUAAAAGUACUGGUUCAUCCAUAAAUCAUAUUCAUUUCAUAUUCAAUCCUUUAUUACAUCCUUAAUUUCUUCUCGGAACUCCAAUUCAAAAGUACUUUAUUACAAAUGCUGCCAUCCACUUUGUUCGGUAUGGUCAAGCAUUUCUGCCAACUUUAUUCAUUUGUCUCCCUUGGAGAUACUUUAGUCCCACUGGAACUUUCUGAGGUGCUCCUUGAAAUCAUCCAUCUUUUGCUUUCUCAUGGUGGUCAUGAGGUUCAUCUCCGCAUGCACUUCACUCAGGUAUUCUUGGGUAUGACGGAGUCUUGCUUCAAGUAUUUUUCCAAUCUGACGUAUGGCUUCCAUGGCAGCUUCACGGACAGCAUCAAAGAAGGUUUCUCGUGGUACACGUGAAAUGAAAACGUAUUGCCCCAUAGUCUUUGGACAAACUCCUUUCACAUGGUGGAGGUGUACUUCCACAUACCAAAGUUCCACUCCACUUUCCAUGAAUGGGUAGCCUUUGUAGACUGCAUCUCCUUCAAGAUGAAUGUGCUUCAUCAUGUCCUUCAGGAUUUUUGGGUAAUCAUGAUCACUAGUCAGGGUCAUGAUUGUUUCUGGGCCCUUAAGGAAGGACUCGUAGAGGGUUGUCAUCUGCAGGUGUCAGAAAAACAGGUACUCAGAGGAAUGUAUGUUUCUCCUUGGUAUGCAUGGUAUAUUCCUACUCAUUGGAUCAUGUGGGUUUACUGAUUACUACCACGCUUAAAAUGAAAUAUAAUCGUGCCUGCAUAGACCAUAUUUUCUCAUAUCCUCAUAAAUGUUCAGAGAUCUUUGUUCGUAGAGAAACAACGCAUACAGUUUCAACAUAGGCAAUCAUGACCCAAUAAAUUUUAUUGAUUCAUGAGUUAUUAAAAUCCUAGAGACUUCUGUUACAAAAAUACAACUCCAUAAUCUCAUGAAAACCAAGAGUGCUUCAGGUUAGACUUAUUGCCAUUGUCAAAUCUUAACUACUCCCUUUUAACUUUUCUUUCCCUAUGGACAAUUACUAGCAUAAUGUCAUGCUUCCUUGUAAUGAAAACAAAUGAGUUCCGACAAGUCUCGGGGCUUCUUGUAGUUUUCUAUUACUCCUUGGUUUUCCUGCUUCCUUUUUGGGCACAUAUUUUUGUAGUGGCCAAAUUCCAUACACUUGAAACAUCUAAUAUGACUCAGGUCUUUAUCUGCAGAGAUUUGGCUUUUCCGAGGGCACUUUCUCUUCUUUCCGGACUGCUUCGUUCUGGCCAGUACUUCCAUUUCAUAUGGAUCAAACUCUACUUUUUCCGUCGGGAAGUUUCCCAGAUAUUUAUGGCUUCCCUUCGUGCAAUCCUUUGAGAAAUGUCCUUCUUCUCCACAUGAGUAAGAGGCAUUGGAGAAAAAUCUGGUUAGGCCUUGUCCAUCAGGGCCUUCUAUAUUUUCCUUCAUUACAGGUUCUUCUAAAAUCUUCUUCUUGAGUGUUUCCGUCAUUGCUUCUUUCUGCUGCUUGACAACUUGUUGCACCUUGGGGUAAAUGUAACACUGGGCUGGGUAGUGGGUGGUUCCCUCACACAAGAAACAAGUCACCUGACUAGUUGGGCAUUCCUCUGAUGAGUGAUUUUCUUCACAAUGAGGGCAUCCAUCAUAGUGUUCUUCCUAGGUGUGUCCUAUUUCUCCAUAGAUCUUUCAUGCACAGUGCUUCUUCAUCGGGCCAUCAUAGCACUUUUGAAUAAGACGGGAUCUUAACAGAGUCUUCUUGAAUUCGUCCCAGGUUUCUGCUCCACUAAAUCCUUGUAUGGCAUGAUGCAUUUUCCACCAGAUAGCAGCACCUUGGGUAAAGUACUGAAGAGCGUGUGCCACUUCAUAUUUCCUUGAAAUCAAAUUGCUCCCGAAGUGGUUCUCCAUGUUCUAAAUCCAUAUAUCAGCCUCCAGCUGGGUCAUUGGUCCAGAGAUUACAAGUCCAGCUUCAUACGCCAUCUACUGGGUCCAACGUUUUUGGGAUGAGAUGGGUAAGAGAGAGAGGAAAAGAGGGAGAUACACACAAUACAAGCAAUAUUUUUGAGAAUAGGUUUUAUUUGUGGUUGUCGGAAAACACACACAAAUGACGGCUCACAAAUCAUCGUAUCUAACGUGGGUAUAUAACACGGGUUUAGACUUCUAAUUGCCAUAUAAAUAUUGGAACACUUCAGGGUCUUCGAAUUCUUUGGGUCUUGAGAGUCUUCAAUUGGCGCAGCUUCAAUUCUUCAAAUGCAUGGUUAAAUCCUCUUUACUUUGAAGUAGAACUCAGUUGAUCCUUCAUGUCCUCAAAGAGGAAAAGGUAUUGUCUAACUAUUUGAGGUGAGAGAGAACAUUUGAUGAAAUCAGAAGAGAUGAGAAGCAAAGGAUGUUCUUGGAAAUAAAAUUUUAGAGAGAUCCUUUCCGAAGGGAUUUCAAGUUACUAGGGUCACGUCCUACAAUCAACAUGUGCUCUGAUACCAUAUUUGUAGCGACCCGACUCAAAACGAGUCAAGCCUAUUUGUAUAUGUGCCAUCCCUGGAUCAGUAUGUUGGCACACAUAGUACAUCAAUGUAUAUAUCAAAGUGCAAUCAGAUGUAAAUAACAUAAAAUUGAUAUAUACCUCAAAAUCUCAGCGGAAACAGCCAAGGGAGUGGAGUCCCAAUAAACACCAACAGCAGGUUGAGUGCAGACUGUAACCCUGAAUCGUACUCUUACUCGUCGAAGAAAAUAUCUGCAACGUAAGACAUUGCAGCUGUGUAGGUCAGCAUAUUGAAUAUGCCGGCAAGUCGGUGUAAAUAUCAUCUAUACUAUAUGCAUAUAUGGCAAGUGGGGUUGUAAGUUUUUAGCGGAAAGCAAAGUUUUCUCCUACAACAAGAGAGGGCUAAAAGCAAAAUAUUACUACAUGGUUGGUUGUUAAUGAAAUGGUUCCACCAAACAAUUCUCAUACCCAAGUUGUCAAUAAUUCCCACAUCAUUAAUAUUAUUAGUGUUGAGAAUUCCAGAUAGUUUCAGUUCCUUCCGCUCAAGUUGUCCAUGACCGUGGACACGUCUAAUCGAUUAGGUUAGGGUACUCUCCAGAGUUUUGCACACGUUCCCCACAAGAUUUGAUCGCCUCCGUUGGAGUCCUCGCACUUCAGGGUGUUUGAGAACCGGAUGAUCAAAACAUGGUCAUUCAACGGGUUCCUCUGACCCACUGUCGGUGCCCAUCCAAUCCUACCGUUCUUCUACAUCUCGUAGCACCGCCCGUCCAGAGUCACCACGAUGUCCAACCUAGCUAGAGCCCAUAAUGAUUUGUCUUGUGCAAGUAAGCCUUGGGUUUUGAAGCAUCCAUCCAUCUCUUCGUGCCUGGGUGAAGCUUUCCGCAAGAUGUCAUGGCACUUCCGCAUCCAUCCCAGGUCCUCCGCUGGUUUUCCCCAGGGAGCCCAUCUGAACCGUCCUUCACCCAAAGGUGUAUUGCAUCACGAGGUCUCGAAAAGUCUUGAAAUAACCGGUCUUGAUUAUUAAAUUCUCACAACACUCGUGAUAAACACUCAACCAAAACCCCGUCUACUAAAAGCAUAGCAAAAUAAAAAGUUAUCGUCCCGGGCCAAGUAACAAGGGUGAUGGGUGCCUACCACAUGAUACUACAUCAAGAACUAAUUUUUCUGAGUACCUGCUUUGCAUGCAAUAGGUGAAGAAGGUAGAACUAGAUACAUAUAAAACAUAGGUAAAACAUGAUCAACGUGACUUGCCUUGUUGACAACUGUCGAACUCGAGCGCUUCUAGAUAACAAGCUUCGCACUUCGGACGAUCUAACGAAACAAUAAUUUCACACAAUAAGCAUCACAAUAGCAAGUCAUCAAAAUAAAGCAACAAACAAAAAGUAGCUAGAACAAAAGAGAGAGAAAUUGCCCUACAAGAACUAAAACAGAAACUGUUUUGUUGAAAACCCCAAGAUAAAAAUAUCCUAAAAAUUCCGAAAUUAAACUAACUGAUAAAUAAGAUCACUAGUGAUCAGUAGAAAAAGGAAUCAACUAAAAAGCUAUUUUUAAACUCCAGAUAUUAACAAAACAAGAUUUAAGCCAAAUUUGUUUAAAUUCAAAAAUUAAAUUUUCAAACAUGGUCAAAUUUUACAUCUACAGAAACUACAUAAAAUUUGUGGUCCAGUGCGAAAAAGAAUCACCUAAUUUGGAGUUAUAAAAUAAAAGUUAUAGGGAUUCUAAAAUCUGGUUCAAAUCAGUUUUCAGAAUUAAAAACAGAAAAAAAAAAAAAGACUAUGCUACGUGGCAGGCUGUGAGUGGCUGUGAUGUGUGUGCGUUAUAGUCUAACUAGCGGACGGCCGCAAAAUAAAGAAAAACUUUCGGUUAAAACCUACUAACAGAAAAAACUGCGGUCUUUCUAAAUAAACCGAAGGGGUAUCUACUGAUAUAAUCUAACCGCACGCUAGUGAUCUAACGGUGGAGGGAAAAAUAAAAGGGCUCACCAUUGCUGUAAGGAAGAACUUAGGUGAGUUGCUCCUGGCCGAAGGUGAGGGUGGCGAGGGGAGGCGGUUCCAGUGGCCGGAAGGGGCGGCGGGGUGGUCGAGGCGGCGGAGGAAGCUCGUCGGCGUCCUCUAGUGGUGUCAGAAGGCGCUACGGGGCGACAGAGGGCGCUGCAGGGGCUCCAGGAGCCUCGACCGAAGGGAGCUCCGGCGAGGUGGCUAGUGGCGGCAUGAGAGGGGGGUCUCGAGGGGAACGGAGUGUGGAGGGGUCAGGGACUUAUAUAGGGGCCUCGGGGCGACGGGAGGGAAGGGGAUCGGGGAGAUCGGGCGCGGGAUCCGGCGAGGUAGCUUCGUGGAAGGAGCUCCUGUGCAUAGAAGGAAAGAAACGGGAGGUAGGGGAAAGAGAUAACGGGCCGGAUCGGUUUCCACAUCAGGCCCAGGUUGGGUUCCUAAAUAAAACGAUUCGGUUUCCUAAUAAUUAAAAUAGGAAAGAAAACUAUGAAAAGGAAUUAAAAUUUUUUUCCUAAAAUAUAAGUAAUAUAUAUCAAAAUGAUCAGAAAAAUAUUUCCCACCACGUGGACAUUUUCUUUUUCACAAAAUAUUUUUUAAAAAUUCAAUAAAAAUUCCAAAUUUUGCCUUUAAAAUUUUUGGCACUCUUUUUCUACUGACUUUUAUUUUUUUUUAUUUUGGGGUGUCAUGUCACCUCCUCUCUUUCUUGCUUGGCAAGUAUUUUGUGAGGAAAAUUUUGUGGGUGAAAUUUCUUGUGCCAAAAUAAAAAUUCAAAAUCGAAACAAGGGAUUCAAAUGCCACAUUCAUUCCAAUAAAAUGCAUAGAUGCUUAGCUACAAUUGUAAAACAUUCCAAAUUGAAAAUUUGGGAUGUUACAAACCUACCCACCUUAAGAUGAAUCUCACCCUCGAGAUUCGGGUUGGAUAGAAAAUAGGUGUGGGUGGUCUCGACGAAGAUCUUUUUCCCGUUCCCACGUGGCUUCUUCCUCGGUGUGAUGACUCCACAAGACCUUGCAAAACUUGAUGAUCGUGCUGCGAGUAAAUCUGUUGGCAGUCUCGAGAAUCGUCACGGGUUUCUCCUCAUAAGUCAGAUCACUAUCAAGUGGUAUGGCCUCUAGGGGCACUGUGUGUCUCAACGGAAUAUCAGCCAUCUCGGCAUGGCAUUUCUUCAACUAGGAAACAUGGAAAACAUCAUGAACUCCGGACAAUCCUUCCGGCAAUUCCAAUUUGCAUGCAACUUCCCCUCUACGUUCAAGAAUUUUGUAGGGGCCAAUGAAUCGGGGUGCUAACUUCCCUUUUACAUCAAAUCUCCUGAUUCCUCGUAGUGGGGACACACGAAGGUAUGCUCGGUCUCCCACUUCGUAUGUUACUUCCUUGCGUUUGCUAUCAGCAUAACUUUUUUGUCUAGACUGAGCUAUCUUGAGUCGGUCACGAAUCAGCUUGACCUUCUCUUCAGAAUCUCAGAUAAGGUUGGGACCAAAAAGUUUCCGGUCUCCAACACCAUCCCACAUCAAAGGCGUUCUGCACCUCCUUCCGUAUAAAGCUUUGAAAGGGGCCAUCUUCAGACUGGUCUGAUAGCUGUUGUUGUAUGAGAACUCGGCGUAAGGCAAAUUGUCGUCCCAGCUAGACCCAUAGUCUAGUGCACAGGCUCUCAACAUGUCCUCUAGAAUCUGAUUUACUCUCUCGGUCUAUCCAUCGGUUUGUGGGUGAAAAGUUGUACUGAACUCUAAUCUCGUUCCCAAGGUUUCAUGUAGUUGAUGCCAAAACUUUGACAUGAAUUGGGUUCCUCUAUCUGACACAAUACUCUUUGGAACUCCAUGCAUACAUACGAUCCUGAUCAUAUAUAUCUUGGCCAGCUUAGCACUCGUGUAGGUAGUCUUCACGGGAAUGAAGUGAGCUACCUUGGUCAAAGGAUCGACCACUACCCAGAUAGAGUCAUAACCUGAACGGGUCCUGGGUAAUGCUGUGAUGAAGUCCAUACCAAGCUUCUCCCAUUUCCACUCAGAUAUCGGCAAAGGUUGAAGUAAUCCUGCUGGCUUCUGAUGUUCGACCUUUACUUGCUGGCAAACAUCGCAUAUUGCUACAUACUCGGCAAUAUCCUUCUUCAUUCCUGUCCACCAGAAACUUUCCUUUAAGUCCAGAUACAUCUUGGUGUUGCCCGGGUGUAUCGAGUAUGGUGAAUCGUGGGCCUCCUGAAGUAUCAACUACCUGAGUUCAGGAUCAUUGGGCACAUAGAUACAAUCGUCAAACCAUAUAUUUAUGUGUUCAUCCUCACGAAAACCUUUAGCCUUCCCGUCAUUCGUUCUUUGCUUUAUCUCAGCUAUCUCCUUGUCUGACUUCUGUGCUUCACGAAUUUUUCCGGUCAAGGUGGACUGAAUCUCCAGCGUGGCUACAUAUCCUCUUGUAACUAUCUCCAACUUGAGCUCUCUAAGAUCAUCGGCUAACUCCUGGGGUAAUCCUCCCGCUAUGAGUGUGUUCACAUAACUCUUACGGCUCAAGGCAUCUGCUAAAACAUUUGCCUUCCCUAGGUGAUAAUGCAACCUCAUGUCAUAGUCCUUGAUCAACUCUAGCCAUCUCCUCUGUCUGAGGUUCAACUCCUUCUGCGUGAAAAUAUAUUUCAGGCUCUUAUGAUCAGUGUAAAUAUCAUAGCUAUUUCCGAUAAGGAAAUGUCUCCAGGUCUUGAGAGCAUGCACUACAGCUGCUAACUCCAAAUCAUGUGUGGCAUAGUUCAACUCAUGAGUUCUGAGCUGUCUGGAUGCAUAGGCUACAACUUUUCCUUCUUGCAUAAGUACUCCUCCAAGUCCUUGACGUGAUGCGUCACAAUACACCUGGAAGUCCUUUCGAAUGUUCGGCAAUAUCAGCAUCGGGGCUGUAACCAAACGUUUCUUCAACUCUUGGAAACUGGCUUCACAUUCCUCUAUCCAAUUAUAAUUGGACUCCUUCUUUAACAACUCUGUCAUGGGUUUGGCAAUCUUCGUGAAGCUCUCGAUAAACCUCCAGUAAUAUCCGGCAAGACCGAGAAAACUGCGGAUCUCCUUAACUGAGGUGGGUGCUAACCAUUAGGUGACUGCUGCAACCUUGGUGGGAUCCACUGAUAUUCCGUCUCCCGAAAUAACGUGUCCGAGGAAUCCAACUUCUUUCAACCAAAAUUCGCAUUUGCUGAACUUUGUAUACAACUGAUGCUCUCGAAGUUUCUCCAAAACUAGACGCAAGUGUUCCUUGUGUUCUUCCUCGUUCUUGGAGAAUAUCAGUAUGUCAUCGAUCAACACCACGACAAACUUGUCCAGAUAUUCCAUAAAUACCUUGUUCAUCAUACUCAUAAAAUAUGCAGGAGAAUUAGUCAAACCAAAUGACAUGACUGUGUACUCAUAUAGACCAUACCUUGUGGUGAAGGUUCUCUUGGGUAUAUCAUGUUCACGAAUUUUCAACUGAUGAUACCUUGAUCGAAGGUCGAUCUUGGAGAACACUCGGGCUCCAACUAACUGGUCAAACAAAUCGUUGAUCAUCGGCAAGGGAUACUUGUUCUUGAUGGUUGCCUCGUUCAAGGCACGAUAAUCGACUACCAUUCUCAAGGAUUUAUCUUUCUUCUCUACCAAGAGAACUGGGGCUCCCCAAGGUGACGAACUUGGGCGAAUAUACCCUUUGUCUAGUAACUCAUUGAUCUGCUUCUGAUUUCUUCUAAAUCAUUUGCGGGAAUCCGAUAGGGUCUCUUGGAUAUUGGGGCUGUCCCUGGUAAUAACCCAAUCAGAAACUCAAUCUCCCUAUCCGGUGGCAUGCCUGGCAAUUCCUCCGGGAAUACAUCUCGAAAGUCUUGUACGAUCGGCACUUCCUCCUGAACAACUCCCGUGAGAGAAUUCACCCGUUUACUCUGUGGUGGGCGUUGGGAAAUGUACUUAAUCCGCUUUUGCUCUGGGGUGGUGAGAAAAAUAGACUUAAGGGAACAAUCAAUGUUUCCUUCAUACUUGGUCAACCAAUCCAUGCCUAGGAUUACAUCCAAUCCCUGUGACUCUAAUAUGAUGAGGUCGGUGGGAAAUUUAUGGUUUCCGAUAUUGAGGCUCAAAGCAUGGCAUCCUAUCCCGGUUGUCAUCAUGCCCCUUGGGGAACUGACUUCAAUGGGCUGACUGAGGGUUCUAGUUGGUAAACUAUACUUUUCCACAACUAUCCUUGAUAUGAAUGAAUGUGUUGCACCAGAAUCAAAAAGUACUAGUACUGGACAUGAGUUCAGCAAAAACUUACCAACCACCGUAUUGGAGUGAUCAUAGACCUCUUCAACAUCAAUGUGGUUCACCUGAGCUCGGGGAAGAGGAUUGGGCUUCCUUGCUGGUGAGUUGCCAUUGUCGUUUCCAUUUCCCAACUUGUUCUGGGGACAGUCAGUUGCAUAGUGUCCCGUCUUCUAGCACUUGAAGCAGGUCAUAUGGUUCAGAUCCUUCUGAGCUGGAGUGGAAAGGUGUUGAGUGCCAUUACCUCCAUUGCCAUUCUUGAAGUUGCCGCCGUUGGAGUUGUUCCCAUUUCCUCCAUGGUUGUGGCCUCCAUGGUUGUGCACUGGAUGGUUAUGGUGGGUGUGUCCUCCAAACUUACCGGAUCAUGUUCCAGUAUUCCCUAAAUAGGGGGCGUAACGGGGCUUCUGCUGAACUCCAGAAUUGAACUUCCCAUGUCCAUACUUCCGUUUGCGGUUCUCAAUGUGUUGUUGUUUCCCCUCCAAGAUGAGGGCCUUAUCUACCAGUUGUUGGUAGUUGUUGAAGUUGGCCACGGUCAGCUGAAUGCUCAACUCAUCGUUGAGUCCUUCCAUGGAACUUCUCCAGCUUGUCCGCAUCAUCGACCACAUCUCCAGGUGCAUAUCAGGCGAGCAUGUUGAAUUCAUCAACAUACUGAGCCAUAGAGCGAUUUCCCUAGCGUAAGUUGUGAAACUCACGCUUCUUCAGACUCAUGGCUCCUGCUGAGACAUGAGCGGUGCGGAAGGCUUGCUUGAACUGUUCCCAAGUCACACCAACAAUGGGGUAUGUGGUGGUGUAGUUCUCCCAAGAUACAGUUGCGGGGCCUUCAAGUUGAUGUGCGGCAAAGCGCACCUUUUCAGCUUCAGUACAUCCAGCAGUGAUUAGUUCCUCUCCAUCUUGCGGAGCCAAUCAUCUGCCACAAUGGGCUCAACGCUGCUGGAGAAAGUCAGAGGGUUGAACCUCAGAAAACGGGUGAUAUUGUCGGCCUAGGGUGGAUAAUGGUUGUUGUUAUUGUUCUGGUUCUGAAUGAUCAACUGCAUCACGGUAUUCUGCUGUUGGAUCAACUGAGUGAGUUCCGGCGGGAAAUUGGAGGCAGGGUCACGUCUCGGAGGCAUCUGGUGGUUUUAGAGGGAUGGGAUUAGCAUAGAACAAGGGUCUAAAGAGAAAAUACACUACCCAUAUGAAAUGCAACAAACAAUUAUCACACCACACAUUUAUUCAUUAAUCAUCUCAAAAGGUUCAAACACGGGGAUACAAGUUUCUGAUAACCUAAACAUUGGCCUAAACGUUUAAAGAUAAGAUAAAUUGGUGGAAUUGUCUAUGUGUCCUCCUCAGAAAUGCAUGGUGGUGGGUCCGUCGGUAGAGGUUGCUUUGUAGUCCUCCUUGUUGCUGAUCAAGGGGGCUACAUCUCCUUCAUGGUGAAUAUUUUUGCCCAUGUACAAUUCUUUCUCCAGAUAUGCGAUGCGAGCCUUCAACUUCUCGAUCCUCUCCAAGAAGUCCUUCACCUCCAAUUCGUGCUCGUAGUGGGCUUCUCGAGCUUCUUCUUCGAGCUCGAGUUCGCGGAGCGUCGGUUGCUUGAUCUUCUUUGUGUCCUUGCUUACACGAAGCUCCAGAGUCCCGAUGUGUGUCUCCAAGGUCUGGCCAUAGGACAGGAGAGCGUCUUUAGUCUUGGUCAUGAUGAUUUCUCCAUCUGCUCCUCUCCGGGAGACCGUGAAUAAGUUCGGUGAAAUGGGACAGCCUCUAUAAACCUCCUUGAUAGGUCCAAGUGCAUAGUGAGCCACCAUGUCCCUUCCCAGAAUCCAGCUGGGUGCGAUGAACUUGAAGUCCACAGGUUCUGUGCAUGGCUCGAAAGUUCUUCUGAGGAUGUGCACCUCAAUCCUGUAGCGUGCAUCUGCCGGGUAAGACAUGGUAGGUUUUUCGGUGAUGGUUGGCAGAGCAAUCCAUAAGUCCUUGGUGAUCUGCAUCAUCUCCUUUCCGAAGGGCAUUGUUACGUCGGGCUAGCAAAACUCCAUGACCUUAACUGGGAUGAAGGUGGCCAUCUAGAAAAUAUUGGAAGAUCGAAGAGAAGUCAGAAAUAAGCAGAAGAGAAAUAUAGAAGAUUUAUAGAUAUAAGAAAAUAGUUUUCUUCCUAAGGCUUUUCCAAUCCUAGAGGUUACGUCUUACGGUCAGCGUGCUCUCCGAUACCAUAUCUGUAGCGACCCGACCUGAAACGGCCAAGUCUCUGGUGUUUCUGUACCAUCCCAAGAUCAUGCUGGUACACACACAGUACAUCAAUGUAUAUAUCGAGAGUUCAAUCACACAGCUUUAUUAAUCGGAUCUCAUAUCGAGUACUUUAUUACAAUAAAGAUUACAAUAAAGAGGCUGAAGGCCAACUCAUGAGAUAACUAAACGAAGACUAGCGGAAGCUUCAAAGGUAGUUGAGUCCAUAUGACUCCAGGGCAUAUCACCGAGCGUAGAUCGUGACCUCACUCCUGGUCGGAAAAGUACUCUGCAAUAUGACACAUUGCAGCCGUGUAGGUCAGCAUAUUGAAUAUGCCGACAAGUUAAAUAAGAGAGAGGUGAAAAAGUAUCAUCUAUACUAUAUGCAUAUAUGGCAGGUGGGGUUGUAAGUUUUUUGCUGAAAGCAAAGUUUUCUCCAACAACAAGAGAGGGGGUAAAAGUAAAAUUUUACUACAUUGUUGGUUGUUAAUGAGAUGGUUCCGCCAACCAUAUCUCAUACCCAAGUUGUCAAUAAUACCCACAUCUUUAAUAUUAUUUGUGUUGAGAAUUCCAGAUAAUUUUAGUUCCUUCGACUCAAGUUGUCCAUGACCGUGGACACGGCUAAUCAAUUAGGUUAGGGUACUCUGUAGAGUUCUGCACACGUUCCCCACAAGAUUUGAUCGCCUCCGUUGGAGUCCUCGCACUUGAGGGUGUUUGAGAAACGGAUGAUCAAAACAUGGUCUUUCAACGGGUUCCUCUUAGCCACUGUCGGUGCCCAUCCAAUCUUACCGUUCUUCUACAUCUCGUAGCACCGCCCGUCCAAAGUCACCACGUUGUCCAACCAAGCCAGAGCCCAUAAUGACUUGUGCCUGUGCAGGUAAGCCUUGGGUCUUGAAGCAUCCAUCCAUCUCUUCGUGCCUGGGUGAAUCUUUCCGCAAGAUGUCGUGGCACUUCCCCGUGCAUCUCGGGUCCUCCGCUGGUUUUCCCCAGGGAGCCCAUCUGAAUCGUCCUUCACCCAGAGGUGUAUUCUAUCACGAGGUCUCGAAAAGUCUUGAAUUAACUCGUCUUGAUUAUUAAAUUCUCACAACACUCGUGAUAAACACUCAACCAAAAUCCGUCUACUAAAAGCAUAGCAAAAUAAAAAUUUAUCAUCAUGGGACAAGUAAAAAGGGUGAUGGGUGCCUACCACAUGAUACUACAUCAAGAACCAAUUUUUCCGAGUACCUGCUUUGCAUGCAAUAGGUGAAGAAGGUAGAACUAGAUGCAUAAAAAACAUAGGUAAAACAUGAUCAACGUGACUUGCCUUGUUGACGACUGUCGAACUCGAGCGCUUCUAGAUAACAAGCUUCGCAUUCCGUAUGAUCUGACGAAACAAUAAUUUCACACAAUAAGCAUCACAAUAGCAAGUAAUCAAAAUAAAGCAACAAACAAAACGUAGCUAGAACAAAAGAGAGAAAAAUUGCCCUACAAGAACUAAAACAGAAACUGUUUUGUUGAAAACCCCAAGAUAAAAAUAUCCUAAAAAUGUUGAAAUUAAACUCACUGAUAAAUAAGAUCACUAGUGAUCAGUAGCAAAAGGAAUCAACUAAAAAUCUAUUUUUAAACUCCACAUAUUAACAAAACAAGAUUUAAACCAAAUCUGUUUAAAUUCGAAUUUAUAUUUUCAAACAUGGUCAAAUUUUAUAUCUACAGAAACUACAUAAAAUUUUUGAUCCAAUUCAAAAAGAAUCACCUAAUUUGGAGUUAUAGAAUAAUAGUUAUAGGGAUUCUAAAAUUUGGUUCAAAUCUGUUUUCAGAAUUAAAAACAGAAAAAAAAUACUAUGCUACGUGGCAGGCUGUGAGUGGCUGAGAUGUGUGCGCGUUAUAGUCUAACUAGCGGACGGCCGCAAAAUAAAGAAAACCUUUCGGUUAAAACCUACUAAUAGAAAAAUUGCGAUCUUUCUAAAUAAACCGAAGGGGUAUCUACUCACAUAUUCCUAACCGCGGGAUGGUGAUCUAACGGUGGAGGGGAAAACAAAAGGGCUCAUCGUUGCUGCAGGGAAGAACUCCGGCGAGUUGCUCCUGGCCGAAGGUGAGGGUGGCGAGGGGAGGCGGUUCCGGUGGCCGAAAGGGGCGGCGGGGUGGUCCAGGCGGCACAGGAGGGUCGUCGGCGUCCUGUGGUCGUGUCAGAAGGCGCUAGGGGGCGACGGAGGGCGCCGCAGGGGCUCCAGGAGCUUCGGUCGAAGGGAGCUCCGACGAGGUGGCUAGUGGCAGCGUGAGGCGGGGGUCUUGAGGGGAACGGAGUGCGGAGGGGUCAGGUACUUAUAUAAGGUCCUCGGGGCUACGGGAGGGAAGGGGAACGGCGAGAUCGGGCACGGGAUCCGGCGAGGUAGCUUCGUGGAAGGAGCUCGUGUGCACAGAAGGAAAGAAAUGGGAGGUAGGGGGAAGAGAUAUCGGGCCGGAUCCGUUUCCACAUCGGGCCCAGGUUGGUUUCCUAAAUAAAAUGAUUCGGUUUCCUAAUAAUUAAAACAGGAAAGAAAACUAUGAAAAGGAAUUAAAUCUUUUUACUAAAAUAUAAGUAUUAUAUAUCAAAAUGAUCAGACAAAUAUUUCCCACCACGUGGACAUUUUCUUUUUCACAAAAUAAAAACUAAAAAAUUAUUUAAAAAAAAUAAAAAUCCAAAUUUUGCCUUUAAAAUUUUUGGCACUCUUUUUCUACUGAUUUUUUUUGGGGGGUGUCAUGUCACCUCCUCUCUUUCUUGCUUGGCAAGUAUUUUGUCUGGAAAAUUUUAUGGGUGAAAUUUCUUGUCCCAAAAUAAAAAUUCAGAAUCGAAAACCGAAAGGAAUUCAAAUGCCACAUUCAUUCCAAUAAAACACAUAGAUGCUUAGCUACAAUUGUAAAACAUUCCAGAUUGAAAAUUUGGGAUGUUAGAGGUGCCCUUGAAGGCAGCAACCGAACCUUUACAAACAAGGUUGGGGCUAUCUCCACACAAAGCUUGGAGGCUCCCAACAAGACCACGAAGCUUCACCACAAUGGAAUGUGGCUCCGAGGUGACCUCAACUGUCUAGGGUGCUCAAACACCCAAGAGUAACAAGAUCCGCAAGGGAUUAGUAGGGGGAAUCAAAUAUAUCUUGGUGGAAGUGUAGAUCAAAGCCUUCUCGAGCAAUCCCUAGGAAAUCAACAAGUUUGAUUGGCUAGGGAGAGAGAUCGGGCAAGAAUGAGCUUUGGAGCAACAAUGGAGCUUGGGGAGGUAAGAGGUAAACUUCUCAGGGAAGAAGACACCUAUAUAUAGUGGGGGGCACAAUCCAACCGUUACCCACCCACCAACUGCACUAGCCAAGCGGUACUACCACUCUAGGAGCGGUACUACCGCUGCUAGGAGCGGUACUACCGCUCCUAAGAGCGGUACUACCGCCAGACAGCUCACCAACCACAUUAGUAAGAAAAUACUACCGUGCCUACCACUGUGGGGGAAAAGGAUGCGCAAAAAUUACGACGGGGCAGUAGUAAAAAACUACUACUGCCCCGAGGGCAGUAGUACCGCUCAUGGAGCGGUAGUAAAAAAUUACUACCGCUCGCCCUUUUGCACAUGCAUGAAAAACAAGGUUGGAGCUCCAUUGUAGCAAGGGAAAGGUGGUGCGCUAAAAAUGUGUACGUGAUGAUUCCACCCAAACCUUUCUGACGCGGACCCCUCUUAAUAGUACGGCUUUCCUAUGACUCAAAUCCACCAAAGAGAAAUGUAGAAAACAAACGUCUUCGAAAGACUCCGAGGGGCAUCGAAUAGUCUUGUGCCUAGUCAUGAAUUAUCUGAAAUGCUCAAUGCACACGAUUAGUCCGCACAGACAUUGUCAUCAAUCACUAAAACCACUUAGGGAGAAAUAUGCCCUAACAUGUCUUUCAAAAAAGAUCCAUUAAUAAGGUUGAUCAAGUCUUAUUAAUAACCAUUUCCGAUUAACAUGAAACCAAAGAAUUUCUGUACAUCACUAUGUUACCUCAAUGAGGAUUUGGAUCUCCCUAACAAUAAUAUUAUAGUAUUUCUUUUUCUUAGCAGUAGGUAGAGGGAUUGUAAAAUCUCCAAUGAAGACCAUGGGAAUAGGCUCAAUGAGAUUAGUAUUGUUAACCAAAGUUUGCUUCUUCGGACAAUGAACAGUAUGUUGCUUGCCAUUAACAUGAAAAGUGACCUUGCUUUUGUUGCAAUCAAUAACAGCCCCUGCAUUAUUUAGAAAGGGUCUACCAAGGAUGAUCGACAUAUUGUCUUCCUCGAGCAUGUCAAGAAUAACAAAAUUUGUUAAGAUAGUAACAUUUGCAACCACAAUGGGGAUGUCCUCGCAAAAUCCAAAAGGUAAAGUAGUGGAUUUAUCAGCCAUUUGCAAAGAUAUCUCAGUGGGUGUAAGCUUAUCCAAUUCAAGUCUUCUAUAAAGGGAGAAAGGCAUAACAGUAACACCGACACCUAAAUCACAUAAAGCAGUUUUAACAUAAUUUCUUUUAAUAGAGCAAGGUAUUGUGGGUAUACCCGGAUCUCCCAACUUCUUAGGUAUUCCACCAUCAAAAUAGUAAUUAGAAAGCAUAGUAGCAAUUUCAGUUUUGGGUAUCUUCCUUUUAUUGGUAAUAAUAUCCUUCAUGUACUUAGCAUACGAAGGCAUUUUCAAUAUAUCAGUCAAGCGAGUGCGCAAAAAGACGGGUCUAACCAUUUUAGGAAAGCAUUCAAAAUCUUCAUUGUCCCUACUUUUAUAAGGUUGUUGAGGGAAUGUCAUUGGUUUUUGAACCCAUGGUUGUCUUACCCUUCCAUGUUUUCUAGCAACAAAGUCUCUCUUAUCAUAAUGUUUAUUUUUAGGAGGUUGUUAUCAAGACCCUCAGCAGGUUCUAUCUCAACAUCAUUAUUAGGUUCCUUAUUACUACCUGGUGGAUCUUCUACAUGAACAUCCUUAUUAUUGGUAUCAUUAUCAUUAAGUUCAUGUUCACUACCAGAUUGUGUCUCACCAUCAAAAAUGGAAUCAUCAUUAUGAUUCUCAGAAGGUUUUUCGAUAUCAGGUUCACUAGAGGCAUGCAAAGUCCAGUCAUUUUUCUUUUUCUUUUUAUUACUAGUGGGACUAGGUGUAUCAUCAUUAAUUUUCUGUGAAUCUUGUUCUAUUCUUUUAGGGUGACCUUCUGGGUAAAGAGGUUCCUCAGUAAUUAUACCUCCUGUAGUCAUUACUCUAACAGCAUGAUCAUUAAUAUUAUUCAUUUCAGCAAGCAAAGAUUUUGUGACUUAGCUACUUCAUCUAGUUGGGUGUGAACCAUAGAAGAAUGUUUACCUAGACCUUUCACAUCAUUAGCAAUUCUAAACAUCAAGUCACUUAAGCGGUCUAUCAUCAUGGCAUUAUUCUUCAAUUGAUCCUUAACAUAGUUAUUGAAGUGUUCUUGUUUAACAAUUUAAUUAUAAAAUUCAUCCAUGCUUUUAUCAAGAGACUUAGCAUAAGGUAUAUCAUUUACAAUAAAGGAACAGAGAGAGUUUACCUCUACUACCUGUGUCGGGGUAUCAAGUCCAUGUAUUUCUUCAAUAGGUGGUAAUUUCUUUACAUCCUCAAGUUUAAUACCUUUCUCUUUCAUAGAUCUUUUUGCUUCUUGCAUAUCUUCAGGGCUAAGGAAUAGAAUACCUCUCUUCUUUUUAGUAGAUUGUUGUGGUGGUUCAGGAAGUGUCCAUUCAUCGGCAUUUUGCAAUAUAUUAUUUAGUAACUCUUCUGCUUGUGCAAGGAUUCUUUCCCUAAAAACACAACCAACACAAAUAUCUAGGAAAUUCCUAGAACCAUUUGUUAGUCCAGUAUAAAAGAUAUCAAGAAUUUCAUUCUUCUCAAGAGAACAAGCACGCAAAGCUAUAAGUAGCUGGAGAAGCCUCCCCCAAGCUUGAGGUAUAUUCUCUUCUUUAAUUUGCACAAAGUUAAAUACUUCCUGUAAAGCGGCUUCUUUCUUAUGAGGAGGAAAAUAUUUUUCAGAGGAGUAAUAAAGCAUAUCUUGGGGACUACGCAUACAACCAGGAGCAAUAGAAAGGAACCAUUCCCUAGCCUCGCCUUUCAGCAAGAAAGGAAAAAAGCUUGAGGAUAUAAUAGUAGUGUAUCUCUUCAUCAUUGGUAAACAAGGCAGCAAUAUCAUUCAGUUUCAUAAGGUGUUCAACCACAGUUUCAUUUUCAUAUCCAUGGAAAGGAUCAAACUCUACUAUAUCAAAUUAGUUCAUGGUAUAUAGCAAAUUCAUAGUCUUUAUCCGUGACAAAUAUAGGAGAAGUAGCAAAUUUAGGAUCAUGUUACAUUUUCUCCCUUAUCGAUUUUUCUUUUAGUUUGUAUAGUAAUCUCUUCACAUCAUAUUUAUUUCACAAGCAAGAAAAUCCCUAGCUACCUCACCAUCCAUAAAAUAACCUUCGGAUACAUAAGGAAAUUCAUAUAUAUUAGGAGGAUGAGGUGUAAUAGGCGAUUGAAAGUUUCCAUCUGUUUCAGCAUUUUCAAGUUCGCUAGCUCUAGCAAUAUGAGCAUCAAGUAAUUCACUCAGUGGCACAGUUUUAGUUUCAAUAUGUGUAGAAAUAGUAUCAUGAUUAAUUUCAGAAGUAGCAUCAGCAAGUUCAUGUGACAUAUCACGACGAUCAACAACUGGUGGUGUAACAAGCUGAUUCAAAAUAGUAGGUGAAUCAAAAAUGGAGCUAGAUGGCACUUCCUUAUCUCCUCUCAUGCGAGAAGGGACGAUCUUAGUUCGAUUAUCUUUCAGAUUCUUCAUAGUGGGAAUUGGAUAUCCUCAAGUCAACACAAUAAAGCUAGCUAUGCUCCCGGGCAACGGUGCCAGAAAAAGGUCUUGACCACAAGUAUAGGGGAUCACGACGGCAUUCACGGGUAGCAUUUCAUCCUAAUUUAUUUAUUCGACACAGGGGGAGCCAAAGAAUAUUUAUUAACCAUAACAGUUGAGUUUUCAAUUCAUCCACACGUGGGAUAUCUCUUUGCAGCAAGGAUUUAGUAGCACAACAAAUGAUAAUAGUAACAGUAACAGUGAUAGCCGCAAUUUGGUAACGGUAGUAGUAGUAGCAAUUGAGUAGCAGGUGUGACACUAGCAGCAAAAGUAGUAACUUAGCAAGAUUGAGUAUAUGUAAAUCAUAGGCACAUGGAUUAGUGAUGGAUAAUGAUUUAGAUGACAUUGAUCAUGUAACAGUUACACACUAGGGCGAUACAGAACUAGCUCCAAAUCAUCAAUAUAAGUAGGCAUGAAUUUCGUAUAUAGUCAUACGUGCUUGCAAUAAGAACUUGCAUGCCAUGUUUUGUCCUACCCUUCCGUGGUGGCGGGGUCCUAUUGGAAACUAUGGGAUAUUAAGGCCUCCUUUUAAUAGAGAAUAUGAACAAAACAUUAACACAUGGUGAAUACAUGAACUCCUCAAACUACGACAAUCACCGGAAAGAAUCCCAAUUAUUGCCGCCUUGGGGUAUGCGGAUCAAGACACGUAAUAAGUAACUACAACUUGCAAGAUAGGAUCUAAAUCACUCUUAUAUUCAUGAAAACAUAAUAGGCUCAGAUCUAAAAUCAUGGCACUCGGGUCCUAGUGAUAAGCAUUAAGCAUAGCAAAGUCAUAGUAACAUCAAUCUCAGAACAUAGUGGAUACUAGGGAUCAAGCCCUAUCAAACUUGACACGAUUACAUGAUCUAUCUCAUCCAAUCCCACCACCGUCCAGCAAGCCUACAAAGGAAUUACUCACUCCCGGUGGUGAGCAUCAUGGUGGUGUUGCUGGAGAAGGGUUGGUGAUGACGACGGAAAUGAAUCCCCCUCUCCGGAGCCCCAAACGGACUCUAGAUCAGCCUUGAUACGUCUCCAACGUAAUGAUAAUUUAUGAAGUAUUAAUGCCAUGUUUGCCUAUGUUUGCAAUACUUUUAUAUGGUUUUGCUGCACUUUAUAUGAAUUAUUUGUAACUAACCCGAACUGACGCUAUUUUCAGCAGAACUACCGUGGUGUUGUUUUUGUGCAGAAAUAAAAGUUCUCGGAAUUGGACAAAAAAAUUGAUGAUUUUUUGGAGGAAAAGAGAAAUAUUGGAGCAAAGAACCACCAGAGGGGGUCCGUGAUACCCACUAGACACCGGGUCGCACCAGGCCCCCCAAGCGCGCCAUGAUGUCUAGUGGGCACCUCAUGGCCCAUCUUGGCGUGCUUCCAACGCCCAAAAAUCCUAUAAAUGUACAAACCUCCAGAAAUAACCCUAGACGAGAAGCUCUGCACCCGCAGGUCUCUGAAUCCACGAAAAACCAAUCUGGAGAUGUUCGAGUACCCUGCCGGAGAGGGAAAAUCAUCUCCGGUUACCAUCUUCAUCAUCCCGGUGGCCACCAUGACAAGGAGGGAGUAGUCCACCCUCGGGGCUGAGGGUUUGUACCAGUAGCUAUGUGUUUAAUCUCACUCUCUCUCUCUCGUGUUCUUCAGAUGUCAUGAUCUUGAUAUAUCACGGGCCUGGUUAAUAUAGUUGGAUCAUAUGGUAUUUGUCCCAUGCUACUAUUAUGAUGAAUUGAAUCUUUCACUUUAAGAUCUCGUUAUGUUGGAUUGAAUAUUCAGGUUUGAGAGCACAUAAUAUAUGUCUUGCAUGCGGAUACCCUAGUGACAUUGGGGUAUUCAAGUGAUUCACUUGAUAUAUGUUGUGGCAUUAACUCGCGGAUUCCCGAGGUGACAAUGGGGUAAUCUAGGCAUAGGGGUUGAUUGCACGUUUUCAUACUAUGAUUCUCCAAUAGAAGUCUUGUGUGCUCAUUGAAGUUCUUUUUGUUGGAUUGAGUAUUAUGAAUCUGAAUUUGUUAUAGUGUUAUUUUAGUACAAACUCUUGAUAGAUCGAUCGGAAAGGAUAACUUGUUAUCUUAGUAGGAACUCGUGGAAAGAUUGAUCGAAAACAAUAACUUUGAGGUCGUUUCGUACCCUACAAACAAUUUCUUAUUAUGUUCUCCACUAGAUAGAAACUUUGGAGUGAUUCUUUAUUGCACGUUGAGGGAUUGUUAUAUGAUCUAACUAUGUUAGCAUUAUUGAGAGAUUGCACUAGCGAAAGUACGGACCCUAGGCCUCAUUUUCGAGCAUUUCAAUACUAUUUAUGCUCACUUUUGUUACUUGUUACCUUGUUGUUUUUAUAUUUUCAGAUUACAAAAACUAUAUAUACUAUCAUAUCUACACUUGUAUCAACAUCUCUUCACCGAACUAGUGCACGUGUACAAAUUACCAUUGUAUUUGGUGUGUUGUGAACACAAGAGACUUUUUAUUAUUUGGUUGCAGGGUUUUUUGAGAGAGACCAUCUUCAUCCUACUUCUCCCAUGGAUUGAUAAAUCUUAGGUCAUCCACUUGAGAUAGAUUUGCUAAUGUCCUACAAAACUAUGCGCUUAGAGGCCCAACAUAGUCUACAAGAAUAAAGUUGUGUAGUAGACAUCAAGCUCUUUUCUUGCUGAUACAUCUCCAACGUAUCGAUAAUUAAUGAAGUAUUCAUGCCAUAUUCACCUAUGUUUACAAUAAUUUUAUAUGGUUUUGAUGCACUUUGCAUGAUUUAUUUAGAACUAACCUGGAGUGACGCUGUUUUCAGCAGAACUAUCGUGGUGCUGUUUUUUGUGGAGAAAUCAAAGUUCUCCAAAUGCAACGAAACUUUUUGACAUUUUUUUGGGAAUAGAAGAGGCACUAGAAGCUUCGUUGGAGGCCCAGAAGAGCCACGAGGUGGGCACAAGCCACCAGGGCGCGCUAGAGGCCCCAGGCGCGCCCUGGUGUCUUGUUCUCUCCUCGUGGCACAUCUUCGCGUAAAAUCGACGCCCAAAAAUCAUAUAAGUAUAGAAACCUCCAGAAAUAACCCUAGACGAGAAGUUCCACUGCCGCAAGGUCUCUGUAUCCAUGAAAAACUAAUCUGGAGACGUUCCAGUACCGUGCCGAAGAGGGAAAAUCAUCUCCGGUGGCCAUCUUCAUCAUCCCGGUGGCCACCAUGAUGAGGAGGGAGUAGUUCACCCUCAGGGCUCGGGGUUUGUACCACUAGUUAUGUGUUUAAUAUUUCUCUCGUGUUCUUGAGAUUUCAUGAUAUUGAUAUAUCACGGGCCUUGUUAAUAUAGUUGGAUCAUAUGGUAUUUUUCCCAUGCUAUUAUUGUGAUGAAUUGAAUCUUUCACUUUAAGAUCUCGUUAUGAUUGGAUUGGAUAUUCAGGUUUGAGAGCACAUAAUAUUGUCUUGCAUGCGCAUACCCAUAGUGGCAUUGGGGUAUUCAAGUGAUUCACUUGAUAUAUGUUGGGGCAUCAACUCGGGGAUUCUCGAGGUGACAAUGGGGUAAUCUAGGCAUAGGGGUUGAUUGCAUGUUUUCAUACUAUGAUUCUCCAAUAUAAAUCUUGGUGUGCUCCUUGAAGUUCUAUGUGUUGGAUUGAGUAUUAUGAAUUUGAAUUUGUUAUCGUGUUAUUUUAGUACGAACUCUUGAUAGAUCGAUCAGAAAGGAUAACUUGUUAUCUUAGUAUGAACUCUUGGAAAGACUAAUCGGAAAGAAUAACUUUGAGGUGGUUUCGUACCCUACAAAAAAAUCUUCUUAUGUUCUCCGCUAGAUAGGAACUUUGGAGUGAUUCUUUAUCGCACGUCGAGGGAUUGUUAUAUGAUCUAACUAUGUUAGCAUUGUUGAGAGAUUGCAUUAGCAAAAGUACGGACACUAGGCCUCAUUUUCAAGCAUUGCAAUACCGUUUAUGCUCACUUUUGUUAAUUGCUACCUUGUUGUUUUUAUAUUUUCAGAUUACAAAUAACUAUAUCUACUAUCAUUACUACACUUGUAUCACCAUCUCUUUGCCAAACUAGUGCAACUAUACAAAUUACCAUUUUAUUUGGUGUGUUGGGGAUACAAGAGACUUUUGAUUAUUUUGUUACAGGAUUGCUUGACAAAGACCAUCUUAAUCCUACGCCUCCCACAGAUUGAUAAACCUUAGGUUAUCCACUUGAGGGAAAAUUGCUACUGUCCAACAAAACUCUGCGCUUGGAGGCCCAACACGAGUCUACAAGAACAAGUUGUGUAGUACACAUCAAGCCCUCUGGAGGAAGAACAGGAGGUGGCGGCGGCUCCAUCUCGUGAAACGUUGUUAAAACUUCUGUCUGAUUUUGUUCUCCAAAGAUGUGAUUUUAUAGGACUGCAAUUAGGGUCGGAGCAGCCAUGUGGAACCCAUAAGCCAUCAAGCCGUGGCAUGGGGGGCGCACUGUGUUAGCUUGUGCGCCCUUGGCAGCGUUUCUCCAACAGGUCUUUGCUCCAUAAUUCACCAUAAAUCCUAGAAAUAAUUCACAAAAAGUUCCAUUCAAUUCCGAGAACUUUUAUUUAUGCACAAAAAUAACACCAAGUUAGUUGCGGUGAAAACAACGUUAGUGUGGGUUAGUUUCAUUCAAAUCAUGCAAAUUAUAGGUCAAUACGAGAGCAAAAUUGUUUGGAAAAGUAUAUAUGUUGCAGACAUAUCAACUCCCCCAAGCUUAACUCAUUGCUUGUCCUCAAGCAGUUAAGUUGAUAAACUGAAAGUGGUAAAUAAAACUUAUACAAACUAUUUUGUUCUUAUCGUUAUACAUAUGCUUAGCUAGUUUUCAAGUUUUCAGCAUAAAUCAUAAGUAACCACAUCCAUGAUAACAAUUAAGCAUCAUAUUCAAUCAUGGCAAUACAAAACCAACUAGCAAGCAAUAAUAAGAUAUCUCACAUGCCAACUAUUUGUCAAGGCAAUCACGAUAUAAUAUGGUGACAUGGUAUCAUGCUAGCCCUUUCUGAGACUGCAAAACAUAAUUGCAGAGCACCUCUGAGAUUCAAGUAGAGACUAAAUAUUAUAAUUCGGAAUAGUGAAGAUCCUGGUUAUAUUCCUAACCAACAUUGACUAGAAUCAAUGCAUAAAAAUGACAAUACUGCUCUCCGGUCUCGUGUUGUAGGUAAGAAGGUGAUGACCCAACAUAAAAAUAAAGAGAUAGGCCAUUUUCGAAGGGAAGCAUUGAUUUGCAGAAGUGCCAGAGCUCAAGUUAUAAUUCAGAGUAGGGGAGAUCCGAGAUUAUUUCUGGACCAAAAAACACCAACAAGCAUCACAGGAACGCUGGGGGCCACACAAGGGCCCCACAAACCAACCCGGCGCGGCCUGGGGGGUUGUUCGCUUAUGGGCCCCUCGAAUCCCUCCCGGCUCCAUUCUUUGGCUUAUAAAUUCUCAGAUACCCUAAAAACCCCGGAAGCAGUCCCGAAACACUUUUUUACGCACACGCAAGUCUCUGUUCCGACGGGAGGCCAUCUCGAGCUUCGUUUUGGCACCCUGUCGAAGGGGGAAUCAAUCACAAAGGGCCUCUUCAUCAACCUUGCUGAAGUCAUGAUGAUGUGUUAGUAGUUCAUCAUAAACCUACGGGUCCAUAGCCAGUACUUAGAUGGCAAUCUCUCUUUCUUUUGAUCUUCAAUACAAUGAUCAUCGCAUCUUCGCUUUGAUCCACAUGAUGUAAUUCCUUUUGUGCGGUGCAUUUGUUGGGAUUCAACGAAUUGUGGAUUUAUGUUCAUAUUAUUCAUGAUAAAUAUUUGAGUCUUAUUUGAAUACUUAUAUGAUUCUUAUGUGCAUGAUUAUGAUAGCUUUGUAAUUCUCUCUGAUCUAUUCAAAUAGUUUGGCCAACUAGAUUGAUAUUUCUUCGGUGAGAGAGGUGCGUUGUAGUAGGUUCAAUUUGGCGAAUUUCUAUAUCUCAUUGACAGAAGGGGGCAAGAUGUGUCUUUGUGUUGCUGCUAGUAAGGACAAAACAAUGGGGUUUAUUCAUAUUGCUUGAGUUUACUUUGUCUACAUCACGUCAUUUUUCUCCAUGCAUUGUUAUGUUUUACUUAAUACUCUAGAUGCAUGGUGGAUAGCGAUCGAUGAGUGGAGUAAUAGUAAUAGGUUCAUGCAGGAGUCGACCUAUUUGUUUAUGGACGUGAUGCAUAUAUACACAUGAUCAUUGUCGUCAAUAUCGCGUAACUAUCCGCUUUUCUGUCAAUUGUCCAACAGUAAUUUAUUUACCCACCAUAUGUUAUUUUUCACGAGAGAUGCCAUUAGGGAAAACUAUGGCCCCCGGGUCUAUUCACAACAUACCUGCAAAACCUUCAAUACAUUACUACCAUUUACUUCUUUUCAUUUUAUCUUGUUAUCUACACACCUUAAUCGCUUGCAUAUAGGGGAUUGACAACCCUCUUGCCCAUGUUGCGUGCAAGUUGUUUGUUAUUUUGUGUGAAGCCACUGAGGAUGGUUGUGGUUGAUAUUCCUAUUGGUCUGAUAAACCUUGGUUUCAUAACUGAGGUAAAUAAUUACCCACAUUGUGUUGCGAUAACCCGUUCGUCUUCACGGAAAACCCAACACAGAUCACAAGUAUCAGUUGCUUCUCCAUGGACCCUUUUUGAGUUGAGCCCUCCAUGGAAUCGCGCGGCCGUUACCCUCUGUGGGUUCAAGUCUCCAUCAAUGUGGAUGUAUGAUAGCACCACAUAUCGGAACCAUGCCAAAAAUCACCAUGUCAAUCUUUGUGUUUGAUCUUCCUAAACUCUACUCCUUACUUUGCAUGUGCGUGUCUUUACUUUCCGCUGCUAUACUCGUAGACUUGCAUGUGUAGGGUGUGUUUGACUUGCUAUAAAUUCUAAAAUUUUCCAACAACUCAAAUUUGGAAAGGCUAGUUUUAAUUUGUCAAAUAGUCUAUUCACCCCCCCCCCCCUCUAGACAUCCCUUCUAGUGAUCCCACAAUUGGUAUCAGAGCUUUGGUCUCCAUAGCCUUGGUUUAAUCACCAUUGGAGGAAGAUGGAUGUGUCUACUUUGGGGAAUCUUAGUUGUAGAGUGCCCAUUCUCAAUGGGGAGAACUAUAGUCGAUGGAAAGGUGAAAUGUUUGAUAUACUUGAUGAAUUCCAUCUAAGCAAAUAUGUUGAAAAUCUCUAUGUGCCUCCCGUUGAUUCCUUGCAUCCUUCUCAUGAUGAAGAAGUUAAUAUGUUUUGCAAUCUUAAAAUUGUUAAUCUUAUCAUUAGAGGAUUGCCAAUAAUUGUGCUUAAUCAAAUGAAGAACUUUGAGUUUGCUUAUACUUUGUGGAAAGAUUUGGAGAAAAGAUAUCCUGACAACUCCUUGAAAAAUCUUGAUGUCAUUUUCCAAAAAUCUAUUGUCUUUCACAAUAUGAAGCCAAAUGAUCCAAACUUUGAUAAUCAUCUAUUUGAGCUUCAUGACCUCAUGUGUGCUAAAGGAGAUGUCAUUACCGUCAAUGACAUCAUUGUUGAAGCCAUUCAUAUUCAUAAACUUGAACAUUGUUAUGGUAAAAAUUCUAACAAAUAUCUUGAUUCUUGUGACGAGGAUAUUCCAUUUAACUAUGACAAUGUGGAGCAUGGCUACUACGAUGAAGAUGAGAAGUUUGACAUCGAAUAUGAGAAGACCAUGAGGAGACUAAGUCCUAUGGCAAGCCCCAAGAGACUACAUGGCCGGAGGAAAGCAGUGGAUUCUCGACAGUGGAUGCAUCGAUCACAUGACCGGGGAUAGAGACAUGUUUCAAGAGAUCACACCACACCAUGGACCAUGAAGGUAUGUGAUUUUUGGAGACAACUCCAAGAGUAAGGCACUAGGUCUUCGUAAGGUGGCCGUAUCUCAUGAUAGUUCCAUUCAAAAUGUCAUGCUUGUUGAAUCCCUUGGCUACAACCUUCUUUCCGUAUCUAGACUAGCGUACUUUGGUUUCAAUGUGCUAUUUACGAAAGUUGAUUGCCAGGUGUUUCGUCAAGACAAUCAUAACAUGGUCUUUAUUGGUUUUCGUAGAGGUGAUCUAUACAUUGUUGAUUUCGCUAAAAAAACCUCGUACAUGUCGUAUUGCAAAAUCUUCUAAAGGUUGGUUAUGGCAUAGAAGACCAGGACAUGUUGGAAUGCGUAAUCUAGAUAGGCUUAUCAAAGGUGAUCAUAUCUUGGUGUUAAAGAUGUUAUCUUUGAUAAAGAUAGACUUAGUAGCGCUUGUCAAGCAGGAAAACAAGUCGAUGGAAGUCAUCCCGUGAAGAACAUCAUGAUUACCAGAAGUCCACUCGAGCUGCUUCACAUGGAACUCUUUGGUUCCAAUGCUUACCAGAGCCUUGGUGGAAAUUAUUUUGGUCUAGUUAUUGUUGAUGAUUUUUCCAGAUUUAUGUGGGUAUUCUUUCUUGAUGACAAGUCGCGGGUAUAAAAGAUCUUCAAGAACUUCGCUCAAAAAGCCCAAAAUCAGUUUGAAGUGAAGAUCCCUAAAGUUCGGAGCGACAACACAUCAGAGUUCAAGAACACAAAUGUGGAUACUUUUCUUGAAGAAGAGGGUAUGUCACAUGAGUUCUCGGCGAUGUACACACCUCAACAAAUGGAGUUGUUGAGAGGAAGAACUGGACUCUCAUAGACAUGGCUAUAACGGUGCUUGACGAAUACAAGACAUCGAGACACUUCUGGGAAGAAGCCAUGGAAACACCUUGUCAUGCCACAAACCGACUCUACCUACACAAGCUUCUUGGUAAAACGGAAGACGAGCUACUCACCGGUAACAAACCCCAAGUUGGAUACUUUCGGGUAUUCGGCUCAAAGUGCUACAUUCUUGAUAAGCAUUGUCUUUCUAAAUUUUCUCUAAAUCUCAUGAAGGUUUCCUACUUGGUUAUGAUCAAACUCUCACACUUACCGUGUCUACAACAACUUCACUCAAAAAGUUGAAGAUGCAGUAGAUGUGAAAUUUGAUGAAUCUAAUGGUUCGCAAUUUAAAUAAUUGCCAAAUGAUGUAGGGGAUAAGGAACCUUCAGAAGUCAUUCAAGACCUGUCCAUUGGCAAGAUUCGUCCCAAGGAGGUGCAGGAAAGUACUUCAUCAACACAUGUGGAAGCUCCUACUUCGCAUCAAGGCGAAGCACAAAUCGACAUGGAGGUAUCCACAAGCGAUACACGACAAGAUGAAGUGGAGGAAGAAGUACAUCGUGAUGAUCCACCUCAACCUUCUUCGCCGCCACCUCAAGGAGAUGACACCAUUAAUGACAACGAAGACGAAUAUGAAGAUGAUGAGGAGGAGGCUCCACCACCCAACAAGCAAAGGUUGUCACGAGUUUGAGCACGAGUGAACAAUAAUCAUCCACUAGAUCAAAUCUUCGGUGACAUAAAAAAUGUGAGAAUCACUCGCUCUAAAACUCGUUUGGCUAACUUUUGUGAGCAAUACUCAUUUAUCUAUAGCAUUGAGCCUAUGAAGGUAGAAGAAGCACAUCAAGACCCGGAUUGGGUGAAUGUCAUGCACGAAGAGCUACACGACUUCGAGAGGAAUGAAGUUUGGACACUCGUGGAGAAACCCAAGGACGAGCACAACAUCAUUGGUACAAAAUGGGUAUUUAGGAACAAGCAAGAUGAAGAUUUCCAGGCGGUACGUAACAAGGCACGUCUCGUAGCUCAAGGUUGCACGCAAGUCAAAGGUAUGGACUAUGGUGAGACAUAUGCCCUCGUUGCUAGACUUGAAGCCGUUUGUAUUCUUCUCGCUUAUGCCAAUCACCAUGAUAUUACUCUUUACCAAAUGGAUAUCAAAAGUGCUUUUCUAAAUGGUGAAAUUGAGGAGGAAUUUUAUGUCAAACAACCUCCCGGUUUUGUGAACUCUAAGAAACCUAAUCAUGUUUAUAAAAUUCAUAAAACUUUAUAUGCUCUUAAACAAGCCCCUCGAUCUUGGUACAAAUGCCUAACAAAGUUUCUUAUUGAAAAGGGUUUUAAGGUUGGUAAAAUUGAUGCAACCUUAUUCAGUAAAAGAGUUAAUGGCGAGCUAUUCGUGUGCCAAAUUUAUGUGGAUGAUAUUAUCUUUGAAUCUACUAACCCCAUUUUAGUGAGAAGUUUGGAAGGUUGAUUCCAAGAAGUAUGAGAUGUCCAUGAUGUGUGACCUGAAAUUCUUUCUUGGUUUGCAAAUAAAACAAACGAGAGAAGGUAUGUUUAUAUCUCAAACCAAGUACACCAAGUACUUAAUCAAGAAGUUCAGCAUGCAAGAGUGCAAAGCUAUGAAAACUCCUAUACCAACUAGCAGACAUGUGGACCUCACCAAGGAGGACAAGCCGGUUGACCAAAAGAUUUGUCGAUCAAUGAUCGGUUCAUUGCUAUAUCUAUGUGACUCCUGUCCCGAUAUCAUGCUAAGUGUGUGCAUGUGUGCCCAAUAUCAAGCCACACCCAAGGAGUGUCAUCUAAAGGAUGUGAAAAGAAUUGUGAGAUACUUGAUACAUACACCAAACUUUGGCAUAUGGUAUCCCAAGGGAUCUUCUUUUAAUCUUGUUGGCUAUUCCGACUCGGACUUUGCCGGAGACAAGGUUGAUAUAAAAUCCACCUCAGGUACAUGUCAAUUUCUUGGGAGAUCUCUUGUGUCUUGGUCAUCCAAGAAACAAAACUCGAUAUCUCUAUCUACCGCCGAAACAGAAUACAUUGCUGCUAGAUCAUGUUGUGCGCAUUUACUAUGGAUGACGCAAACUCUUAGGGGUUAUGGCAUUCAUGUGAAACAUGUUCCAUUGUUGUGUGACAAUGAAAGUGCUAUUAAAAUUGUUCAUAAUACGUGCAACAUUCUAGAACUAAACAUGUUCAAGUUUGACAUCAUUUUAUCUGUGAUCAUGUUGGUAAAGGAGAUAUUAAUCUCAAGUAUGUUCGUACCGAUAAACAAUUGGCUGAUAUCUUUACCAAGCCACUUGAUGAGAAAGUGCUUCGUCACUUGAGAAGUGAGUUGAACAUCAUUGAUGCUUCAAAUUUGAGAUAGACUCACUCGGAUGCAUGCAAGGGCAUGAGCUUACUUGAUUAUUCCAUGAUGCUAUUGAUAUGACACUAUCUUAUGUCUUGGAAAACUAUGUGCCCUUGUAUUGCAUCUAAACUUUUGUAGGUACUUCGAAGAACUACACUCCACAAGAUUGCCAUCAAAUCACAUCGAAAGCAAUCUUGUUAUGGCCAAGUAUCAACCCUUUCUUCAACGAUGAAGGAAGAAGAAAACAAAAUCAUAUCCUUGACAACUAUUUAUGAAUAAAUUCACCCUUGUCAUUUGGGUAUGUUAUGUUCUUCCUUGAAUUACUAACCUAUGUAGGAGAAAAGUGAACCGAAACAACAAGGAUUGCUCCCAACUCAAGAUGAUCUUCAUCAACAUUGAGCAUCCACAAACAAGUUCACCUACAUGCCACAUCAUCAACAUCAUUCGAAGGUAUGUUCUCAUAUCCUUGACAAAGCUUUACACCAAUACAUGAGGUAAAGCAACUCAAGUGAUAUGAAGACAUUAAAAUGCUUAACAAAAAAUGGUAACCCCAAUUUGAGCUUAACAAUGAGUACCUAUGAUCAAGCAUUCUUGCUUGGCUCCGUAAGUCAAUAUAUACUCUAAUAUAGGUGACCUAGUCACAGACCAACAUCUAGAUGAAGUUGCUUGCAUGGCUCAUAUUUUGUUGCAUGCUUUCUUGGAACCAUUCAAUUCUCAUCUAAUUGUGAAAAUUCUUUGCAAAUAUUUCAAAAAUUCCGUGAAAAUCACUUGAAUACUUUCUGAGAGCUUUGGCCAAAAUAUAUGAGAAUUUCUUUAAAAAUGGCCAGGAAGGAAUUACGUUCGUUUUGAAGUGAUCCCAUAUUUUCAAGUAGCUAAGAUUCUAUUUGCAACUUGGUCUCUCUGAAUCGGGAAAAUUGGUCAUACCAACUUCUCCCACAGGCCCAAGUUCAUUCACGGUUCUACCGAAUCACUUUGCCUCGGAGACUCUGAAUUUUGAUGCUACAAAGUUCUCAAAAUUUCAAAGUGGUAGAAACAUAUAGAAUCCCUACUGAAAGGGGGAUAAUUUCAAGGAACCCUUACCUACUGAAAGGGGGGCGAAAUUUCAAGGAACCCUUACCUACUGAAAGGGGGAAAAUUUGAAGGAACCCUUGUGUAUACUCAAGGGGGAGAAGAAUCAAGGAACCCUUAGCAAAGAAAGAAGAAUCCAGGAUCCCUUACUCUCAAGGAACCCUUACCCUAUGACCUUUUUUGGAAAUUAAUGCCAAAGGGGGAGAGAGAUAUCAAAGCUUACACUUUCAGGGGGGAAAUAUCAUUAAGGGGGAUAGAUAUCAAAGGAGGAGAAAUCCUUAAGGGGAGAGAUAUCAAAGUGUUAUUUAAGCUUAUGCUUACCCAAAGGAGGAGAAAUACAAGAAGGCAAAUAAACCUGUAGUUUGGGUACUUCUUAUAUUGGACCUGUCUCACCCUACCUACUUCCAAUAUCUACAUGCUAUGAUCUAGGGGGAGGACAUCCUACAUAUUCAUACUUAGGGGGGGAGUUCUAAAUAUUCGUGGAGACAUAUCUAUCAUCAAAUCCUACUUUCAGUAUGUCUUCCAUUCUUGGUACUAUUGAAGCUCUUUGUAUCUUUACAAUAGAAUACUCAUGUGUUAUCUAACAAUUAUUUUCUCAAGUGUAUUCCUACUGCUAAGAUGCUCAAGAACCUCAAGGUAAGUAUAUGCAUCAUAUCCUUGUUCAGGAUGAUCUCUUGUCUCUUGAACAUAUCGUUUGCAAGAGUGAGUCUUGAACAUGGAAACCUUUCAUUCACAUAUUGUUUGAUGCAUAUAGCCAAGAUUCACAUGACUUGUCGUGUCCCUUCUACCAUGUGUGUGCCCAUGCAGUUCAAAGCAAAUGUAUCUUAAAAGGGAUUGCACACAUUUAGGGGGACCUUGUAUUAGUCAUGUAUCUUUCAAAGUUGUCAUAUUCUAAUGCCUAUCUCUAUUUGAAGCUUUGAUUAUAUGUUGUAAUGAAUUACCAAAAAAGGGGGAGAUUGAAAGCACAUAUGCUCCCUUGGUGGUUUUGAUAAUUCAUGGCAACAUACAUUGUCUCUUGGACUAAUACUUUUACCUAGUAUAUUUCAGACAUAGUCCACAAAGAGAAUUGGCUAAGGAUUGUGAGGAAAAGUCCCAAUGAAGGAAAUGAAUAGGAUUGACCAAGCUUCAAGCUUCAAGACUCUACAUUUUAUAUUUUGUGAGAAAUCACAUUUGAGUCCAUAGGAAAGCCAAUACUAUUAAAAGUGGAUGAGGUGACUAUGAUGAUCUGGUUGCUCAAGUUCUUAGAGUUAGCCACCAAAAAUACUCAUGAAAUUCUCCCACAAAUAUUCUGUCCAAAUCCUAAAUAUCCAAAAUUCGGUGCCACCAACUUUAUCCAUUCGUCCCUAGCAACUUUUACAUCAGACAGAUCCCAUGCCAAACCCUAGAGUCUCGGUACCACCAAGUUCCAUUUCGAUGCAACCAAAUCAGUGCCCCGGCUCUAUUAACCAAUUUCUUAAAAUUGGAAUUUCCAUGUUUUGAGAAUCGGUCCCGUCGAGUUGAGGAAACUAACUAGGCCAGCCAAAAUUGGUACCAUCGAUAUUCAUAUAUCGGUCUCACCGAAAAGACAAAAGUUGCCACAUUUUGCACUAGUCGGUGCCAUCGAGUUUUACUUCGGUUUCACCGAGUUGGGCAAUAAUGUUGUAACGGUUGGAUUUUUGGAGAUGCCUAUAUAUACCCCUCCACCACCUCUCAUUCGCAGAGGAAGCGCUUAGAACAUACAAACACUUGCCCCAUCCAUUUUUCUAAGAGAGAGCCACCUACUCAUGUGUUGAGAUCAAGAUACUCCGUUCCUACCAUAUGAAUCUUGAUUUCUAGCCUCCCCAAGCUUAUUUUCACCCAAUAAAUCUCUUCUACCCAAGCCAAAUCUAUGAGAGUGUGAUUGAGUGUUGAGGAGACUAUCUUUUGAAGCACAAGAGCAAGGAGUUCAUCAUACUACCACAUCUAUUACCUUUUGGAGAGUGGUGUAUCCUAGAUUGGUUAGGUGUCGCUUGGGAGCCGCCUACUUCGUGUUGUGGAGUUGAACCAAAAAGUUUGUACGGGCAAGGAGAUCGCCUACUUCGUGAAGAUCUACCUCGAAUGAGGCUAGUCCUUCGUGGACGUAAGCCGUGAUGGAAUAGACAAGGUUGCUUCUCUGUGGACCCUUCGUGGGUUGAGCCCUCUGUGGACUCACAAAGUCGUUACCCUCCGUGGGUUGAAGUCUCCAUCAACGUGGACGUACGCUAACACCACCUAUCGGAACCACGCCAAAAAUCACCGUGUCAAUCUUUGCAUUUGAUCUUCCUAAACUCUACUCCUUACUUUACAUAUGCAUGUAUUUACUUUCCGCUGGUAUACUCGUAGACUUGCAUGUGUAGGAUGUGUUUGACUUGCUAUAAAUGCUAAAAUCUACCAAGAACUAAAAUUGGAAAAAGGCUAGUUUUAAAUUUGUCAAAUAGUCUAUUCAACCCACCCACCCCCUCUAGACAUCCGUUCUAGUGAUCCCAUGCAUCUCUCAUCGGCGGUUGUAGCAUCUAUUGCAACCGGUUGUAUCACCAGCCGUCGUUCGGAUCCACGACGGUUCUAGCUCGUCCCCAUGUUGGCCCCAGCAGCCUGCGGCCCAUUGCAGCAAAUCAACACGUCUGUCCUGGCUUGUUGCAAUGUUGGUUCAAGCAUGCGGGCAACACGGUUGUAACAUCACCGCUAUCGGUUCGAGCUUGCGGGGGACUUCGGUCACGACAUCUGUGUUGGUUGGUUCCAGCUCGCGGCGAACACGAUCGAAGCAACACCGGGAGGCGGUUGUAGCACCAUAAGGAUAGAUGGUGGCAAAAAAAAAGCUUGUUGUCGGUUGGAGCUCUUGUUGCAACGGUGAUGGAAGCUCACGGCUCUCCGAGGGAGAAGGAUGGCGCCACCGCGCUUGUGCAAUAGCUCUAUAGGAGGUGGCAUGCACGGGAGAAAAGUCGAGUGGGACAGCGAUUCUGUCGGGUGCGCAUGGUGGGAGAGAGAUGACAUAUAAGGAACGAGUGGUUGAGAAGAUAGGGGAGAAGAUAUGGCAAGGAUUGUGGGGAACGUGGGCCCUUACAUACGUGUCACUCAAGGGUAGGAGGACCACUUGCUCGCGUGGCCGUGACCGGACGAGAGUCCAGCCGGUCACCCGGCAGCGAACAUUUUCCUAUUUGAAGGCGGGGUUGGCCUUCUCCCAAUCUAAUCCCCAAUACCGUCACGUCGGCAUCACGCCAUAAAUGGCCACCAGACCACCGCCGAAGCACCACUAGAAUGCUAUCAGAAUCGUCGCCGCUGCCGGAGCAUCAUCAGAGCGCCAUCGAACAAUCGUCAGCUGGCCAUCGCUGGACCAUCGUCGGACGGGUGCCGGUUAUCAUCAGACAGGCACCACCAGAGGAGCAUUGUCGAAUGUAAGGUUGGUUAUUGGGGAUGGGAUGAUUGGUGAUUAUUGGGGAGUUUUUUGGGCAAGCAGGUGAAGAUGCUUUAACAUUGUUAAAGAUUAGGGUGUGUCCGCAGGCGUUGAGUGUGUCCAAUUUGAUGCACGGCAUUAAAGAUGCUCUAAAAUUCCUACAGAUUAGAACGUGUCCAUGGAUGUUUGGUGCGUUUAAUGCAGAGUGUUGGAGUUGCCCUAACAUUCCCGAAGAUAAGAUUAUGCCUUGUUGAAUCCCUAUGGGAACAAUCUCAGUUAGAUAAACUUUACGUGUUGCAGCGUUAGAGCAGCAACCCCAGGUAAAUUAUAUCCCAAAAACGAAUAAGCACCACACAUAAUGGUGCAAGGAAACUCACAAGAUACACAAGACCUAACAAAUAAGCAGCAUACUAUAUAGGCUAACAAAGGGCGCAGCAGAGAGAGGCCCAGAAUGAGCACUCCAUGCAGUGGAGAUAAAAAUAGAUGUGGGGCACAAACAGCGUUGUAACUUAUUAAGCAAGUCAAAACUUCUUAAUGAAUCAACAUCCAUGACUCUCCGACCGUGUCUACAAGCCUAGAGGCUCUUCUGGUUCUUGCAACACAUACACAAACACCACACACACACACUUGGUUUAUGCGGAAACUCAGGACGUAGUUUAAGCAACACCACCCAACUGUCCUUGACCGUGGACACGGCUAUUCGANUCUCUCACUCACUCUCUCUCUCUUACUCUGCUGACGCUGCUAUGCUCUCACCGGAUCAAAACCUUGUUUCCCAUUGGAGGGAGUGGGACGAAGCUCUCUCGCUCUAGCUCACCAACUGCUGGUUGCCGUAGAACGGGUAGGCUCCAUACGCAGGGGCAUACAUGUUGGGGUGCGGGACAGGGGAGGCGUAGCCGUACCCACCAUAGAACGGCGUGCCAUAGUACAUAUUGUUGUUGUUCCUCCUGUUGCCAGAAUCACCCCUAGACUGAAAACAAGACAACAGUGAAUUAGCAUCAUGGAAGAGAGAAUGGAGUACCUUUAAAAGCAAUAGAUUCUACAUACAGAUGACAGAAAUAAAGAGUUCACAAGUAUAUGACGGGUGAUGGCACAGGCAAACCAUCUUAGCUGCACGAAGCACGACCUAGUUUAAAAAUUUCAAGUCCACUAUGUUAUCUACUCCGGACUACUUAUCUUUGAGUCUGGAUGUUUUCAUAAAGGCAUGGCAUUCAGUCAAUAAGCAUCCUCAAAAUGCAUAACCCAAAAAUAAAGAUACAGAUGGGCCACCGAGCACAUUACACAAUCAUGGAAUUGCCCUUUUUGCAUAGCCACACGGCACACAGGGUAUGUAGAACGCAUCACAGGCUGAAUGAUAGGAUAGGAAGCUUGGUUGCUUAGUUGAACCAAACCUAGGUUUGGAAAGUGAGCUCAGCUGAACUAAACAAGGAUUAAACCAGAUAAAGGGUCUGCAUGCUCAAGUUUAUUUAGCAUUAGACUAGAAACAACGAACAAGCAUAAGGCUGCAACGAUACAAAAUAAUCUUGUUGGAAUAAUUGCUAGCAUAUGGGACAAGAAAGCACAGAUCCAUUAAUAGCAGGAACGUUUUAAUUCCAACAUCAACAAGCCACAGUGCUAGUACGCAACAGUCAUAAAUAGAUUAAACAUGGACACAGCAAAGAAGCCUUUCAUGGGAAAGAUCAUAGCAUAUAGGAAAAGAUGAUAUAAUAUAUGAAAAGUAUAUCUUGCAAGGCUGAUUUGUCAUAGCACAUCCAAAUUUACAGUCGUCUAUAGGUUACUACCAAAUUUGUCCGAACUAAAGAGUUUUCAAACAUAGUGUUCAUCAUAUUUUUAACAAGAUUAUUGCUGCAAAGCCACACUAAUACUACAGCAAGGAACGAUCAAAGAAAACAGUUAUGAAGCACAUGGCCAACCUGUUUAUGUGAUGGGCUGCGGCCCCACGAAAGGCGAACUGCCUGCUUUCCAAUGACAGCCCCAUUCAACCCUUGAAGUGCUUCUUCUGCGUCAGUUCUAAAAACAGUGGCACAAAUAGAAGUAUUAGCUUGUAAGUUACAUAGAAAUAACCAGUAAAACACAUAACAGCUUCAGAAACGUGCCUGUUGACAUACUGAACAAAGCCACACUGCUUCCCUAGAGGAAUUUUCACAGAGGCAACAUCACCAUAUUUGGCAAAUGAUUUCCUCAGCUCGUCUUCACUAACAUUUUGGUCGAGCCCACCAACAUAUACCUAAAGCAGGUUGAGAAUUUCAGAUUAGAAACUAUGAAGCUACAAGGUUAAUAAACAACAUGGAAAACUCAGUAUAGAGUAUACACACCGUUCUGUUAUUUGAAUCGCCAUCUGAAUGGCCAGGUGUUGAGGAACCAGAAUCACCUGAAGUUAAUAGUCAUUAAGUUGUGUAACAAGGGAUUAAACCUAUACGAAUCUCAUAUGAGAAAAUAACCAUUUCCAUAUUGUCCUUAACAAAGAAGCAGAAUACAUAACAUGCUACAUAUAAGAAUGUGAGGACCAAUAGCAAUUGAAUCAGUAGAACUGGCACCACUACAGCAGAAGGAACACUAGCACCGCAGUGGUCAGUAGAUCAUGGUGAAGUGGAUUUGUUUGUUUCAUACUAUCUAUUAAUUUCUACAGGUCAUGUACGUAGUCCAGAAAGGCAAAACAAGUACAGAUGGAUGAUCAAUAACAGAAAAAAUCACCGUUCUUCAUUAAAAGCAGGAUGUGUUGCAAAAUCCGAGAUGAGGGAACUAUCUGUUAAUUUCUACAGGUCAUGUACAUAGUCUAGAAAGGCAAAACAAGUACAGAUAGAUGAUCAAUAAUAACAGAAGAAAUCACCGUUCUUCAUUAAAAGCAGUAUGAGUUCCAAAAGGCUAGAUGGGAGAACACUAGGACAACAUCAGGGCCAUACAAGAUAUGAGUAGAUUUUUCCGAAACAAAUAGUGAUAGUAAUGGGUACAAUGAGGCCAUGAAAUGAGUCAAAUUUAGUGAAAGUUGAAGGACUUGUAUGAAAAAUACAAAACAAUCCAUAAACUAACAAAAAGAAGGCCGUACAGUUUAGGGCUGCAGAACAACCGCAAAGAAGGGACAUACCAGAGGUUCUUCUAGGCGUUGCAGGUCCUAUACGAAUAGGUCUAGUAGAGCAAUAAACACCGUUCAUUUCAGUCAUUGCAUGAGCUUUGUCAGUAUCAUCUCCAAAUCUAACAAAUCCAUAGCCCCUAGAACGGCCAGUGUUUGCAUCAAUAAUAACUUUAGCUCCUUUCACGGAGCGAUACUUGCUACCAAAAAGCUCCAUCAACAUUUCAUCGGUAACAUCAGCAGCUAAAUCACCAACAAAAAUUGAGUGGUCAGAGACAACUUCUGAUCGCUUUUCACCCAUGCUAUAGGAUGCCCAGUUUAACUUAAAGGCUCGAUCAGUGUUGGGCAUCACAUGACCAGUAAAAUUCUGAAGAGCUUUAUCCGCUGAUGCAUGGGAAAAGAACUCUACAAAACCAUAUCCCUCUGAUUGUCCAGUUUGCCUAUUGCGGAUAACUUUUAUGGUUACCACCUAUGAAGCAGAUGUAGAGAAAAAGGUGAAUAAACCAGUAGUUGAACAAGAGAAGAAUUAUACGCAAUGAUUUAAUAAGGAAAAAAAAUGAACCCAUGAGUGGUUAACAUUCAUUAUGUCUUUUAAUAAACCCAUCAUGGUUUAUGUGUGUGAAGGAUAGUUCCUGGAAAAUUGUACAAACACAAGACCGCAUACAACUUGCUUUCUUUGUUACCACCUAUGAAGCAGAUGUAGAGAAAAAGGUGAAUAAACCAGUAGUUGAACAAGAGAAGAGUUAUACGCAGUGAUUUAACAAGGAAAAAAAUGAACCCAUGAGUGGUUAACAUUCAUUAUGUCUUUUAAUAAACCCAUCAUGGUUUAUGUGUGUGAAGGAUAGUUCCUGGAAAAUUGUACAAACACAAGACCGCAUACAACUUGCUUUCUUUGUUACCAUUUUCCAGACAAAGUACUUGCCACCUUUUCCACUUCCUGUCCACGUCAGUAAGCAAACCUCCCAAUAAAAGAUGGUAGUAAUUGGUCAAGGCUUUCAUUAUGGCUUCCUUUUGCCUCUCCAACUGGUGUUUUACUUAUUCCGUAAUCACCAAAAUGCAUAACGAGCCCAGCUCAUUCGUAACUUCUAUUAAAUUAUACACGUCAAGACCAUUUCCUCCAAACGAGUACUACUAACCAAACUAGUUUAAAUCCCCAAAGUCGGCACAUUUGGAAGCUAGCAUCGCAAAGAAUAAUGCAAUUUUGUUCGUUAUUGCGUACAAUCCAGAGGGAAGAAGAAAUUGCUUGCAGUUAUGGCAGUAAUCAAAGAAGAGCACUCCGUACGUACUGUAUUGAAUGGCCUUAAAGUUGGCGCCUUGAGCAACAACUUUUCACGGCUAAUUAUAGAAGCAUCGCCUUUUAUUCGCAUCAAGUGACAAGUAAGCACAAAAUAUACGCUUUCAUGGCAAUUUGAUGGCACAACACAUGAAUCAGGACAAAGGAAUGGGGCGAAUCUUACUGUAUUCGCGAGAUCUAGUACGGACAAGUCCGGAUCGGGAGAGAACACGAACCUCGCCGCUGGGGCCGAAGCAGUUAUGGAGGUAGUUCUCGUCCAUCCAGUACUGGAGGUCGCCGACCCAGAUCGUCUUGUUCUCCUCGCAGCCGUUCCCGCCGGAUCCGGCCGCGGGUGGCGUGGGCGUGCGUCGCCCGGCCGCGGCGNNNNNNNNNNNNNNNNNNNNNNNNNNNNNNNNNNNNNNNNNNNNNNNNNNNNNNNNNNNNNNNNNNNNUGGUGAGGCGGCACGGCCACCUGUGAUUCGGUGGUGGUCGCCGCCAUCUGCAUCACCGUCCGCGCCGCCGCCG
rnacentral:lncRNA from 1 species